CUCUGUCUCUCUCUCUCUCUGAUUCUCCACUCCGAUUGCUUGUUCGUCGCUUCUUGUGACCGGGGACAUUGACUUGAUCCCACCGCUGCUUGGGGAUGAUCGAAGACUGGCCACCAUCAUCGCCGUUCGUUCUGAUGGCACCAAGUCUCGAGUUCGAAGAGGAGUCGAUGGGGCCACCGCCUCCCUAUUUCUCUUCGUUGUUCCUUGCGUGCUGCUGGAGGGAUCUCCUUCCUCAGGUGUGUCUUCCCCAAUUCUUGUUGCAAUGUUGAUCGCUGCGUUCUGAAAUGGACCGUCUGAAACGGGCUCAUUUACACUACAUGGGCCGGUCCACUGAGUUUACAUGUUCUUUUACUGGAGAGAAGGCAUGCCGACUGCGUGUUUUCACGUGCUCCGCACAUGGGAACUCGGAUUGGGAAGUGCGCCCACGUAUUUCCCAGGAAGAGGUCUUUUCCCGUAAACACACCAUCUGACUCACUUACACUAAUAAUGAAGUAAACGGCAUCAUCGUGCACGGCCUCCGCUCCGAGCGUGCGAGGUGUUGUUCCGCACGUGCCGUGCCUUUUUUAUAGUGGCUUCAUCUCUACAAACGGGUAUUUAAUUGAAGUUUUAUUGUUUAUCGUUGUGGUAUCGUCUAUUGAGCCUCACGUGAGGGCUGUAUGGUUGUGUGUUCUUAUGAAAAUUUGGGGUAGCUUAGUGGUAGUGAAUUUAUCGAUAGUUAAUAUGCAGUUGUUAUGUGUUAUCAAAAUCUUCCGUCUACGUUUAUAAAGAUUUAAAGUAGAUAAGUAUACAUUUUCUUAUUUUUUAUGAUAAGAAAGAUAAUAAUAAAUCUUUUAUUAUAAUGAAGGACAUUGUAAAUUUUUUUUUUGAUUUCUUUUGAAUUAAUCGAACUUAUAUCUUGGGAUCUCGUAUUACUAACUUAGGCUUCGAAGAGAUUUAAAAAAUUAUUUUUGAUCUUGAUCUCAAUGUAGGUAGUACCUUUGGAGCUCUCCGGAGUCAUCUCGAAACUACCAUGGAUCCACCUCGUAAGCAUGAUAUUUUUAUCUGGAAAACAUCUUAAAUAUUCAUAUACAUACAAAGGUCACAUCAGACUAACCAAUAGGUUAAUGAUAUUUUUUUUCCUAAUGUCAUAAAAUUCAACAUGUAGAGUCAAUGAUUGGAACCAUCGGAAACUUCUCAAAUGCCACUUUUUAUUGCCUUACAGCCUUACAACCCACGCAUUGCCAUGGAUGAAAACUACAUAAAUGAUUGGAAGAUAUGGCAAGAGAAAGUCCUCUGAUUGUUAGAGAAAAAGAACGUUACCAACAAAGGGAUGAAGACAAAAACAUCAACUUUUUUGACUGUUUGGUAUUGUGCUUGACAAAAUGCCACAGCCAGGAGACCUUUUGACGGGAAACUAAUACUGAUUGAGAAUUUAGAUGGUGGAUCGGGAAUUACAUUCAAUGUCCAUGGCUUACGUGAUCGAGGAUAAAUUGGACUUUAUCGUCAUUUGAAGUUUGAGAGUAAUGGUUGAUUAGAGAUUGAAUUAUCGCUAUAGAAUUUUGUUUGGUGCUAACAGUCAUAUCAAAAUUACAUUAAUUCAAUUUCUAUAGAUUACUUGCAUCCAUCACGUUAUAGGAAUUUAUGUGUUUGAUGAGAUUGAAAUUUCAUUCAAAGCAAAAGAGCCACUGCCGAUGUCACUGAUUGACAUUUGUUUUGGGAAUUAUAGAUUGAAAUUUUAUUUGUCCAGUGUCAAUGAUUCAAUCAUGUAUACAUUUCUAGUAGGAAGACUUUGGUAAGUGAUGCCAACCGCGUGUCCCGACUGCUGCACAGAGAGAGAGAGAGAGAGGUAAUGCUUGAGUCGUGGGACUUCAUCUCUUCUCUCCUGCUUGAGAUGUGGGCUCUGCCAAUAGAAUAUGGACAUUCUUUGUGUUGGAAGAGUCUACGCAUGCGGCCUCAUCACACCCACCCCCGUCACAAGGCGAACAUGUCAUCGAACAGUAAACCGACGUCCUUUCCACGAGUCCACGAACCUUCACCAUCGAAAGAUAAAGAGUAGCAAAUUCCCACUUUCGAUAUUGGUAAUAUUAACUUAUUUGUGGGGGUAAUAAGGAGAAGGUAAAAUCAAAUUAAUCACCGUAAUAAUAUAAAUUACUCGGGUAAUCUAUGCGCUGGAAACGUUUUGGUUUCCUUGUUGGUAUUUAUUCCAACUGUUGCCGUUUCCGAAUUAAUCACCCCAUCAAUUGCGUAUUUAUUCUCCCAGUUUGUCUCCGAGAUGUUUUCAUGGACCCACUUCUCCACCCGGAGGCUUCCAUGCGUGGCCCACUUUGUCUUCGAGCAUCAGUGGGACACCAGACCGGGUCGGCGUCGCGUUCCCUUAUCUCUACGAAUCCCAUCGUAGCCGUUAACUCAAUGGAUUCCUACUCGAGAUUCGUGACGUAACGAGAAAGGGCCCUCGGCAACAAAUCUGAGCCGUACGCGCCUCUGCGGACUUAUGUUUUCGUCACCUGCUUCGGUUUCUCUCAUUAUUAAUGCGAACAACCCCGUCAGUCUUCUUCCGUUCUCCUCCUCCCUCUUGGCUGUGGGGUUUUAGCGGUGAAGCGAUCGAGUCAGCGGAGAGGGAACGCGAGCUACGUUUAAGGGGCGGUUUGGAUUUAUGUCGUCUGGUCCCUUCGAUCUAUUGUUUCUCGGUGCUGGAAACUUGGGAGCUUCGGAUCGGCUACUGUGUGCUUCUGGUGUCAUCGCUGGUCUCUCCCUCUUUCUCAUCCUCAACUUCGUCUCCUAUUCUUCACAGUGGCCGAAGAGGAGGGAUUCGAUGCAAUAUGCAAGGUAUGGAUGUAUCGCACCCGUGAUCUUUGAUUGGAAACAAACAUCGGGGCAAACGCCUGAAGUUGGUUGCUUUCGGUGUUCUUGGUUGCAGGGCUGGUUUUGGAGUGACGUAUUUCGGAUUUCAGCAUACAUAUCUGUGUUGUUUCCGAUUCAUCUUCUUGAGAGUAACCCUUACUUGACGGAGAGAUCCAAAAAAGAAAAGCCCACCUUUUCGUUUUAUUUUUCCUUUUUGUUUUCGAUUUUGAGAGGAGAAAUGACGCCCGGUGAGCGCUUGUGUGGGAAACAGCAUCAUAAGCCGCUGAGGAGGAGGGGGAAGAAGCAACGCCACCGAACCGAAGCCGCUUCCCAACUCCAAUCCAGACUACUCGCAAGAAGAAUCCGCGUCGUCUUCGACGAUCCCGACGCCACGGAGUCGAGCGACGACGAGGGGAUGAACUACUCCUGCCGAAAGAAGAGGGCGAUUCACGAGUUCUCGGUGCUUCCCACAUUCCCUUUGUCGCUCUUGCAAGCCUCGUCGGAGGAGAGCAGCGGAAGGAAACCCAAAAACUCCCGGAGGCCGAAGGUCAUAACACUCGGCUCGGUGAAUUCGACUUCCGGCACCUCCCCCGUCAAGUUUAAGGGGGUCAGGCAGCGUCCUUGGGGGAAAUGGGCGGCCGAGAUCCGUGACCCCAUCCGCGGCGUCAGGAUUUGGCUCGGCACUUACGACACCGCGGAGGCAGCCGCCGCAGCUUACGCGGCUGCUGCGCGCCGCUUUCAGUCUGAGAAGAAAAUCCUCGCCGCCGACGUGUCCUCCAACUCCACCACCACCUCCACGUCAUCCUGUGCCUCGAUGCACUCCGACGCCGUGGCUGUGGCGGUGCCCCCCUCUCCCUCAUCCGUGCUCGACAUCUCCGCAUCCGCCAUCGCGGAGUAUAGCCAGGUGUCGCCCGAGAAGACCGCCCCGGCAGGAGCAGCAGAGCGGUGCUUCUCGGAGCUCUUGAUGGAGCAACAGCUGGCGUCCCCCUUCUCGUUGGAGUCGGCGUUCCCGUUCGAGUCGGACCCGUUUCUCGAGUCGGUGCUGCUCGACGAGGAGUUCGUGCCGCUGGAGUGCCUCCCCGUCUUUGAUGACGACAUCGUCGGCGAUGAUUUUCCCAGCCUCGAGGCCCUCAGCCAAUUGAUGGACUUCGAUCUAUGAUAGCGUGAAGGUUUUGCAGCUUAGUCUCCAGCAUCACUGCUACCAUUAUUUAUCUCAGCAAGAAAGAGAUGUGUUUUUCGAGAUUUUCGUUCAAUUUUGCUUCGUGAGUGAGGACUCUUGGGUUUUUCCGGAGCUGUAAGAGCCGCCCCCAAGAAGACGACUUUUCCUUGUCAUUGCUUGUUGGUCUUUUUCUCUAAAACAUAGUCUUGCUUUCGUUCGGCUAUCGCAAUGCGUUCGCCAUGGAAACUGUGCGUUCGAAGACUGGUCGCUUGUCCUUAUUCCCUCAAAGCUGUCUUCCAUUCUUGGUGGAUGCUUGUGUUGAUGAUGCCCGAGGGGGAAAAAAAGCAUGGCUGGUGUUGUACCGCAUGUUAUGCUCUCUGUUCCCCACAUUGUGAGCUCGGACUUUGUCUCCAAGCCAAGGUUGGUGGUGGAGUUCUUUAAUGCUGCCCUGCUGCUGAGAUCUUUUUGGUGCUCCUUGUAUAUGGAUGGUCGUCGAGCUCUCCGUCUCUGUCAAACAGGGGAGCUGAUACAGUGAACUUUCACGUGCCAAUGCUACUUUGACAGUGAAGCGUCAGUCGAGUCAAAGCUGCUUCUGCUCUUCUAAACGCAUCGAUCUUUUACGGUAUUAUAUUAUUCUUAGGUACACUACAUAAUUCUUAGUAGCCAUAUUUAUUACUGGCGUUUGGAGGAUGUAUCUGUUGGCCAUUGAGACAUUGAGGCCCUUCCCAUGGUCAUGUGUCACUCCUCUCUCUCGCUCGUAGAUAUGGUCUCUCAACCUGCAAUCCAUUUAGUCGAAUCAAUCGAUCUACUUAUGCUAUUUAGGAAGAGCCUAUUUUUUUGUUUCCGGUGGCAAAUUGAACAGUCCCAUGCUACCUUGAAGGUUGUGCCCCAAAUCUCCUCCUCCAUCGCCGGCAAAGCAGUGACCUUGUUCUUCGGAUGCUCAUAGCUCCUGAGUCCAGUGGACGUCGACAGGAAACACCCUUGUUUCAGAUCCCGACUGGUUAGCCAUUGCCAUACUCGAACAGCUUAUCGUACUAACCAAGGAAGUAUGGAGUCACCUGGCGGAAAUGAUGCCAAUGAUUUCCCGCAUGCACUUCUUAGUUCCUCGGCGUCAUCGGAGAAAGCUAGAUAGCCAUCGGCGGUUAUCCCCAUGAACAAGGGCACCUUACCAUCUCCGUCCUGACGAAGUCACACGAGUGAUGAGAAGUGACCACCUUACCAUCUACCGUGCGCGCCAUGAUGCUUACCGAUGCCGCGAACACCGUCGAGGUGACGUUGUCGAAGACGAUGAAGGCGAAAUUGCCUACGAGGUGAGCGAGCAUGAGGUUUGUGGGAUAAGGAGCGCGGUCUCGCAGUGCCCGAUACGCCUCCAUCACCAGCACCACCUCGCUUGCAUUCUUCCCCAGACCGUACUGGUGUUUCAGGCUCGGCAGGUUCUCCAGCGUCCCCUUGAACAAGCAAAAUAUCUCGUCGCUCACAGCGAACGACCUGCCGAGUACCGACGACGGGAGGCGUGGUUGGUGAAUCAAAGAGAUGAUACGUUGAAGGGUAGUAGUGCUCCUCACCUUGGUUGUAGCAGGGACUGGUUUUGAUGGUUGUAGGAGAUACGUGCAGCGCUGCCGAUGUUGAUGGCAACGGAGGAUGGGUUGUUCUUGAGGAAGGCAUCGAGGAGCUUGUCUGCGGUCUUCUUCGCCGUCGGGGUGCGGUGGCCGGCUCGGAUGAGCUCCUCCGGUGGGCUCACCACUGCGCCGCUGAAGACCCCAAGCAUCUUUGGUGGAGGAGCAGAACCACCCAAAACAGGAAGGCUCCUUUUAUAGGUCUUCUUGUGCAAUGUCACAGCAUGAAAUUUUCUUACCUUUGUAUGAGAUAAAAUAUGGUCGACCACAGGAGCAUGGAAGUGACCGCACUACAAGCUUCUUCCCCCUGUCGUCGUUACGAAGGAGACAACAAAGAUGGUUCUGGAAGCCGUUUCUGUGAAGCAAAACCACCAUGGCAGGCAAGCAAAGACAAAUGGGGGUAAGCGUUGGGAAGAUCGACACUUGUGGUGUUCAUCGGGUGGAUUCGGAGCAAAAGUGACGUGGAUUCCUUGGAAGAGCUCGAGUUAUGUAACGUAUGACGCUCUGCGGAACAAGCCGAGGCUCGUUACGAUUCAUGUGGGGGUCGCUGUCCGGAGGGGGAAGAGAGAUGUAGCAGAACUCUUAACGAAGAAGACAUCGAUAGAUGUCUUCCAACUUUUCGACGACAGCUUGAAAUAGCUUUAGCAGAGCAAAGUUAUCGUAGAUUUGUUCAGAACAUGGUAAAUUAAUGCUUACUUAAAGUCAGAUUAAUCGUGAGAAACUGUUCUUAAGACUGAGACUGGACUGGGAUCCACUAGCAAACAUGUGUUCGUAGGAUGUUAAGCCAAUGAUUCGAAUCAUAUUUUACAGGUAUUUUUAGGUUGUCGUGGAAGAAUUAAUGUAAAACUUGGCGAUUUCGAGAUAACGUGUAUUUGCAUAUCUUUAAAAAAGAGAUUUUUUUAAUCAUAUGUUUAAAUCAUGUAUAUAUAUGAUAAUUUUAUUUUAAUUAUAGAUCGAUUAAAUAUUAGAAUACAUAAUGAAUGUAAAGUUAUCAUUUUAUAUUUAUCUUUAUCUUGAUCGUCUAUCAUACCCCUAUUAAAUUAUUUUUUUAUAAAUAAUAUUAAUCUUGGAACGAUGUAAUCGAGAUACCUUAGGAGCGAGAGACAUUGUGAGAGAGUCAGCUAGUUGGUCAUAAAUAUAGACAUGCGAAGCAAGUAGUUAUGUCUGAUAACUUAUCUCUAAUAAAAUAAAAGUCGAGAGCAAUGUGCCAUGCAAGAGUGAAACAUCAACUUAAAGCAUAAGCAAGUGGUACUGACAUUAUCAUAGUAUGUAGGUGGUACUACGUCAAGUUCAUAUAGUAUAUUAGUGACAUAAUCAAAUUAUGCAACGGUAGAGACGAUGGCUUAGUGUUUAGUUUCAAUGGUAGAUUUUAUGACUGUAUUUUAUUUUUUAAAACUCUAAUCGAUCAGGUUUGCUCUAAGAAAGAAAAUAUAGGCUAAUAUAGAUGUUCUAUUAUCAGUAUUGUUUAACCAAAUAGGAUCAACAAAGAUAUCGAGAUAAAAUAAUAAGUGUUUCCGAAUAAGAAGUACUUGAUUGAGUCCUUUUAAAAUAUCGCAGAAUAUAUUUUAAUGCAAACCAAUAAAUGAAAUACAUGGAUGUGUAAGAGUUAAAUAUUGUAAGAACUAAAUACUUGUUAAUACUAUAUGGGAUCCGUAGUAGGGCUAUUAUCAUGUAAUCUGAUCGACUUAAUAUAGAAGAGUAGGAUUGUAAUUUCUUUCAUAUUAUAAAUAUUCAUCUUUAAUAAUAAAUCUUGAAUGUAAUUUUUUGAGAUAAAAAAAAUGAGUGAAUAUUAUCUUCACUCGAAAAUAGCUUAAGGUUCCUAUAUCCUUGAUGGAUAAUCAAUAAAUAAGUUACUAAAUGAAUUACUUAAUCUUUAUGAAAUUAUUACCUAUAAUGAUAAUGUUAUCAACCUAAACUAGUAGAUAUAUAAUAUAUCUAUUUUGUUAUUAUAGAAAAAUAAAUUAUCAGAUUUGGAGUUAAUGAAGUUAGCUCAUAUAAGAAUGAGCCAAGUUCAGCAUACUAUACUCUUAGGGCUUGGCGUAGUCUAUAAAUAUUUUUUAAAAAAAAUUAUAAAUAUUAUUUAAAAAUUAAAGAUGAAUGAAGCCAAUGGAUUAUUAUAUAAAUGCAUCUUCAGUUAAAGUCCCAAUAAAAAAGUAUUGUUAUCAAUUAGUUAGCAUACAUGUCUUGAGUGAUAGUCAAAUUAAGAUGAAUCAAAUUUUCAUUGGUUUAACAAUUAGAUCGAAAAUAUUUAUGAAAUCAACAUUUGAUCAUUGGUGAAACCACUUAACCACUAGACGUGUUUUACAUCAAGUAAUGGAUCCAUCUAGGUUUUACUUAAUUUAAAGAUCAACUUACAACCAAUGAUAUUUUGUGUAAGGUGAGAUAGUAUAAGAGUCUAUGUGACAUUAUGGAGUAGGACAUCAUAUUAUUCACACAUUGCUUUGUAUUAGUAUAGAGAUUUUUAAGCUUUGGUGAAGCUUGUGGAUUCAGUAAGGCUACGUGGAAAGUAUGUGAUAGUGUGAAUAUCAAAGAUUUAGUGUGGUUUAAAGAUGUCAUUUUUGGAACGUGUUAUCAUGUGGUUCAAUAAUCAAAUUACUUAGAUGAACUUUUAUGAUAGUCUUGAUGUUCGCUUGAGACCAACUAGGUAUGACGGUAAGCUUGGGUUAAGAUUGAUUAAUUUUUAUUAUAUGUUAAAUUUGUUAUCGAUAAUUAUAAUAAUUAUUAUGAUUGAAGUUAUUCUCUAAAUUGUUUGGGUUGAAGUUGACAAGAUUUGAUAGUGUAACGUACAGAUAGAUAACUGAUCCAGUCUUCCUCUUUCUUUAUUUUAUAUACGUUUCAUAUUCGAUUAUAGCACCGAGGAGCAAAUCAAAUUUGCGAGGCGAAGCAUGUACAGCAAAUCAUAAAUGGGAGAUCAUAUAGAGGAAUCGCGUGUCUUCGUUAGUGCAAGCGUUCAUUGCGGUGUGAGGAGGAUGCAUUGAUUGGAAGGAGGCACCGGUGAGGAGGAAACGGUGCAAUUGCUGCAACGAUGACUAUUGCUCCAGAUCAACGAGGAAGCAGCAGUGUUAUUACUGUAGCGACAGGGGCAGUAGGUGAAGAAGAGCAAAAGAUGGCACAGGAAGAAUGCUGCUGAGUAGAGAGAGAGAGAGAGAGAGGAAUCUUUGAUGCUAUAGUAAAUCGACGAGGAAGAGGGAGUUAUUGUCUUUGGAGCAGCAAGGAAGAGUAAGAAUAGUCACUGGGCAAUAAAAAUUAGCAAAGGAAUUGUUGUUGCCGAGUAACGAGGAAGAGGAAGUCGUGAUUGAAGCAAGAAAGCCUUGAUUUCGUUCCUUCAGGUAAUGUGUCUUUAUACAGAUUUAAGGGAUAGAUUUUUCUUGAUUAUAUGCUUAAAUUAUAUAUACAUAUAUAUAUUAUAAUGAUUGAUCAUCAAAUCGAUUGAUCCUUUGUCAGUUGUUACGGAUCUUUCUAAGUCCUGUUUGAUACUGCUACUACUCAACUACUUGUCAAAGACCUUUUUUUUUCGGGAGCAGAAUGGUAGAACAGCCAUCUGCACUUUAUGUCUGACUUUGAUCUGACACUACUUCCCUAAAGGCUUAGCCUGGAGAUUCGCUUGCCAUGGAGUUCAUAUUUUUGACUUUACUUGGCUCCCUCACUCUCCAGGAAUGAUGAAAAAGGAGAAGCACCAGUGCCAACCAAUGUGUUGCCUCACAGGGACGAGGUAUUUGAAGGCAUGCCGAUGCUGGACAUCAUGGACGUGGGUUGCCAGAGAGGACGACGGACUUGGAUGUGCCAACGUUUAGCUGGAGAAGACGAACAAAUGUGUCGCCGAGGGAUGUCUGCUCACUGAUCACAAUCAACAAGAGGACGACGAUGUGGUGUACAGUGACUGCUUCGACCUGCAUGGUCUGCUCCUGUGGAGCAGAGACCGGCGAUGCAGUGUGGGAAUUUGCUUGCCAACGACACAGCAAGAAAUGUGCAAGAAUAAGACACAGUAAGAUAAAAUUCAUACAACAAAUACCCACAGGUUCUUUACAUGAUUCGGAGUUGACACCAAUGAUUCUGAACUCUCAACUUAGGACCUACGUGAUCGUUACACUCUGCACUAUCUCAGUGUUGUGGGAAUCUCAAGUCAUGGAAAGAGGAGGAGCGUAGGACUGGCCGUGUUCUGGAGGUGGUCGGAACCUGUUCUUUGCGAAGAAGGAAGGGAGAUGGUGAGGUCAAGGUUCAGAUCAUCAGCAUCACGAAAUCCAUUCUUGGAGUUGUUCUGCAACCCGUUGGUCGCGUCGUCGAUACUCGAUCGAGUCGCGUUGCCGGAGCUGUGAGAUCGAUGGAGCCGUCCGUUGUGGAUCACGCGGUGGUUGUCAGGGUCGAUACCCAUGCUUGCCAGCUUCUUCCUCAGAUGAGAGUUCCAGUAGUUCUUGACCUCGUUGUCGGUUCGCCCCGGCAGUCUCCCGGCGAUCAACGACCACCUGAAUCAAUUCAAACAAAUAUGGAGCAUAUACGUCUCUUUGGUCAUUCAUCGGUCAGUAAGCAUGCAUGCAUGCAUACCGGUUACCGAGUAGAGCGUGGAGCUUGAUGAUUAGGUCCUCUUCAUCCUCCUCGAACCUCCCCCUCUUGACAUCGGGGCGAAGGUAGUUGAUCCACCGCAGCCUGCAACUCUUACCGCAACGAAGCAGACCUGAUUAGGAAAGAAGCCCAAAAAGCUUUAGAUGCUUUCGUAAACGCAAGCGACACUCGUGGCAAAAGUGCUCGUCGCCAACCUGCAGCCUCGGGGAGCGAUCGCCAGCAGACGCGGCCAUGCGCUCUGAUGUAGUCGAUGAGCUUCUGGUCCUCUUCUUUCGACCACGCUCCCUUGUUGUUGUUGCCUCUGUUAACGCAACAAGGGCUCCUCAUUGUUGCAGAGCAAAGAGAGAGAUGUGCGAAGGGAUGAGGAGGAGGAGAAUGUUGGAGGAUAUAUAGGAGCGAGGUCGGAGGACGAGGGAGGGAGUUGACUGGAAGACGGAUAGGUUUUGGGGCUUGUUAGUUGCAGUGGUAGAACUUAAAAGUCUUCGCGAGGCUUGAAGGAAAGCAAGCAACCAAACAUUGUACGCAUUUCUCCUCUUCUCACACGCACGCAAGCUGACCGAUAGAUUUCCAUGUUCCGAGCAGUCACCUCCCAACCAUCUCUGGUGGUCACCAGCUCAUCAUAUCCAUGCUCCUAGCUUGGAGCAUCACAGGGACUUCAACUUCGACUAGAACACGGCCUUCAUGGGACCUUUUCCUCUGAAAGCUGUGGAGUCGGUCGAUCAAAAUCUCUAGGGUUUUAUGAAGCUUUGUUGGUUGAUGUUAGUGAAUCCUUUCCAAACAUCUCUUUGUUGAUUGAUGUCCCGCUAAAGCUGUUGGGAAAGGAUUCACCGUCUGUCUACUAAUGAACUCGGAUGCAAAUUGGAAUUAGACUUUGUAUGUAGAUUUGAACUUAAAUGCGUGAUGUAUGUUAAAUAAGUUUUAUAUAUAUAUAUAUAUUAUAAUAUAAAAAGAUUUAAGUUAAUUUGAAUGGUUAGGAAAGGGUCGAUUCUAUACCAAAAUCUAACGAUUAGUCCUUCGUGCACAUGUUGCACGUAGGCACUACUAAGCACGUAGUUAGAGGAUCUGUUGGCGAGAAGUUGGGGCUUGACAUGACAUUUUAUUUUACUUUUAGAUAUUGGAAAGAGAUUGCUAAAUCAAUAAUAAAUAAUAAUUUUUAUUAGUAUUAUUUUUAUUAAUGUAGAUUAUAAUUGUUUGAUUAGGAUCUCGAUCGAUUCAACAUCAACUCCCAUGUUGAUCUCUUAUGGGUAUUAAGAAUGUAUCAUAUCCUCUUCGUCCAUAAGAUGGGAAGCUUUGUAAAAUACCAUUUCUUAAUAUUAGAAAUGGUUAUACGCCUUCCUCGAUAAUAAACAUAAUCGUUGUGUCUUAAACACGGAGAGCAUAUAAUAAUCAUAAAUAUGACUUAUAAUAUCGAAUGAGCGACACCAUAUCACUCACACAAUGUCAAUUACCAAUCAAUAACAUCAAAAUAUAAUUUUAUAUCUUCGUAUAAAUGAUCAAAAGAUGACAUAAAUAUGACUCUGAACGCUUAUUCUCAACUGAGACCAAAUAAGCGUAUCAUUAAUCUUUUUUAAAUACUAGUCAAAAAUAUUUAAAAUGAAUAUAUAGGUUUCUAAUUAAUAUAUCGAUUUAAGAUAACAGAAUCACAUUCGACAUUUUUACGGUUUAAAUAACAAUAACAAUAAUAAUAAUAAUAAUGAUAAUAAUAAUAAUAAUAAUAAUAAUAAUAAUAAUAAUAAUAAUAAUAAUAAUAAUAAUAAUAAUUCUGAAACCGAGAGACCGCCACAUUCCUUCGAGCAACACGUGUCUUCCCUGACAAGUUCGUCAUAAGUCGAACACAUGAUAAAAACGUUAGUGGGUCCCAGUGGAAAGUUUGCUGUGCCGGUAACCGAUGGGUUGGAAUGUGGUCAGUUCUUCUGACCCCGCAUAUUUGAGUCACACUGCUUGGGGUGUCGAAGGGACACCGAGAAGCAACGUCUUGUGUUUUAACUGUAAAAGCUUCCAUCGGCGGCUCGCUUCCUCUCUCCUUCGAUCUCUCUCUAAGGUGAAUGGCGCAGCUGUCAGAGACGUACGCGUGCGUGCCGGCGACCGAGCGCGGCCGGGGGAUACUCAUAGCCGGCGACGCGCGGUCGGAUUCGAUCGCGUACUGCAACGGGCGGUCGGUGAUCAUCCGGAGGCUGGACGCGCCGCUGGAAGCGACGAUCUACGGGGAGCACGCGUACCAGGUGACGGUGGCGCGGUUCUCGCCCAACGGCGAGUGGGUCGCCUCCGCCGACGUCUCUGGGACAGUCCGGAUCUGGGGGAGGCACGGCGACCGCGCCCUCAAGAACGAGUUCCGCGUCCUCUCCGGCCGCGUUGACGACCUCCAGUGGUCGCCCGAUGGCCUCCGCAUCGUCGCCUGCGGGGACGGCAAGGGCAAGUCCUUCGUACGGGCAUUCAUGUGAGGGAUCCCUUCUUCCAAUUUGAUAUUUUUUUCCUCCCACAAGGAAAAUAAGAUGGUUUGGGCUGAUUUAGGGCUUUUGUUUGUGUUGUUUUGGACUCCACUUUGGAUCGGAUUAAUACUUCAUACUAUGAGAACCAGUAAAACAGAGAAGAAUUACUGCCUCACGAGACCGCAAAAUGCAGUAGUUCUUGAAAUAUGUCUUGUUGAUUUGAUCUUUGCUGAUGUCACUUUGAAAAUAGAUCUUUCCUUUCCGUUCCAUAUUAACACUAAACCUGGUUGUUAUUGAAGUUCCUUUGCCGCCAUAUGAAACUCAUUGAAAAAUCUUUUGGCCCUUCUUGAUAUUUUUUUCGUUCGAAUUUUACCGUUUAUCUAUUUUUCUGGAUAACUAUAAAUUCUUCGUUCUUGCUGGAAAGUUUCUGCCACUUUUGACAAAUUAAUAGAAAAAGCCAUGUCUGAGCGUUUUGGGAUGCCAUGUUUGUCUUUUUUCUUAAAAAUUAUUUAUCUUUAGCAAACAUAAUCCAUGAGUAAUGGUCAUUUAUUCAUAGGAAUGCUAAUUCGUAAAUUUAACAUUGUUUUUGCCUUCCUUCGCAGACUAUUUCUGUUGUUAGUAGUGUUUUCAGUAAAUGUCUGAUCAUUGCUUUGGCUGUGGAAUUUUGUUCUUGUGUAGGUGGGAUUCAGGUACUAAUGUUGGGGAGUUUGAUGGACAUUCUAGAAGGGUAUUAAGUUGUGCAUUUAAGCCAACCAGACCAUUCCGCAUUGUCACAUGCGGUGAAGAUUUCUUGGUGAACUUUUAUGAAGGGCCACCUUUUAAAUUCAAGCUCUCCCAGAGGUUUGUUUCAGUUAUAUCAAGAAUGAUCCAAGCGGUUUUUUGCUGACUUUUUCUUUAUCCAGCUUUCUUAGCUAUCAACAUGUCAUUGUUUCCUUACAGUUUGUCUGAGUUUUUUUCUACAGUAUGUAUAGAAUAUUGUUGAAUGAUCAAAUAACUUACUGCUUAGGCACUUCAAACAUGGAAUUUGUCUUGUAAUUACUUACCCAUGCACUAGUACUUAAUGGUCUGAAAAUUUUGAAGCUUAGUGAGAUGUUCUUCUCUUGUUUCAUUCUUUACAUCUUAGCAAAAGUCAGAACGGUGACAUGCUUCCAGACAUUUUCAAAUGAAUUCUUUGGACAUAGAUUAAAAAAAGGUUCUCUGCCUAUAAAUGAUCCUUUCCUAUUCGGUAGUUCAAGAAUUAGCCCUUGCCAUCAAGUACAUGAAAUAUAUUUGGGCACUCUAUCAUCCUAUAAUUAACAAGAAUUUAGUAUGCUGACAAUAAUUAGCCCUAUUAUCACCUCAUAGUUUCUUCCUGUUGUUAUACCUCUCCCUAUUCUUAUUUUUCUCAUUGUCGCCCCAAUCACCACCACCUAGGAGGUGAACUAUGAGUUGGUUGUCAUGAAGCUAGUGACAGUGGUUGCAAUGGUGAGAGCUGGAAAAGAGGUGGAUAUGAGGUUGAUAGUGAAUACAGAGACCGUGUUGCAAUAGUGGCAGGCUGUAUAAGAGGAGGAAUGUUCAUGCAAGGACUGAAUUUUUGAACAGCAUAUUGAGUAGACUGUGGAAAUUUCUUAACUUGGUUCUCCUGCUUGUGCAGCAAACCUUCCCUUUCUACAUCAAACAUAAAGAUGUCAUGUCAGGACAAGAAAACACACACUGUCAUAUUUCACUUAUUGAUUUUGAACCAGGUCCCCUCUGUUUUAUUUUUAAAAAAAAAAAUCUAAAACUGGUGUCAUAUUUUACUUAUUGUUUCUUUUCUUGUCUGCUUUUUCCUCAUAGUUUGGAUAUCAGACUUGGACCAUUUUCUGUAAUCAUGCCACCUGCUUGUGUUCAUGUGAUAUGAAUAUGCAGCCCACUUCUAUGUUUUUUGUUCCUUGCAUGAGAUGGUAAUUGCUCUAAUUUGGGUCCUUUGUAUGUGACUGCUGCUGAAUAAGUCUUAUCUAUCAUCUCUGAUCUAUUUUAGUAGGUUUAGGCAUGUGCAAAGUCAUCCAGUAUACAUAACCUUUCAGACACUGGAAAAUAGUUUUGUCUCACCAAAAUUGUAUGCCACUCACUUCCAUGUGAUUUCUUUUUGCAUGAAAUAAUACGAAUCCUAAGAAUAGGUCUUGGAUAUGAUUGCUGUUAAAUAAGUUUAGAGUGAUUUCUUUCUGUUUUAGUUGAUUUAGUCAUAUGCAAAAUGAUCUAAUACGCAUAACCUUCAUCAUAUACUGGAAAUACUUGAGUUUCACCAUACUGAGAUUUUUUUAACCUUUUGUCUGUCUAUUUUCUUGAUCUGCAGGGAACACUCAAACUUUGUUAAUUGUGCACGGUUUUCUCCUGAUGGGAGUAAGUUCAUAACUGUGAGCUCAGAUAAGAAGGGUAUAUUAUACGAUGGAAAGACUGGAGAAAAGAUUGGGGAAUUGUCUAUACAAGAUGGUCACAAGGGUAGCAUAUAUGCUGUAAGCUGGAGUCCUGAUAGCAAACAAGUAAACACCUAUCUGUGAUUCCAUUCCUUGAUGUAAUAUAUUAUUUGAAGUUCAUGUUAUGAAAUAUUCUGACUCAAUUACUUCUUAUGGUUUCUCAGUUGAUCAGUUAAUUACUUGUUACUACUUGACCCAAUUUCCUCAUGUCUUUCUCUCUCUCUCUUCCUCUCUCAUCCUUGCUCCCUCUCAAGUAUGAAAUACAUAUAAGUUCACUUGUAGUUUUAUCUAGUAGUUCCUGAUGGGACGAAUGAAUUGUGUAUGAUUUAGCUGCCGUAGUCCUCAAAAUUAUUGGUGGGCUGGAGAGUAUGUAUGAGCUAUAAUUGUCUCCAAAAUCUCUGGUGGGCUGAAAAAUAUGCAUGCAACAAAAGCCCAAAGUAACAUUAUAUAACAAAAUAUGUCACUGAACCUAAUAAAGUUCCAGUUUGUGACAACAUUACAUCAACUUAUGCUUCCAAAUGAACAUUUUCUUGGGUCAUCUGGUCUUUGACUUUCUAAUAACAGCUUCAUUGUAUUAAGUCACUGUGCCCAAGUUUGUUUUGGACAUGAUCUUUCUUCUCACAUUUGAUUUUCAUUUGUCUUUGUGACUUUUUUUUAAUAAAAUGUGAUUCUUUUUUUCCUCGAAUUUCUCCAUAAGUUAUCUUGCUUGUUUGUCAAACUUAGGUUCUCACAGUAUCUGCUGAUAAAACGGCAAAAGUAUGGGACAUUAUGGAGGAUGGAUGUGGGAAACUAAGGAGAACAUUGGCUAGUCCUGGCUCUGGGGGAGUGGAUGAUAUGCUUGUCGGUUGUCUGUGGCAAAAUGACCAUCUUGUCACAGUUUCUCUUGGUGGAACAAUGACAAUUUUCUCAGCAAGUGAUCCAGACAAGUCACCGGUAUCUUUUUCUGGACACAUGAAAAGCAUCACCUCUUUGGUUUUUCUUCAAAGUGGUCAGAAUGUCAUCUUGUCUAGCAGUUAUGAUGGAAUUAUUACAAGAUGGAUACGAGGCAUUGGUUAUGCUGGUAAGUUGGUUAGAAAGGAUAGUACCCAAAUUAAAUGUUUUGCUGCAGCUGAAGAAGAAAUCAUUACUUCAGGGUUUGACAAUAAGGUGAGUGUUCUUAUUGGCAUGUUAUUCCAUUAUAGUUUUGAAAUUGGCUUUAGCUCUAGUUAUGCCUUCAUUUUGCUACAUGUUAUUUUUGAGAAUUAUUGAGUUGCACAAGCUCUGCUGUUUGUGCAUGUGAUUCCAGAACCAACUACAGAUUCAAAGGUGUUAUUCUAUUUCCUAUUUGUUGAUCAUCAUGAUCAAUGAGGUAUGACUAAUAAAAGCCACUGUUUUCAUGACAUUCUUUCGGAUAGUGGUAGAAUUGUAAAACACUUUACAGAUAAUAAGGUCUAUAAGAGAUAAACAUAUAUCUAAAUGAACACAUUGUGAUACUCCAAUUUAGUCCCACAAUGGAAGUGGGAGGAUGUCACUUGAUUAUAUUGACUAAAAUCCGGGCCUCAAAUAUUUUUUAGUUACAUGAUUUCAAGCCUCUCAAGUUGGUGGAGCAGUUUCUGAAUCUGAGUUGGGGUCAUGCUACUUGGUAAUAAAUCAAAUCUAUAGUAGGUAUUGUGAGAGGGUAGAGUUGAAAAAAACGUUAUUCGUGGAUAGGCCUGGAGGCAUAUCACGACAUGAGUCACUGUUAGACUAGUUGUCAUAUGCCACCUACUAACCUAUCAAUUAUGUUUGACCUUGCACCUUGAUGAGGAUGUCAAGUCUUAAGUGGAAGAGAUUGCCAUACUUCAAUUUGGUCCCACAUUUGAAGUGACAAGAUGGAACUGAUUAUCUAGGGCUACAUGGACUUAUUAUCGUUAAGUCAUGCUUGAGCAUUUUGGGUCAUGUGAUUUCAGGCUAAUUAAGUUUAUGGUCAGUUUUUCUGUUGAGCUGACACUUGACACUUAUUUUUCUAUUGAUUCAUCAGUUAUUUUUCAUAAAUUCAUUAAAAUUCUUUGGACAAAGAGGCUAACGACCUUUGUGAUGUCAUAUGCUUACUUGACUUAAUUUUGGUCUUUGAAAUGUCAGUUUGCUUGUUCUUUGAUCAUAGUUGGGGUCCACAUCUUGAUGAUUCUUAUGCUUCAUUUAUUUUCUUCAUUCGAUAUCUUUACUCUCGUUUCCAAUUGAACUCAAUUGGAUGGCACUUUCAGUUAAGACAAUGUGAUCACAAAAAUAAUCCUACAGAUUGACUGUUGUUGCUGUUUUGAGUGUUUUUAUCAAUAUUGGCAUUAGUAGAACAAGAUAAUGAAAUAGUUACUAGUUACAUGCACUAAGCAGUGAUAACGAAGUUCCAUGACAGUGAGUGGUUAGUGUGGUUAAAUUUGGGAGGUUGCUUUGCUUUUUGUCUGCAUUUGAUGUUUUCCAUCGAUACAAACAAUUAAAAAUUAUAUAGAAAUAUAUUUAUUACCAUAAUUGGAAGGUUCUUGGGAUUCUUCGAACUUUAUACAACCAAGCCUAAUCUACAUAGUAGACUCAAAUAGCUUUAAAAUAAGAAGGCAUUAAAGCCUAUUCUAAAUAUUUCAUACAAGAUAUAUAACUUUCACAUGUUUGCAAAAAAAUCGACACAGAUUAUUUGCAUAUUCUUGUCUAGGUGACUUAACAAACAAGUGGAAAUUGGGACUAACUGAUUUCUUGAUACCCUUUCAUGUUAAAUUUCCCAUCUGAUCUUCUCUGGUAAGAUUUGGCUUAUUGUUGUUAAAUUUCAUGUUAAAUUUCUUUUAGAAAGCACUCGUCAAUUUGAUACCCAUUAUAAUUUGUUGUUAUUGUUGUGGUAUUGGUAUCAUUGUGCAAUGAUAAUCAAGAACUAGUUUCAUUUAGCUGUUUAAUGAUUAUGGUCAUUCUCUAAAUCUUAUUUCUUUCUUCUGUCUCAAACAGGUUUGGAGAGUUCCUGUUAACGGGGAUCAAUGUGGGGAUUCACAGCCAGUUGAUGUUGGGUCUCAGCCGAUGGGUUUAACUGUUGCAGCUCAGACCCCUGAACUAGCUAUUGUUUCUACUGAUUCAGGAGUUGUCUUGCUGCAAGGUCCAAAAGUAGUUUCACAGAUAAAACUAGGAUAUGCUGUAACAACAUCUGCAAUUUCCCCUGACGGAAAUGAGGUCAUCGUGGGUGGUCAAGAUGGGAAACUGCACAUUUAUAGUGUUAAUGGAGACACCCUUACAGAGGAAGCAAUCCUUGAGAAACAUCGAGGAACUAUUACUGCUAUAUGUUACUCCCCCGAUGCUUCCAUGUUUGCUUCAGCAGAUGCCAAUCGAGAAGCUGUUGUGUGGGAUCGGAUAUCUCGGGAGGUAUGUCUUCUUAACUUGGUACUGUGUUGUCUGUUUAGAGCAUGAAGGUAAGAGGGAUGUGUUUGUUUUGCUUUGUCCACCAUCUCUUGAUUUUACUAGCUGUCUAUAAUGAUUACUGCUACUAGAAAACUGGUAAAAGGAAGUUAAUUAACGCUUACUGGGUUAACUAAUGUUAAGUUAGAACUUGUGGUAAAAUAAUGUACCACACACAAUUUUGUUUCUUAUAAGAUCCAUAUGUUCAUUUUGAUCGGGUUAACAACAGAAGCUUUUGCAGACAAUAGAAAAUGUUUAGGUAAAUUUUCUAAAAGCUUGUAUUAAAUAAGAAUAUAAAUGAAUGAGAUCAGCUAUCAAUUUCAGCACUCUAAUGGUGUUUCUUCAGGGGCUGUUUUAUUUACAAUUUGCUUUCCUUUCCAGCUGUCCCCAUGUGUGUCAGUAACAUACAACAUUUGGAACAUCACAUAUGGCAUGAUCUUUGUCAAAAUGUGUCAAACUAGGUCUACUGUGGGAUGGAAAGCCUUGAUCUUUCUGAAAUAUGCAAUAUAAGCCAGUUAUAGUUGCUUGCUUUGGUCAGUGUGUUUCCAACUUCAAUUUGAACUGUAUAUAUAAUAAACAUCCUGAUCCAUAACAUCAUUAUAUGCUAGUAUUGACAAAUAGGUUCUCUUUAGCUCCUUGAGCCAUCUGAAGAAAAAUGUUGGUCAUGAAUAUUAACCAACUAGUACAAACGAAACUUUGAGUAAUUCAAUUCUUAAUUGCUAUUGUCUGAGCAAGUUAAAGAAAAGGAAAAUCACGAACCAUCAUGCUGUAUGCCAAUGACUCAUGGAUGGGGUUUGUGAUUAUGUGAUACUGUAUUGCACAUGCCUUGCAGGUCAAGUACCAAGAGAUUUCACGGACAAUCAAAUUAACUUUUUUUGUUUUGUUUUAGUAUUAUAUGAUAUUAUCUUGUGAACAUACUAGUAGUUGUAUUCUCUUAUUAGCUUCUGGUGUGUUGUUGCCUGUAUAUUUCAUUUCUGAGUUAGACAUCUUGUAAAACUUGUUUAUAUUUGAAAAGGACAAGAUUGGUGGAGUGGAUUUCUAUAUAUCUUUAAACUAGAGCACAAAUCAGAAUAAGCAUAAAAAAGUUAACCUAUAUUAUCCUUGUCCAACUGUUUAAUCUAUACUUUGAUAAUAUAUACUCUUUAAAUGAGGCAAGAAAAGAAGAAAAACCUCCCAGCCAUGAAUAAAUUUAUCAUAUUAUUGAAAAUGUUGAUUGUGCCUUAUCUUUUUUUUCAUGGUGUCUUAGAACUAAAAUUUUAUAUUGUUCUAAUUUUUCACUUUACACUCUCAUCAUCCCUUGCAUCUUUAGGUGAAGCUAAAGAACAUGCUGUACCAUACUGCCCGCAUAAAUUGCCUGGCCUGGUCUCCUGAUAGCCACUUGAUUGCCACUGGCUCACUGGACACUAGUGUUAUAGUCUAUGAGGUAGAUAAGCCUGCGUCCAGCCGGAUCACAAUUAAGGGGGCUCACUUGGGAGGGGUGUAUGGAUUAGCUUUCAUUGACGAAAACAGUUUGGUUAGUGCAGGAGAAGAUGCAUGCGUCCGUGUUUGGAAAUUAUUACCACAGUGACAAGGGUUGACCCAUGGAAAUUUAUGCCACUGGUGGCAGAGUGAUCAAGUUUUCUUGUGUUGCAGUUUGCUCAACCAUUAUGCAAUUGGCUUGUGCGUGUGUGUAAUCACUUUCCACAACAGUUACCAUUUUGGUGAAGCCGUCGCAGUGCCUGGUUGCAUCGGAACAUAAUAUUGCAGAAGACCGAUGAAUUUGAUUUAUGGAGUCAAAGUGCAGAAGCCUUUGAGAGAUGCAACUUUUGGUGGCGGCUUUUUUUGGGUUCGUUUCUAUUGUUUCCCUCCAAGUGAAAGCAAAGUAAGAUUACAAGAUGGGGACUGGUGAACCCAUAUAGGUGCAGUUGAGGUGUUGAAUUCAUGUUUGGACCAGCCAUCGUCAUUUCAAGUUGUGAUGGACAUGUUUGCCUGCGAAAAACUGGUUUGGGUGUGCAAUUUCAUCGUCUUUUGCUUGGGUUUAUGACCUCGAGAUGCAAAUGCUAAGAGAAUCUUGCUUGUGAUGCUGCAUUUUUUUUCUUCUAAUUUUUUGGCAAAUGAUGAAUAAUCCCCACUCUGACAGGUUCACAUCGUCUUCUCCCUCGAAGGUGGUACUCCCCAAUGCAAACAAACCUCGGACAUGGAAAUAAUGAAUUACGAAUCUUAAAGCAACGUUGUCCUAACCCUGGUGACAGGUGGUGCGACUCGUGGUCCGAGCAGCUGACGGUCGCGUGCCGAGAAGGGACUCGUAGAAGGAUUUGGGGCAUUUUUGUUAAAUUAAAGUAAGGGUUUUAAGGUAAAAGAAAAAAGAAAAAAAAAAGAACGUCCUCUCUGUUUCACGUGCUCGACACGUGAUCAGACAUCUUCUUGAACCUCCGAGAACAACCGCCGAUCGUGGUCGUAGCGUCGACGCCCAACCGAGUGGUCGUUCUACUCCUCGUCUUCUCCAAGCGGCGUUCUCCAGCCUGGUGCUUGAGAUGGAUCAAGAAGCCGCUCUCGAUCUCGUGAAGAAAGGGGCGACACUUCUUCUCCUCGACGUUCCUCAGUUCACUCUCUUCGGCAUCGACACCCAGGUCUCCUCUUCCUGUUCCCUAUUCUCAUUUCUUUCUCCCAAUUCCUCCUUUACGUUUCUUUUUUUCACGAACCCUAGAAAGAUCUCUUUCUCUUUUCUUCCAAGAAGCUUCUCUCCUUUCGACGCCUGGAUGUGCAUAUUCGCAUAAACUUCAUGACGAGAAGAAAUAAGAUAGCCUUUAGGGUUUCUGGAGUCAUGGAAAGCACUGAUACCCGCGUCUUGCGAAUAAACUUUAGCCGUAAACUGCAUUGUAUAAUGAUUUAUGUUAACAAGAAAUCCGAGUAUUUUACCAUGUGGUCUGCUGCCCUUUUGUUGUCAUGUAAUCUCCACUUGUUGGGGGUUUAGCACACAUAUCUCAAAGGCAUGAAAGAAGUUUCUAUCUGCUUGUACGUUACGUGUGGGAUGAUUGGCCCAAUAAGAUCAAUUUUGUGUUAUUUAAAAUUAACAUUUAUACACAACGAGUGCAUCUAUUUUAUUUGUUUGCAUUUACUUGUAGCACUCAGAUUCCUACCUUUAUUCUAAGAAAAUCAAUAAUGAAAUCAAAUAAAAAUUUCUCACGGAUAUUUUUAGUCACUAAAUAAUAAUAGUAAUCAUUAAAAUUUAAGAAAAAAAUUAAAUCCAACCAUAAUAGGUUUUAGAUCAUUAAUUAAGAUUCUAAUGAGUCCAAACCAUUCUUUUUUAUACAAAAUAAACACUUUAUAAUUGUCUAUGUCAACCAAGAUCCUAAAUUUAAUUCAUCAUGAGUUUUACUAACCUUUUAAAUGCAAAAUACUUGUUCAUUGAUGUCUGUGUCAACAAUUGGAAAUUUUACUUUGGUGUCCUUGCAAAACUUGAAAUUUAACCAGGCCAUAGGUGACAAAGUUAUUUGUGAAGCAAUUUCAUAUACAGAUUUCAUGGCUAAUGUGGCAAUUUAUCAAAUUUGACGGAUGUCUAAUAUCAUAAACAUGCCAACAACAAUAAUUAGUACUAAUGCAACUAAAAUGUGACGUCAAAAUGCAUGACAAAUUUAGCCUCUGUGUGUGUGUGUGUAUAUAUAUAUACACACAUAUAUAUAUACAUAUGUAUGUAUGUAUAUAUGUAUAUGCAUAUAUAUGUAUAUAUAAGUGUAUAUAUAAUGGAGAAGAGAAUUUGGAGUUUUGUAUGAUCAUCAUAUGCUCUUAGAUUAGAAAAAAAAUAUAAAACAAUUGUUUGAUCAACAAUACUCAAUGUAUCUGAGUAUUGGGAAAUUUAUUAAAAAUAUGUACAAAAAAAUAUUAGUUGAGAUGAGUUGAAGUGAAUGUAUGAAGUUACUUGGAAAUAUAGAUAACAAAAAUCUUCAUUUCAUUCAUAAACAAUUAGGCAUAGCUAAAUAAAUGAUAACAUUAGGAAGAAUAAGAUUAUUAAGAAUAUGUUUUAAAAAGACAUAUAGAUGUUGUGAUUAAACAAGGUUAGAAGAGAUAGAAGGAUAUUUCAAAAGAAUUGUUAGAAAGUAGAAACUAUACAAAACAAUCUGAAUGCUAUUGGCCUAACUAAAGGUAUUGUCUUGUAUAGAAUUCUAUGGCAGAAAAAGAUUCAUUGCCCACAAAUAGUUGGAACAUUACAGCAUAUUGUUGUUGUGUCGACAUAACUAUCUUUAAGCUUUGAUGUAAUUUCUUCCAGAUGUUUUCUGUGGGGCCGAUGUUUAAGGGUAUGAAGAUGAUCCCACCGGGCACACACUUCAUUUACUAUAGUCCCUCAAGCAAGUAAGAUGUGAUCUUCUAACAUCAUCUUCUUUUAUGUAUGUAUGAUUAACUUGAUAUGGAAGUUCUUUGCAAUGUGCAACUAUAAUGAUAAUAAUAUGGAAUAACUUUUCUCACUGUAUGUUGAAUUUGAGUUUGUUAAUUUGGUUGAUAUACGACAUAGUUUCAACAAUCAGAAUAACCUACCUAAGAAAUAUUUACAAGAAUUUUGCAAUUAUAUGUUGUCUUGUUGCUUUAGCUGAUUCCAAAAUCCAAACAAAAGGACAACUAUACCUCAAUGUCUGGAAUCAGGGAGUUGCCUUAAUAUAUUUUCAUAUUUCAAAAUUUCAAAUAUUAUAACAGCUCAUUCUGAUGGCAAGUUAUAUUGCUAUUUUUUGAAGUUUUUAAUGCCUAAGGACUGAUGAGAUGGUCUUUUAAGGAUAAAUUAAAACAAAUAGUGGAUUCAAGUGAAUAAUACAUGUAGUAAUUCUGUAAAUCUUAAUGGGUGAGAGACUGAAAAAUUUUGGAUUGCAAUUGUUGCAAUAAUUACUGAGUGCCACAUGGUUAAACUUGCUAUAGGGUUCUAUUAUUGUUGAAACACUGGACAUUCAGUCUACUGGCUUGUAUUCAUAGUGUUAGAAAUACCAAGUUUCUCUAUGUAAGGUUUUUAGAUGUUUGGUGAUUAGUCGAAGUCUCUGAUUGUCUGAGAACAAAGAGAUGAAGCACUAACAGACCAAUUAAGAUCAUGGCAGUGCAGUGCUGUGGGAAACAGGGGAAAUUUUUAUUUAAAAUCAAAUUAAUUUUGAAUUGAAACAAUAGUAUCAUUGUGAGUGCAAUUAUACGUGACCAUUGACCUUAAAUCAUAUAAUACAAGCAUUAUAUCAAUAACAAAGGCUCUUCUUCCAUGUAUGCAUACAUGCAGGUUUCGGAAUCUAGAACAUUGAAAGCCCUUUCUUUGGCAUCUUAUUACUGCCUUCGGUUGAGGUGAGACAUAACAGCGCUGGUUGCCACUUGCCACUGCUCUUUUCUUGAGGAUAGUCUUUGUAAUAUUAGACAUCCAUUCUGAUCUUGCAGUUUGCCAAAUCACAUUUGGACAUUCUAUUUUUGGUGUAUUCCAGCAAUUAGAAUAAUAUGAGUUUUUUGGUCUUACAAGAUGUCAAACCUUAGGUUGUGUGUCUUGUCCUAGUCCUUAGGUAGUUCUUCACUUGAAAGGAGUACUAAAACAAAAAACUAUACAACUCGCGUGGAUGACAAAUCAUCAUGUUGGCAGUACCAUAAAACAGAAACAAUUUGAACGACAUUGCAACAAUGUAAAAAAUAUUUGCCUUCUGUUCCUCUCCAACCUACAACCUUUUCUUUGGUCUCCUCUUCUCCUGGUUCACACAUUUCCACAUCUGCCAUGACAAAACCAUGGAGGCAUAAGGCAGGCAGGGUUUCUAUAUGGAUUCGAUACUUCAAAGACUUAAAUAAUGUGUUUAAGAGGUUAAAUUGAUUUGACUAGGGUCAGACUGUUUUGGAUCCAAUUCGGUAUAGUGUCUGGAUCAGUCAUUCAUAGUUCUGUGAUUACGAAUUGAGAUUGCCCCUCACUGAGCUCUUGGUUGAACCUUCAUUAAGCUUGGUGUAACAUACUUGACUUUCUGUGAAAGCUUAUGUAAUGUUUAUUCCUAGAGAUUGUUAUUUCAUGAUACAGAAGCAUGUUGAUAUGUUGUUCCAACUGUGCUGUGCUGGUUCUUUCCACUGUGCCAGCCAAAAUAGGCAAAAGUUGGUCGACUUUUGUAUUCACACAAUUCGACAUUCCAGUUGGCAUGGAAAGAUUGUUUGUCAUUAUAGCUUAAUUCUUGUAUCUGUGUUGUUGUUGUAGUUUUGGCAACUGUAUAGGUUAAACCAUAGUAUUUUGAUUCAACUGAUACUUAAGCUAGGUGUCUUACUGUCUUUACUGUGAUUGAUUCAGAGAGGGGAAUGAAUUUUCACCGACAGUUGGCUUCUUCCUUACGACCCAUCCUGCCGAGGUAUUCAUCUAUGUAAUAUUUCUUUAUGUUUGAUUGGUAUCUGUUGAUAUGACUUUGCAAAAUCAUACAUAGAUAUCUUUGUGAACUAGUAGGUAUAAAUCUAGAAUUUGAGAUCUUUCACCAAGGGUGAUAUUUAGUGAAUUUUUUAUUGCCUUUUGGAGUUUUUUUCUCGAAUGUGCCACUUUUCUUACCAGAUCAAGAAUAUCAAAAUGUUUUUUUGGAUAAAAUAUUGUGUUCACAUUUUGAUACUUGUAGCACAUGACAGUCUCAUAACGUGAAAUUCAUUUUUCAAGGUUACCAUUUUGGAUCUCUCACUGCAUUCCUGCAGCAUGUAUCAGACACACAAGGACUCUGUUAACUUGUUACAUAUCUUGUUUGUGUGUAUGCAUGCUGUAAUUUAUAUGCAUACACAAGAAUAACAUUGUUGACUUUGAGAAACCAAAUUACAACCUUGGUUAUCAUUGUGGCAAGUAAUAUUUUUUAAAUGGAAAAAGCGAUAUAGAUAGCAUUUAAAUCAUGUGGUUCUAUCAAUUAUUGAAUUGUUUUAGAAGUAUAGCUUUUGUGCUUGAUAGGAUUUAUAAGUUCUUAUUAUGCUUCGGACAGGUAGUUGUGCGCAAGUGGCAUCAUCAGGAGGAACGGCUGAUUAAAGUUUCAGAAGAUGAGGUAGCCAUUUAUGAUCACAAGUCUUAUAUGAUAGUUACAAAAAUUUAGAUAUCACUUAAUUGAUUGGAGUUUUAUAACUAAUUAAAAGUAUUAUAUAGGUGAAUUUGCUUGUAUUAUCUAAAAUGUGGUGUACUUAAGACUGAAAUUUUAAAAUGUGUGUUUGUGAGGUAUGGUAAUUCUGUCUUUGCUUAUGUUGAACAUAUAUGCUGUUCUGACCAUUCUGAUGCUGCAGUAAUUUGAUAGUUCAGUGUGUUGUAACAGUUAGAUGUCUGAAGUUUGGAACAUGUCUUGCGUAAUAUCUGUUAGCAGGAAGCUGGUUUAUGUACUAGUAUUUUGUGUAGUCCCAACAAUUUGAACUUACUGAAGUUUGUUGCCAUGGAUUCAUUCAGAUCUUUUGCCAAGUUGAUUUGGAACAUAUCUGUGAUAAUCUGUUGUGGCAGGAAAUAUUUGUCAACAUAUUACUGUUUUGCAAAGACCAACAAUGUGAACUUACUGAAAUUUUGGAUUGAUAAGCAGCUUUUACCAAGUCAAACUCUUCAUUCUUAUGCAAUGGUAGAAUUAGUGUAUUUACAAUGAAAUUUGAUAGUUGUCACUUAUAAUUUGACUUCUAUUUAGGAAGGCAGGUACUCUGAAGCAGUGAGACGUCUGGAAUUCGAUCCCCACCUUGGGCCUUAUGCUUUAGACAGGCAUGGAGAGUGGAAGCAGCUUUCUAAUUACAUUACACAGAACAUUAUUGAGAGAAUUGGUAAGUUUUACAAACUGUAUAUUAGCUGUGGAUGCUGUUGUUUUAUUGGCUUUAAUUGUGGAUAAUUAGGUUGGAAUGAGUUUGUUUAUAAUUCUUUUAUUUAAAUCCUCAUGAAUCAUGUAUAGUUUUCCUAUUUUUGUUGGUAAUGUCUAAUAUGUUACAAGGUGACAUAUCAUUUGCAAUCUCUUUUACAAAAACUUUCUUUGUGCCAACCUUCAUUUCUUUGCACAGAAAAUAAACUACUAGGUUUCACAUCCAUAUCAAAAUUAAAUUUUGUGCAAAGAAGAAUUUUUAUAUUAAUGGAAGCCAUGUACCAUUGCGUUUAAAAUUUUUGCACCAUGAAAGACUAUGUUCUAUGGAAUUUAGGCAGAUGUUGGAGAUAUCAAAUAUGCUUAUAGUUUUUUGACAUGCUAGAUGUUUUUAGUUUAUUGGUCUUAUAACUCAUCUUGAGUUUUAUUCUUGAAGUAUAGAUUUCCUGUACAAGUCUGGGUAGCUCAUGGAUGUGAUCUUCUUUGAUGCAUCUAUCUACUGCUUGUGAUACUUAGGGUGAAAACUAUUAUUUAGUCUAUUUACCAAUCCUGAACUUCCAAUAAGUGGCACUCUAUUCUAUUUUCUGUGAAAGGCACGUUACCUUCUUUGGUCUUUGUAUGGUGCAUUUGCGUUGGUAGGAUUUUCUUUCACUUGUCAUUGUCCUAGUUGGUUGUAACUCAUCGGUCAAUUUUAUCUCUGACCUCUACCUUGAUUGUAGCUAAAGAUUUUUAAUUAUUUGAUGUUAUUGUGCCAUAUGGUCUUUUAAGAAGCAUUCAGGGAUCUUUAUCCCAUUCUCUACUCUUUAUACUUCUUCAGUGGAAUUGCUGUAAUUGGACAAACUGGAAGAGAGUUGAUAAUUACCUUCAUGAUUUAUGUAUUGUUAUCAAACAAAAGAGGCUUGCUGGUGAUAACAUUAUUUGAAUGUUCAAUUUUCACACAAAAGGAAAGAUAUCCUUUCAGAAAGUUGUUUCUGAGUUGCUGUGCAUUCAAGUUCUUACAUUUUGUUAUUCCCUUUGCAUUCUGUUGUAUUCUAUCUCUCUUCUUUGUUUUGUUAUUUUUUAUUAGGCUUUUGGUUAUUCCCUGAAUUAUUUGUGCCUUUUGUCACUGCAAGAUUGCUUCAAUGUUUUUCUUGGAUAACCUUGAUAUCCAGAUAUUUUACAUAUUGAAUGGAUGAAUUAACAGAGCCCAUUGGUGGAGAUAUUAUGAUAGCCUACGAGUCUGGAUUGAUCGACAGGGUUCCUAUUUCUGUUAUGGAGAGACGUCUGAUGGAACAGCUAAAGGACAGUAAGUUUUCAAACUCUGAAGCAGAGGGAUCUCACAGGCGUGGAUGCUAUUACACAUCAAUUCCCCAUGCUGUUAAGCAUAAGGGCAUUUCUGGAGAGGAACUUACAGCAAUUAACCUUGACAAAGUAAUUAUCUUUGCAUUUACCCCAUUUGGUAAAGUAGAAGGAUUAAUAUAUUGCAUACUGGGCCUUAUAGAUCUUUAUAUCUACCUGAAUAAGCGAAAAACAAAUGUCAUAAUUGGAUUGUUUGGCAAGAAUUUGGUGAAAAGAGAAAAUGUAAUUUUGCUUAGGGUUGCUGAACUCAGUGUGUAAUGUCAAGAUUCUUGUGUUUGUGUUUUUUUGGUAAAUGGAUUUUCUUUAUUCAGUUCAAAAUGAUACUUCUAUGCAAGGUUUUCUUUGGAACUUCCAAUAUUUUAAUCCAUGAUUGUCCUAGGAAUGUGAGCUUGUCCGUUUGUGUUCAAACCAAAAUAGAUACCUUGAUACUGUAGAUCAUUGGAUCCUUGCCAUUUUGUAUCUUCAACAAAAAUAACGGGUCAAAGUUAAAUUACCGGCAUAAAGCUAAAACAUUUUCUCUGUUGAAUCGGUUUAAAAAGAAAGUUUAAAUUGAAAUGUCUGAUAGAAAGUGGGACAUUGGUUAACAUUCAAUAACUUUCGUGAUAAAGCUUUCCAACAUGAACUUAUUGAUUUAAACUUUGUAUCAGCACAAAAUUAGGAAAUUGAGAGUGUAUAGAUGGGUUGCAUUUUAGUUGUUUUGGUAUCAAAAUAGUGCUAAUAUUUAGGAGUGUUGCACAAUAUGAUGAUAUCUAUUUAGUGUGUAAACACCAUGAUUCUAAUUUUGCUCAAACUUAUAUUUUAUUACACCAAUGGUUCAGAAACAAUGGCAUUUGUGUAUGACACUUCAAUGUGAUACAAUAUUUGCCUGUUAAGAAGCCAUACAGCAGUUUAUGUUUAUAAUUUAAUCUAUCUUCUGGUGGCUUAUUUGCUACUUUAAUUUCUUUGAUUUUGUGGACUUAAAUCCUUCCUACAACCCAUGGAGUUGUUCCUUAGAUAUUAAAGUUUAUUUGAAUGUUAUCUAGCUGGGUUAAAGGCUUACUAAUGACAUUUUUAAUUUAGAUUGUGUACUAAAGGGUCACAUUACUAAAGAGUUUUUAUGCAUUGACUAAUGAGAUACAUUUUCCUUCAGACAAAAUUACUGGAAGCAAUCUUGAUGAAAGACUAUGGAGGCGAAGAAGAUUCACUUUUGGGGGAACUACAAUUUGCUUUUGUUGCAUUUAUGGUAUGUGUCUGGUGGCAUGUGUUUCCUGGUAAAUUUAUAGCCCUUGUAUUUUCAUUAAUUGUGGAUCUUGCAGAUGGGGCAAUCACUUGAAGCCUUUCUACAGUGGAAAUCAUUAAUUAGCCUUCUUUUAAGCUGUACAGAAGCUGUGAGUUCUGCAAUAUUCGUGUAUUAGUUAAACAGACACAAACAGCUCUUGCUUGCUUAAAUGAUUCUUUUGUUACUUUUCAUAAAAGAAAGGAGCUUAAAUAAUUUUGCUUUGCUUUUAUGAUUUUAUGAUUCUGUUUAGAUCUUUGUUUGACUGCCUAUCCUUUUUCCUGUCUUUAAAUGACUCACCUGUUUUGAUCUUUGUUCAAAAAAAUGACUGGUACUGUGCUGGUCCUCUACCAGUGUACUGAGUGCCAGUGUGCCAUUAUGUAUUGAGUUUCAAAAAAAGCUUAAAAAUAUUUAAAAAAAAAAACAGAUCGUGUACCUUCUUGUACCGGGAGGCACUGACCCUAUACUGGGUAGUUAUGGCAUGUACCACCUCUGUUUGGCGGUAUUACAAACCUUGGAUGAGAUAACAGAUGUUUUUUUUUUUUUGCAGUAACAAUUUUGUUUGUCUUGCAUGUGAUGUAAUUGUGUUGCUUGAGUGGAAUUAUGCUUAAACGGUGAUAUGACUUUGAUAUUCUUGUCUCUUUCUUGCAGCCACUUCGGACAAGGACUCAGCUAUUCUCCAAGGUAAUUUCAACAGACAUUGGUCAAUUAACUGUAUUUAAAAUAUCUACUCCUGAAUGACAAUCUAAGAACACUAUUUUGAAACAAAAGAUGAAAUAGUAAGUUAUUUCCUUCAUAUUGCAUAACAGUAUUCACAGGUAUCUUCGGUUGGAGAAUUUGGAUUAAGUCUAUGGUCUAUGAUUGUAGUACUAUUUUGGCUGCAGUCCUAAAUAUCUAAUUACUAGGACUAAAGGUCUACAUGAGUCUUGAGCAGCAGUUGGACAGCUAUAAAAAGUUUAUAUUGUUCAAUUUACUAGUAAAGAUAGGAAAAAAAAUAUUUUCAUUCAUUUCGAUAAAAAUAAAAUAAGAGAACUUCGUUUAAAAUGAUAUAAGAAGACUUAUAGAUGCGGUAGUAAGAAGAAAUGAAAUGAUUACGAUUAGUGGUAUGAGAAGUAUAUGAAAAUCUAAAAAUAUUUUAAUAGAAACUGUUAAUAAAAUUUAAAAUACUCUUAACUAAGGAUAUGACUCCUUACCUAUCGAAAGAUAAAUGUGUUAUUGUAAGGUCUACAUGCAACUGACAUUGAAAUAUCUCUUUAAAAGGUACAUAAAUGUGCUUUUUAAUAUAUUUGAAGGUUUUAUUGAUUAUUAAAAAAUUAUAAAUUGGAACUUCUUCUGUCACAUGAGAAUGAUAUUUUGCCCAUGCUUCCUGGUGCUUGUCCUGUGUCGUGUAUAUUGAGUUGUCAGCAUGUCUUUCUUGUCUGAUGGUAGAAUAAAAAAGGAACAUCUGGAGAGCCUUACUAUGAAAUCAUAUAUAUCCUCAUUAUGGAUGAGGAUAUAUAUGUAACAUAGCCAAAGGAGUAUCAACUAGGAUUUGUGUUGACUCUAGUUCAUCAUAUAGUUGCAAAAACUCUUAUUCAAGCUUUAGCUUUGGUAACAGUAUACUUUUCUGUGAUAUGGACACGAGUUUCUUUUCAAUAAUGUGUUGCUUGUAAUUACUAGCAGCGAAGAAUUUUCCUUUUUUUCCUCAUAUAUCUGAUUGCAAUAGCACCGCAUGCAGUUUAUCAGAGUCCUCUACUCCCAACUCAAGCAUGGCUUUCAUAAAAAACAAAAUCAUGGGAAUGAUUCAGGCAAAGGAAUAUCCCUUUUCUUGGAUGAUGUGUGGUUCUCAAAGGACAUCUUUUUGUUCCGUUUGUGCAAGGUAAUCUCUAUCAUUUGGUUAACUAUGUAUGGGCAUUAUUAGUGUAAUACCCUUAGCUUUCACGCCCCUAUUAACGUGUGGUCUAGAUCACUGUUUUGCCAAUAAAUCAAGAACUACUUGGCGUGUGAUAAGCAAAUGUGAGCCUUAGAAUGAGAUUAAUGAUCGAUCAAGAUUCUUGUCAAAGUGUGUUGUUUUUGUAUUUUAGCAUUAGUCAUCUUGCUUUUUUUUUUUUUCUAGUUGAACUUUUUCCAGAUGGAAUUUCAUAAAAAGGUUUGUCUAAAUUGGUUUAGUUCUUUUAGUGAGCGAUUUUUAAGUAUUAAUGGUCAGUGUCAUAGUUAUUGAUCAUGUUUGAAUUUUUCAGGAUUUCUUCCCAUUGGUGCUGGAGUCCCCAGUUGUUGAUGGUGACCUGCUGUUAUGGGUUUGAAUGUUAAAACCUUUUUAAAAUUUUCAUUCAGCAUCCUGUAAUCUUUAUUCUUGAAAAUUACUGCUUUUCUAAUUCUUAUAUAUAGAUUGUGUAUCACUUGGUAUAUUAGGGCAAACCAAAGUUCAGUGCUUUUUGUGAAUGACAGUGUAUGGUAUUUGUUUUCUAUGUGCAUUUUAUGAAUGACAGUGGGCAUGGAUUAUGAGAUUUUUUUUGGGUCUUCUUCUUUUCCUUUUAUCUAAAGACCUUCAUUAACAUGUUAACUGGUAAUGCUAUUUGCAGAUGAGAAAACUAAAGAGACUGCUGGAGAUUGCACUUGGGUGGGAUUUUGCAGAUGUGAUGGAAGUUAUCUGCAACGAAGGGGAUGAGGUUGAUAUUGUUAAUUACUAACUAAACAUGAUUUAGCUUUCUCUUCAAAGCUCUGGAAGUUGAUCUGUCUGUGCUGUCAUUUGCAGUUCUCUCCAGUAAUUGUACCUUCUGAAGAAGUGAAUUAACCUCCAAGCUGCCCAGUAAAAUUAAAUGGUGGAUCCAGUUGUGGUGGUGUUAACUUACGGAUUUCUUCUCCAUGAUUUGUUUUGGACAUGUUAUAUUAGCAUGGUGUUUGACUUAAGUCGGGAAAAGUUGGGCGCUUGCAAAGGUUGUUGUCCCAUAUGGCAGCCAUCUCAUAAUUCUGGCUUACCGCCACCAGUAUCGUUAACUGCCAACUUCUGAAAAAGAUUGUUGUCCCAUAUGAAUUCCAUAUUCUCAAAAAUUUUGUUCAGUGAGGCAAACAUUGUUUUGUCCAUUUCGGAUUUAGCAUCCACCAUGGUUUCCCUGGUGUUCUACAAUGUGGUUUCACGGCAAUCGCAUUUAACUUAGGUAAACAGGUCUUUGUGAUGUAACAAACUUUCAGAUCAAGAAGGUCGAUGAAGAUCGUUUGUAUUUCUUUUCAGAUAAGAAAAGUCAUGCUUCCAAAUCACAAUGAACUGCCGGUCUUUUUUUCGUGUGAUUGAAUCAAGAAGUUAGUGUAAAAAAUUCUGGAUGGUAUAAGUUAUUGAGUUUGCGGUGUUGAUGUUUUGCUAGGGAAGAGGGAAGUCUGCUUGGUUCAUCAUUAAUCUUUUUUUUUCUUAAUGCGAACAACAAACUAAUGGAAAUGUGACAGCCGCGUUCUUCCGUUCCAAUGCCAACCGACUCUUGAGAGAUGGGAAGGCACCUCGGACUCGGAAACUCUAUUCCUAUGACCUCUAAGCGGCUCCAUACGUUGGGUCAGCAGUCAUUCUCUGUUGAGCUUUGGUGAGAUAUAUAUAUAUAUAUAUAUAUAUAUAUUCUUAAAAAAAUUGCCUAUAUAUUCUGAAAAUAAUGUGCACCGCCAUUCUUAAAGCCAUCCGCGUGGCAGGGCACGAGAGCCAAUAUGUAUCGGACCUCCCCCUUCAGAAACUGUGAUGGCGCGGCUGUUGGCUCGUCUACGUUUCGUUCGAUUUCCAUUGUCGCAUAGGUUACCGCUGCUUCCGGUUCUUUUUUGCCCUGCUUACGGUCGUCUAGUCGUCUUUCCUUAACUCGCUUUCUUUGGGUCUCGAUUCCAGGCCUGAAUUUUCGCCCGGUCUAGCAAGCGUGCACCGUGGCGGAAGAACCAGUGCAGGACAUCUUAAUCCUAUCCUACAAGGUCCGUUCUCUCCUCUUGUUGUCAUGAAGCAUUUAUGAUCGGAGUUUUACGUGCGAUGAUCGAUGCUUCCUAUUCCAAGAAACUACCUUUUGAUUGGCUUAAACCUAAAAUAGUUGGAAGUCUUUUUGGCAUCAUUCGUUUCUACCCAUGACAACUUUGUGUUCGAUGAUAUGCCUCUGUGUCCUCCACACAGAGUGACGACAGCAAAGGUAUGGAAUAUAAAUCCUUCGAGAGAAAAAAAGGAUCGUCAAACUUCAUGAGAUAUCGAUGAUUGGUUUAGCCUCAUCUCAGACUGCAAUCUUAUAAAAGUUGAAUGAACUGAACAACAGUAGUAGUGGUUUGGAAUUAGAAACUGGGGGAUUCCAAUAUGUUUUCUUGGUUUAGCUAUCCAGGCAGUCAUGAUCAAGAAGAGUUUACCGACUUCUUUUUAGUUUUCUACUGCUUGUUUAUGUGAAAUUAGUUCUCUUGAAAGUGGUAACUGCUUCAAGCUCAAUGUUAUUUUAGAGGAAAUUUCACUCGUUGAGAACGUAUCACACUGUGAGAUGUCAUUCCUUCUAUGUGUUAUUUUGUGUUUUUAUUAAGCCUUAUUCUUAUUGGUUCUCCAGUAUCACGAUCCUACGCUCGUGAGCGAACACAUUAUAACUUGUUCGGUAAUAGAAGGCCUGGCGAUGAAGAAUUCAGAAAAGCUUGGGCAGAAGAGAUGGAUGAGGAUGACUGUUUAUGGACUGCGAGCGAGGAUGAUGAAGAAGAUAAUGAGAAGGACAGCAGAAAUUUGGAAAGGGCAAUUAAGAAGAUAAGGAAGCAGGCAAAGGAGAACUCGGACCUCAUCGAUGGUGAUGAGAGCGAUGAGCUGAGAAGUUUGUGUUCGGAAAGUGAUGAAGAGGUUGCCCUGUGGAGUGGCAGUGAGGAUGACGACGAUGAUGAUAUUCCUACUGAGUCACACUCGAAUGAACGUAGUGAUAAACACAUAGACAAAUUGUUUGAGUUUGAGGAGACACCCAAGUACAGGACCAUUUCAGAGCUGUUGAAAGCCGAAAAGGACCCCCCAGAGUUGUCCCCAGGAAAGCAAGCGAGAAAGCUUGCUGUGGAAAAUGCACUGAAGAAGUUAAAGAAAGGGCCAGACGGGCGGUACAUAAAUGUCUGGGAGGUGAUGAGUGACAUCGAUAUCCUGAUUGGAGCUUUCGAAAACAUCGUUUCAGGGCCAGAGUAUGCAGAGCUUCGAGAAGGCGGGCCUAAGAAGCUAAAUAUGCAAUUCUUCAAGGAUAUACAAGCGCGCAUGAGAGAUCCAAAUUUCAAAUUUUCGCCUGAGUUGAAACUAAAGCCAAAAAGCAAAUUUGUCCCUCGAAAGAAGUGGCAAAAAGCUCAAUCGAGGAGGAGGAAAAACGAAAGACGUUAACAGGAGGUAAUUCUCUAUUUAUUUUGAUCAAGGAGUGGAGGGAACUUUCAGGCAUGAUUUCUGCUCAUGAGAGGAAAGAACACUAUAUGCAUGAAUUGAGAAGGCUAACACUUUUACAAGUCUUUCUCCUUUCUUUGGCAACAUGUCAGUGUAGAAUGCCAUGUAAAAUUUCAAUGGACAAACAUAUGUGCAUUAAUGGUUGAUCGAAUGAUCUCCUGUUACUUUAUUUCUAUUAAUAUUUCAUGCAUUAAUUAGUAUAAAAUAUGGAACUAGGAUCAUCAAAAGACAAAAAAAUAUCAAUGUCUUUGUCUUCGAAGUCUCUCUACGGCGAUUGUUCGAAAUGUGGUCCAUGGUGGUGUCAUGACAAUUUUGUAGUGUCUCUGUGACCAUGUGUUGCGGAAAGGGUAGAUCGGAUUUGAUCUUCAAAUUCACAUUACAUAAGCACUUAUUGCAAUCGAUGACUUAAUUGUGUGUUCGAAUUCCAACCGCAAGAGAAUAGAAAUUGCCGUGAGAUGGAAAUGAAUCGGAAGGAAAACCAUCACCAAGCCCAUUUACCGCCGGAUCAUCCAAGAAGAACAAGCAUCCCGUUGACGCAGCUUGACACUACGAAGAAAAUGCGUAAAGGAACUACUCAAUUCUUCCAAGAAGAUACCAAAGCCAAGGAUGAACUUACGAGAAUCAAAUCGAGCCGAGCAGAGGAGAAAUCGCAGAGAAUAAUAAUACUCACCAAUAACCCAAGGAUGAUCGUGUAAGAAUCGGAUCGAGCAAAGGCGCGGGGAUCGCAGACGAUACUCGCCAGAACCAUCUCUAUUCGCUCAUUUCCAUUUUCGAAGACGAUAAGCUAUGCGUCGUGCCAUUUAAAUCCGUCACGACCUUCCUGAUAAUAGUGUGACCAUCGAAUGUGAGGUUACCGCAUACACAACAGUUGAUACAAAUGCUCAAAAAAUAUUUUUUGACGUCUAAAUCCUUCGAAUUUCGACUUCUUAGUCUCACCUCCGGUGAAAAGAAUUAAAACCGCCAUGGGCCUUAUUUAUUACACAUAAUCACUUACUUUAAUCAUAAAUAUUUAUAUUUAUGAUUAAUGUGUUAUUAUUAUAUAUAUAUAUAUAUAUAUAUCAUGAUUAUGACAUUAUAAUUAAACUGUGGUAUUAUCUUUGUUUUAGUACUAAUGAACUUAAUGACACUUAAAGAAAUAAUCUGAUUACAAUAAACAAAAAGUAAAAAAAGAAAGGUAUAACAACACAAAAAGCAUAUUUCAGUAUACAUAUAAUAGAUUCUCUCAGUUUAAUUCCGAGCUGAUUCCUAAUUUUAUGGAAUAAGAGACUUAAAAUCAUUUUUUUGCUUGACUUAUUCACAUGUUCCUUCGGUACACAAUUUAACUUUGGAAUCCUUUUUGAGUUCGCACACUCGAGAUCAACAAUGACUUCAUCUAAUGGCUGACAUCUUAUUAUUGCUUACAGUAAUCGUAGAAUUUGCACACUAGAAAUUGUGUUUUGAAGAGCCUCUCGGAAUCACAACUUUCCAGAGUGCUUUCUUUCUCCGAGGGUGGCUCAUCUCAAGUCCACACUGCCACAUCCAUGCAAUUGUUUUGACUAAUUACACAAAAUGCAAUACAAGGCAAAGGAUUCCAGAGUCACACACCAUACCAUACACGUAUACAACUCAUGAGACUACAUGUAUUAAAAGAAAGAAGUUAUAUUAUUGGGUUUUGAUGACAUGCUGGCCUCUAAAAUGCAUUGUAUCGCCGUAGCUAGUUGAAUAAUAUACAGGAAAAUUUUAAAGCCAGACCAGCAUCAAAACAAUGAACCACCCACCACCUCCGUAUCAAAAUCCAUCCUACCAAUGCUAGUUCCCUGCGUGGGGAAAUGGCUGAAUGGCACGCCACUGAGGUUCUAGGAACUAAUCGUGGCAUUCUCGUGGCUUUUGCAUGACCUUGAAUCAGACUUCCAUUUGUCUAAAAGAUCCUUCAUCACCUGAGCAAACUUCUCAGCUUGUGGACCAGGUCUCAUGAUGUUGGCAUUGCUCCAAUGGGAACAUGGAUCUGUCCACCAUCUCUUGCGCCCGGAGCACCAAGCCCCAGGAACAGCCUGAUGGUGCCGACGUCCGAGUACCUUGUCAUCGAUUUUGUUGAGCACUGGGUCAUCCUGAUGGAACUGCCUUGCAAAAGGCAUUCCACUUUCCAUCAUCCUGUCAAAAUCUGUCAUGUUCAGGAAAUGAGGCUCCAUCUUUGGAGGAUUAUCCCACACCAUGUACCUCAGGUUGCUGUUUAUGGUUGUGUUCUGGAAAUCAGGGGAAUUGCACAUGACUGAAUGGAAAUAGCCUUCCUGGGACAGUAUUACAUUCGUGAAGUACAAAAGUAAUGUUCGGGGAAGAUUGUCCCAACCUAAAACACUGUACUCUAUGAAAGAUCUGCUCAGAAUAACCCAUGGCGAACCUGCACGUGGCUAAAUAAGAAUGGGCUUUAUCAUCUAAAACACAAACAAAAGAUUCUUUACCUGUGAAGAAUUUGAAGGACUCAGGAGUGUCCCGCUUCUGUGAAGCUUGGAAGAAUUGUUUCCUAUUUGCCAAAUAGAUGCCUGCAUCGACUAUAAUAGGCUGCACCCUUUGAUAUCUGCAAGGACACAAUAGGAGAACUUCAGAGGAGCUGAAGAAACAAAUCUCACAAAUCAUGAAACUUAAAUGGCAUGUACCCACUCUUUCCAUCCAAGGUCACUGGUAUGAUCCACAAAGUUAAAGUCCCUAGGCACAGACGAGAAAACAUGAAUCAUAUCUGAAACAAAGACAAGACAAAUAUUUAAUAAGUUAAAAGUCCCUCUGGGGAGAGUUAAAAACAUUGUAGAGCUUUUUAUACUCUCUACAACACCAAAAUAUUUCACAUCUUUCAAAAUACAAUUCAAAAGAAAAGAAUACUCGGAAACAAUUAACAACUAAGGGAUUCAAGUCGAGAAAACAAGAUGAGGAUGAUCAACCAUAUAAACAAACAAAAUAUGAGCAAAAUUCCCUAUUGAUUUUUAGUACGAAAAAUAUGAAUAAGAUGAGCAUGAACCCCUGCAUGAUUUUUGGCCUUUUACAACUUAUCAAGUCUUCAACAUGUUUAGUUUAUUAAAAUACCAUGAGACAAUAAAACAACCCAUUAAUUUAUCUCUGUGCAUAUUUGUACAUCUGUUAAAGCAAAAUAAUAGGUUCUUUCUUUGGCAAAGGAAAUCCUCUGUUCCUAGAUCAGAAACUACUUCAUUUUCCAACAAAGCUUCAGUGAAGGCAGGCACUAAAAGAGAGCAUGAUUACUUAUGUCAGAGCACCAUGAUGUUUGCUCCCAAUCUGAUCUAAACCAUUUAAUAAUUACGGUAUAUCCAAAUCCACAUGAGACAAAUGUUUAGAUUGGUUUACAAAGUGCAGCCACAGGUUAUCUUCACAAAAAAAAAAAGCGUGCUUCCAUGUCUUCAAAUUGAUGUUCCGGUGGCAUAUCAAAGUGAGAGAAACAAGAGUUCCAGUGUUUCAGAUAGGACUUACAGGCAAUACUUCUCCAGUUAAAAGUUAAAAGAAGCAUAUAUUUCAUGCUAAUUUCAGGUAGACAUAGCAAAUCUGGAACGGUCACAAUCGGCCUUUGUUAUCACUCUAGUGCAAGAACCAACAAGAACAAAUCGAAACAACAAAACAAUAAUUUUUAACAUAUUUAAGGGUAAAAAAAAAAUCCCAACCCUCCCAAUCUACAUUUGGUUUAAUGAGGAAAAGAUUCUUAAUUUAUUAUUGCUUAAAAUUCAGAAAAUUUCCUUUUUCCCAUUUUCUUUACCCCAAGACGGAACACUAAUUACCACUAAGAUCCAAAAGAAAAAUCUUAAUGAAACAGGAUCACAUACCGUCUUGCGUGACCAGCGGAUAAUCCGCUGCAUUCAAGGUCACAAACCAAUCCCAGCUACCAUCGAGGCGGAGGAGCACCGACGCAGCAUGCAACCUCGCAGCCAGCUCGGACGACCCCAUCGGGGUCAUGGGGCUGGCCUUGCCCACCACGUCCACGUUCUCGAACGCUCUUACGGCGGGCAUCGAGAGCCGGACGCGGAUCGCCAGAUCCGCGCGCUCCGAGUUAGGGGCAUCGGCAGAAAUGUGGAGAAGGUAGCGGUUCCUGGGGUGGUACACGGCGAGGAGGAGGCGGAUCAUCCGAGAGGCGUCGCCGCGACCGCCGGAAAUGUAGUACGCGAAGGCCGGCGGGUGGGCUGCGCCGCGGUGAACAUCGGCGGCGUCCGGCUGGCCAGCGAAGAAGGCUGAGGAGGCGAUGAAGCCGGAGAUGGCGGAGAGGACGAGGAGGACUGCAACGAACGAGACGGAGACGAGGGGGAAGAGCCAUCUCCCGCCCGCCAUGACCCGAGGCGCAUGGAGUUUAGGGCUACGGUUAGGCUCGACGCCGGGGAUCAAGGGGGCACCGCACCUAAGCUAGUAUCACGGCUUUGCUCGAUCUCAGAACCACGGGAUUAGGGUCUGCGGUGGACGACUCGAUCUCGAGGCGGACGGACGGAGAGAAGAAAGGAAGACAGGAAAGGAAAGAGAGCUCCGACGACCCAACGAUUAAAGAGGCAACGGGGGAAACCGAUUCCCGAAGCGGUUCCUUAUGUGCUGCUUGCGACCAUGGAAUGCUAUUUAAAUGCUCUUCUUUCAGAGCUCCGUAUGCUUAGUGAAUGGGCUUAUUGCAUUGCCUAUUUAAAGUAUGGCAUCAAUUAUUUUGGAAUAUUUUAGUUGUCGUCAUAAUUUUUUACUCUUUAGAAAUAAAAAUAAUAAUAAUUAUUACAGUUUACUAAAUGAAAAAAAUUAAUUGAAUAGAUGAUAAGGUUAAUGGCAAGUUGUGAUUUGUUUGUGAAUUCGUGCUUCACCAAAUUAGAUUAGGAUAGCAAGUUAAUGCUGGUUAUGGAUUAUUAUCUUGCACGUGCAAUUCACGCGAGUUGGUGGGUCGGCACACCAACCGUGGAAAUAUCUUACUGCACGGACUAUAAGGACGUUAAUGUCAUUUGAGCAGUCAACUCACUGUCAAUCAAAGUCGCGAAAGUAAAAUAUAGAGGUAUAAAUAAAUAUGAAUAUUACAAACAUUGUGGGCCCGGCCCAGAAACAAAAGUUGGACUGACCUUGCGACGGCCCAAAGCUGUCGCCUGCGAUUAGCUAUCCUUCGGCGUUUGUGUGGACCAGCAGCUCGAUGCCUGUCCUCUCCCUCGAUUCCGAACGCACAGGGGAAGUGAGAGCAGAGGGUAAGGAAAAGAAGAGAUGGUGGUAGGAUUCGACGGCAGGGGGCUGGGCCGCAUACUCGCGGCGCUGGCGGCGGCGUUCUUCUUCCGGGCUAUAUCCGGUGCCGGACCCGCCCUCCCGCCGUCAGGGGAGGAGGAGGAUGACGAGGGGCAGCAGCCGGCCGGCGACGAGGAGGCUCCGGUCUCCGCCGAGGUCCUUCCGGUCACCAUCCGGUGGAGCGGCAUCACCUGCACUCUCUCCGAUAAGCGUGGCAGACGGGUAAGCAUAUAUGGACCGUGGAAACCUUCCCCGGACCCUUAUCUUGUCACACGUGUGCGUAUGCUAGCAGCCGCUUCUCUCCCUGCUAUAUGCUUCUGGAGAGGCGCUUGACGACCCCCACUUGUUUGCGUCUGUCCCUUUGUUAGGUGAACUCAGCAUUUAAAGCUUUGGAUUUAAUUCCUUAGGUUCUGAAAUGAUCGAAUAUAGUUGCAUCAGUGUUUGCUGGGCAAUCAAUUUGAAAAGCAUUUGGAAAGAAUCGAAUUGUUUGCUAAAUGUAUAUUGGUUCGAAUCAUGUACAUUUUUUUUCUGUGUUUUCAUCUUCUUUUUGUUACUAGACAAGGUUUCUGCUAUCAAAUGUGUGUGGGGAGGCGAAACCCGGAAGAUUGCUUGCAAUCAUGGGCCCGUCAGGUUCGGGGAAGACCACUUUGCUUAAUGUACUGGCAGGGCAGCUCAUGGCUUCUUCCCGGUUGCACUUAUCGGGACACUUGGAUAUUAACGGAUUACCAAUGCCAAGCGAAGGUUAUAAGUAAGUCGGUUCGGACAUUGUUUGAUCUAGGUUUUUCAAGGAUUGUUAGCGUGCCACCGCCACCGUACUGCAUUGCCACUCUGGAGAGUGAAUUGGUCAUGUUUUUUCACCAGUUAGGAUCUUUAUAUUGCAGGGUUGCCUAUUUGAGGCAGGAGGACCUUUUCUUCUCACAACUUACAGUACGAGAAACGCUGUUACUGGCUGCUGAACUUCAGCUUCCUCAGACAUGGUUAGCAGAGAAGAAGGAUAAGUAUGUCAGCAGCAUCUUGUUCCGAUUGGGCUUGGUAAGCAUCUGAAGAUGACUAUACUAAAAUGGAAGUAUGAUACCAAUAAGAGUUUUGAUAGCAGUAUUUUCAGUAAACUCCACAUCAAAUGAAGCUAGAAAUCGAGACAAUCUUUUCUCUGGUGAACUCUUCCCUGAAGAAUAAUCUAAAAAGUUCCCCAGUUUUGUUGUCUAUGCUACGUCUGCAAAUGCACAUAGCAACACCUAUACAUAAGAUUUAUUUUCCCUUUCAUUUAAAAGUUCAUCUAGUCUAACUAGUUAGUCCAACUUAUGUUUUGAAUUAUUUUUCAUCCAAAAGCUAACAGUAAUUAUCACAUGUAACAUGCAUAGGAUAGAUAUUUCUACCGACAAUUGGUACCUAACUUUCUCUCUCUCUCUCUCUCUCUCUCUCUCUCUCUCUCCAUUUUAUGACUGCAAUUUAUAAAUUAUACUUAUUUGCUUUCUCCCUGUUGGUGAUAUAACAUUUUGCUAAAAAAGGUCAAUUGUGCUGAUUCUAUCGUUGGUGAUGCCAAAGUCCGUGGAAUCAGUGGUGGUGAAAAGAAGCGCCUUGCACUUGCUUGCGAACUGAUUGCUAGUCCAUCUGUCAUAUUUGCAGAUGAACCAACAACUGGUAUCAUUGUCAUAUCAUCAUAUGUUAUUUCUAUUUCCAAUUUAAUCGGAAUUGUUCUUUUCCUGAAUGUUCACUACAUGUGAUAUAAUAGUCAGCUGUCAGCCACAUACACAUAUACCACUGCAAACAUUUGAUUUUGUGGUUGAUUAAGAAAAACUCUUUUGAUUAGAAAGUAGACAAUGAAACUAACAACUACUUUAAAGAGUAUACUACAUAUUUUACUGCAUUCGUACCUUCUAAUUCAGACAAAUUCAUUGAUAUAGUUUUCAGGAGGACAGAUACUGCAUCUUAACUGGACUUGGGAGAAGGGAAGAUGCACUUAACUGUUGAAGGAACAAUUUGUUUAAAAAGAAAUAAUCAUAUUAACUGGCCGCAUGCAUUUUUCUGAAUAGUUCACUAUACUGUGUAACAUAAUAGCCGGUCAUAUACAUUUACUACUUUGGAUAGUAGAUCAAGAAAGAAGUACUUUUUGAGUAGGCGGUAGACCACGAAGUGACCACUCUGCUUUAAGAAGUGUAUAAUUUUUAAUUAUUCCUCACCUAUAAUUUUAAGCAAAUUUAAUUAACAAAUACAGAUUCUGUCCUUAAUUGGAUUGGGGAAAGGUGAGCACUAUUAGAUUGUCGGAGAGAAAUUUUGUUUAAAAAGAAAAGAAACAGAUUUUUUAAAGAUGAAUGAUAGAGAUUAUUGUUUUACUAUGACUUGAUUCUUAUACAUGUUGAUAGUGAGUGGUCUGUGUUACAUGCAGGUCUUGAUGCAUUCCAGGCAGAGAAGGUUAUGGAAACACUUCGACAGCUUGCAGAGGAUGGCCAUACUGUUAUUUGCUCAAUACACCAACCAAGAGGCUCGGUUUAUAGCAAAUUCGAUGACAUUGUGUUGUUAUCAGAGGGGGCACUUGUAUACAUGGGUCCGGCGAAGGAUGAACCAUUGACAUACUUUGCUAAAUUCGGGUUAUUACUCAGUUAUCUGGCUCAUAUAUGCUAUUCUUAGAAGUUGAUUAUGUUUUUUGAAGUUUCAUGUUACCCUUCAAUGCAAAUAACAAAUUAUCAUUGUGUCAAUAGUGGAACAGAAUAAUAAUAGAAUUCCCAUAUUCUAUUAACAGAAUAUAGUAGACCAGAAUGAUAAUAGAACAAAAUGUUAACAAACUAUCGAUGCAAGUUUCAAGUUAAUAGAAUUCCCAUUUUCUAUUAACUUGAGAUACACAAAAUUGGAGGUAUGGUGGAACAGAAUGAUGGACAGGAGUAUGUAGCAUGCCAAUGCAUGUAGCAUGCCAAUGCAAAUAAUAAACUAUCAUUGUGUCAAGAGUAAAACAGCCAUGGAAUGGUUUAUUGUUUGUAUCAGAAACUUUUUGGUGACUGAUACCAGUGGGAUUCUUUUACACUGAUGUCUAGUUUCUUGCUAUACUGACUUGUCAAGUUAUUGCGAUUCUUGAGUUACCUGAUGCCUCUUUGGCAGGUACCAAUGUCCUGAUCAUGUGAACCCUGCUGAAUUUCUGGCUGAUCUGAUUUCAGUUGAUUAUAGUUCAGCUGAAAGUGUGCAUUCAUCUCAGCAAAGAAUUGAUGAUCUGAUUGAAGUUUUCUCAAAAAGCAGUUUCAUGAUUCAGUGCACAAUUCCAAUUAUGCAGUUGGAUGACUCCAAGGUUUCCGCAAAAUUUGGCAAGAAAACCAUGGUAAAGAGGAGAAGUGGUUGGUGGAGGCAGUUCCGGUUGCUCCUUAAGCGAGCAUGGAUGCAGGUUUGUCAUCUAUUACCUUUUCUCUUAAUUCCUUUUGUCGGGCUUUAAAAAAAGGGUUGGAGAGAGGUGUUCUGCUGCUUAGAUGUCCUUAAUUUUAAUGAAAAAUUUAUAUCUUGUCAAAAGUGUGACAUCAGGAGAUUCAGAGUGUUGGGUCCAUAAUCUUGAAAAAUUCCCAAAAAUCCCAUAUCCAGCUGAUAUUAACUUGAAUAUAUUUUAGCUAAUUUAAAACAAGAUGACAUCUCACUGACACUAUCAGAUUCUAUGUCAUUUGGUUCUUAAUUUAUUGACCCCCCAUAUGGGUGAAGAGACCAGAGAAUUUUUAUAACUCUUUCCUUUUAAAUAGGAAAAUUAUCAUUAAUCACUGUGUCGAUAGUCACUGUUCAUAUUUGCUUUGAAAAUAUUCAGAGGUUGUUAUUGUGCUCAGGCUUCUCGUGAUGGUCCAACAAACAAAGUUAGGGCAAGAAUGUCAAUUGCAUCAGCUAUCAUAUUUGGAUCUGUUUUUUGGCGAAUGGGAAGAACUCAAACAUCAAUACAAGAUAGGAUGGGACUUCUUCAAGUAUGCAUCACCCUCUGUUUUCUCGUGUCUUUAGUGCAUUUAAUUGUUUGCAAACUAGCUAUUUAGCUGAUUAGAUCUGGUUGACAUUCAUGCUUGGUGGCUUGCAAUCUCUUAAUUGAUUCUUGUGUUAUUAACUAUAAUUCUUUAUUUGUUUAGCAUGUGGAAGUGAGAUGUGUAAACCUUUUAUUGUCUGAAUUAACUAAAGCUGCACAUAUGCUUUUCAUGUGUACUAAAAACAAAGGGGGUUGAGUUUUCUAUGGGGUAUCCUCAGCGUAUGGGACAGAACUGGAAUGAAGAACUCCUAGAUCCACGUUGCAAACUCCUAAAAUAUGGGGCCUCUAAAAUAUUUUUUGGCAAAUGAAAUGUGAGCUUCUGUGAUUAAUCGAUGGGAGUAUAUCAUAUGAAGUGUUUGGUGAAAACAGAGUAAAUAUCAUCUGCAAGAUAUCUUUCCUUGCACAAUGCAAGGGUUUCAUUAUCAUGCUGCUGUUGAGAAAAUGUCUAAAAGGCAUUUGAAUGCAUGAAAUGUGGAUGUUCUUAAAUGCCAGCUAAUUUUCUUUUGAGAAGGUUAAACUUCUUGGCACAUAGAAAUCUUUGUUUUCUUCCCAUAUUGGGAUAUUUAUGAACAUAGAUCAAUCAUAAUGGUAGAUCAAUCAUAACGGAGCCACAUUCACCAAGAUAAUGAGCACUAGAUAAAUAGAUUUUUUUUUCUUUCAUUAUUUGCUUGUGUAAAUUUCAUUUUUCAAAAUAGAGGUGUGCACGUGUAUUCUCUCUCCAUGGCAGGAUUUUUCAAGUAGUUUUGCAUUCCAAACUCAGUUGUGCACACAUGACGUAUCACCGCCAGAAAGUACUUGCAAUGUGCAUCAUUGGAGUUUCUGUCUUGAUGAUUAUAUUAAAAAAAACAAGAGUGCUAGUAUAAUUAAACACAUAGUUGAUUCAGAUCUUUGUUUUUGUUGGCUAAAGGUGGCUGCAAUUAACACAGCAAUGGCAGCUCUAACUAAAACAGUAGGUGUAUUUCCAAAGGAGCGUGCCAUUGUUGAUCGAGAACGUGCCAAAGAUUCCUAUGCAUUGGGUCCUUAUCUUUUGUCCAAAUUGCUAGCUGAAAUCCCAAUAGGAGCAGCAUUCCCCUUGAUGUUUGGAACAAUUUUAUAUCCAAUGGCUCGUCUCCAUCCUACUCUUACCAGGUCAGUUUUAGAUGUUUAUUCCUUAUAUAUUAUUGUAAUUAUACAGUAGUGUUUUUUCAUGCGUGGUUGAUAUCUACAUGUACACAUUAGGUUCUAUUUUCCAAGUGGCAAGCAUAUGCUAUUGUUUUUUGUUGAUUCUCACAGUAGCAAAUUACUAACCAUUUUUCCUCAUUUACUUCAUCCAUGUAUCAUGCUAGCAAUUUAUAGUAUUCAGCUUAUCUCGCUUCGACAAACCAAGGCCAUAGUCAUUUCAUAAGAGUGUCACAGUUUUAAUAUAGUAUUAGUUGUUUUUGUGUAUACCUGACACACAACUCUUGAAGCAGGUUUGCAAGGUUUUGUGGCAUUGUGACGAUGGAGUCCUUUGCUGCUUCUGCAAUGGGUCUGACAGUUGGGGCUAUGGUUCCUUCAACUGAAGCAGCAAUGGCUGUGGGCCCAUCCCUGAUGACUGUGUUCAUUGUUUUUGGUGGUUAUUAUGUUAAUGCUGAGAAUACACCUCUGGUCUUUCGUUGGAUCCCUCGAGUCUCUCUGAUAAGAUGGUAUGCCUAUUCUGUGACACUAUUCAUCAGACCAUCGGUGACGCAAGACACUUUUUUUUUCUUUCCUCUGAUAAGAUGGUACUAAUUAUUCUGUGACAUCAUGAAUUGGAUCGGUUAGUGACAACCAUAUUCGUUUUUCCAUUCUCAGGGCCUUCCAGGGGCUUUGCAUUAACGAAUUCAGUGGCCUUCAAUUUGAGCAACAACAUUCGUAUGAUAUCCAAACUGGAGAACAGGUAUGAGGGGAAUUCGAAAGUAUCUAUCACAGAACAUCAUCUCCAGGAUAAAGGCAGAAUUAACCUGUAGAAAGGAAAAACAAAAAGAUGAAGUCAAUUUACUGAUAGACUUGCCAAGUAAAUGAAUAUAGAUUUUAAUAAAUCAUAUAAUUAUAGAAAACUGGUGCAGCAUUUUAGUGUUCUCAGAGGAUAUUGCUUUGAUCUGUAAGUUUGAGCAUUAUCUUUUAGUUGCAUUUUCAUCUCAGACAUGCUAUUUUCCAUUAAUUCAGUAUUGGGAAUCAAGACAUUAUCAUUUUCUCAACUAAGAUGAUCGGUUUAGGUUGCAGCAUCACUAAUAGCCCAUAUUAACUGGAUGCAAUGUGUGUAUCCCUGGUGCAGCAUAUCUAUGAUCACUUGUUAGAUAGAAACAGAAGACAAAUGUCAAGUGCUCAACGUGCGAGUUACUAAUAGCGUAAAAUGGCUCAUCUUUAAAAUGAUGUCCAUUGAACAUACUAGUAUUUAGUUUUUGCAUGGUGACUGUUCUGAGGAUUUCAAUUAAUACCUUCCGUUCUAUGGCAUGGCAGGCUUUGGAGAGGCUUUCCUUUGGAGGCAGUCGAGUGAGGGAUACCAUUGUUGCGCAGGCCAGAAUACUGAUGUUCUGGUACUGGACCACUUACUUUCUGCUUAAGAAGAACAAACCAAAAUAUCAACAGCUUGUAUCCCCCGAUUCGUCGCAUCAACAACAGGUAUAGAUAGGUCAGUGCGAUCAGGAAUCGCAACAAGUACUUACAACUUGGUCUAAUGUUAGUGGAUUUGGUUCUACCAAAUUCUUUUCCUGCUGAAUUCCCCUAGUAUCAGAAACUCUGAAACUCUCUGUGAGCAGUAGGCUUUUCUUUUUUCUUGCCUGACUUCAGAAUCUGGCAUGGGUAGUAAUUGUUGUAUCAAGUUCUUUAAGCAAAUGCAUGUGGAAGCAAGUGAGUCAAUAUUUCCACAUCAAGUACUGAUUCUUUUACCUACAUCCGCAUCUAUUCUGCAUGGUGCAGACAGUCCAACUAAAACCACGAAUCUGAUGAGAUUGAUGAUAUAUGCUUCAGAUCUUCGAAAUCGAAUGUAGAUGUGAUUGCCAUGCAAACAACUUUCAAUACUUUCACUCUGAAGAGUUGUUGUCAAAAGCUUGUAUUAUGAUUUUUUUCUUCUAUUUUUACCCUUUUUAAAGAUACUUGCUCGCAUGAAGAAAAUUCUCAAGUUCUUCUUGACGAGAAAAUGACUGCAAUGUUGUAUUCGCUGAUUGACGCGGCAAAGCUUCCGAAAAAGAACUCACUGAAAGAACAAGAGUUCAGAACUCUCGACAUCGUUCAAGAACACCGACUGGAUUUGCCCCUGCGUAGAUCGAGAGGAGGUCGAUUCGAGAUCGAGAAGACUUGCACCCGAGAAGGGCAGCAGCCGCCUUUUGGUUCUUGAGGAAAGAAAACAUCUGUUCGUCCAAGAACAUCAAAGAGAUCUGCCCUUUCGAUCAGUCGGAGAACGAGAACAUUCGGGAUAUAAGGGUGGUUUAGUGCCGCCGUCCAAACAUCAAUGAAGGCAAACAAGAACGAAUCAAGAUGUGUGAGAAAGACUCGAAUGAACCCCUCAAAAUUAGAAGCUUUUCUUUUUCCAUCUCAUUUUAAAAUUAUUUCUCAAGUAUUGGAGGAUGAAGACACGAGGCUGCAUUAAUUUGGAUACGAGCAGAUCUUUGCUGGCAGCCAACGUCAAGGUUCUGUGCAUGAGCAUGGAGACAUCAAAUUAAUGGUAUUCACGUUGCCCGUCUCCAAUAAAUUGCCAUUUAUUAUCGACACAUCAAGGAAGAAAGAGAGAGAAGAAAACCUGGAAACUGGGCCACACUUUGCUUCGUUUACCGGAAGAUUUAGCUAGCACGCAUGUCUCUCCAUGCAUGGGUUUACAGCUUUUACGUUGUCCGAUAUUAUAUUCGCCGACAGCAACAUGUCGAUGAUCUCCUCGUAAGCAAACGUAUGAUUAGGGCUAAUAAGAACGAGGAAAGUUCCACAGCAGUCACAUCGAUCUCACACAGCCGUAGAAAACGUGAGAUAUUGCCCUUCAACCUCAACACGCUUGCUUCUUCGUUCAGCUUUCUUCUUUAAGCUUCCGCGUCCCACCACCGUGCCUGUAUGUAUAUAUACACACAUUCUUGUCAUCCUCUGCAUCAUCUAUCGACACAGCAUGGCAACCUCUUCUUUCGUCUCCCCAGUUUGCUCCUUGGGUUCUCGUCUCCUCGUGAAAACGAGCCUGCACCAGAAGAAGAGAUCAAGGCUCGUGGUUUCUGCUCGGAAGGAGGACGGCGGCGGCCAGCACUAUGGUGGCAGGCUUGUGGACGAGAACAUGGCCACGCUUCGGAGGCGGAUCCAUGAGAUGAAGGUGGCGGAGAACAACUACGAAGCCCCGAGGGAAUGGAUGGAGUGGGAGAGGCGAUACCACGCGAGAUACGGAUCGGAUGUGUCAGAGCUGAUGGGGUUGUUGCAGGUCUUCCUGCUGAACGCACGCCCUGGCGUGGGCUUGGCCGCCAUGGCGAUGCUUGCGCUGAGUAUGCCGGCAUCGGUGAUCUUGAUACUAAUGUCUCGAUCGUUCUAGUGACCGAGCUCAGUAUGGUCUGCAUGCAGCAAUGUAUUCUGGGAUCACAUACGUUGGAACAAGUUGGCUUUGUUAGCAUUUAGAUGCUUACCCAUUGUUUCAUUGUUCCUCAACUCUAUUAUGCACAGAACACCAUUAUAUGGUUGGUUUUGUUUGAAUCGCAAUCGAGUUUUCUAUCAUACAUCGAACAAACAAAUAAAAGGAAGGAAGCACAGCGACAAGCAUCAAAUCCCACCACACUGUCUCUCCUGAGCACACUCACGCAUCCCCCAUCUCUUCUUCCACCUUAUACAACCCUCAUCUUUGCGGACAGGAGUAGAUUGCCCUCGCAAACAGAUGUCUGUAGAUUGUAGCUUUUAUAUCCAUUAUAGGAGAGGAAAAGGGAAGACCAGUCCAAAGAAGUAGGUGCAGUAGAUCUUCCAUAACCACCUCCGACCUCCCUGAGGCUCAGAACAGUAUGCUUCUUCCUUGCCUAAGGCUUGAUUGUUUAUUACUGGUGAUUUUAUAUUAGAUAGCAGUUGAAGUCUUCUUCAGUACUAAGAAUGGUAGUUCUUGAGUUUGGUAGUGGUUGAAAGGUUCUAUCAAUUGUCCUUUUGUGCCUAAGAAAUCUUUUGUUUCUGCACCGAACCCGUAAAGCUUCCAUCGUUUAUUCAACUCGUUUCCAUUGAAUUCUAUAACUUGUUAAAGCCGUUCGAGAAAAGGUCGAUUAAGAACAUUUAUGAUCGGUAGUUAUGUAUAUAGCUUUCUGAAGAAGACCAGUCUAUCUUCCACCCUCGAUCGGUUCCUCCGAAAGAGAAGGAUGGAGAAAACCAGAAAAGGAAGGCGACAACAUGUGCACCCUUCUCCUUUUCUCUUCUUAAUUAACCAGCAGCCGUAUGCUAAACCAUCCCAGCCUACGAAGAGAUACUGAUCAUCUGUGAAAGAUGAUCAACACCAUCACGCAGAAGCAACAGUAUACCAAACCCAGCGUGCACUCCACCAUCUGACGUGCUCCCUCGCAUGGCGGAAGGCCAUGUGGUAUGGUGUGAUCCCUUAAUCUAUUGCACCUUUUCCUCCGUGUCUGCGGCCACCACCGAUCACGCACGAAGGAAGAAGAAGAAGGCACGGUCACCUUCAAGACAAACCACCUGAAUGGACAACAGUAGAAUAAAACGUCGGUUGCAUCGCAGCUUUGUACCAGGCGGUCCCCCUGUUCUUAUUCUUGUUCCUUUUUGUCUGCUUUAUUUCCUCCUCCUUUUCCAUCACAGAUGCAUUGUUUUGUCAUCCACAGAUUCAAUCAAAUCAGUCUCUUCUCUUCCCACUGCAUCACAUGCAAGCAUCCAAAACUAGAUAGUCGGACCAUCUCUUUCCUAAGAACAGAAUACUCAUAUCCUACCUGAGAAUCUUGAGAAAGCUAAGAUGUCACUGGAAGACACAUGCUCCAGCAUAAGAUAUCUCGUUUAGAAUCGCAUAAAUUAGCAGCCGUCACUAUCGUAAUCUUGCUUCUUAUACAGCAGACAUAUACAUUUACUAUUGAGUGUCAAACCAAAGGAAAUUUCAUCCUCUUUGUCUCCAACCAAUCUGAGUAAUUGGUGAAAUUCCACCAGUCCCUGCUUAAGCAUUUCCCUUCUCUCGCUUCCUCAGGAGCAUACUCAGGCGAGAGAAAAAUCUUGACCAACCCUUUUGGUGGAACAGGUUCUUUUCCUCCUUUAGUUUGAUUCACGGUAAAGCCAUCUAAUGACAGUAUCUACCUUUAUGGUCUUCUCGGUCUACUAUGCUCACACUAUUUGGAGCACGAGCAAACAAAUUCCUGUCUUUUCUCAUAGUCGUACGAUCAUAAUUGCACGGCUCCAAUCAGUGUCGCAAACCUACAGGUGGGAUUCUCUCCAAGCUAAAAUCUUUGUGUUUACGGUUUGGCUACGGUGUUAAGAUCCUGCGGAUGAUGAAUGGGGUUUAGCUCUAAUGGACGGUUUGGAUGUGAUUUAAAGGUUCCAAAUGCUCGUAUAAUUAGAGAAGAUCCUCGUUCUCUUUUUCGUACCCCAUAAUACCCCUAACAAGUGAACAAUAUUACUACCAGCCACAAACACGCAUAUCGUGGUGCACUCAAAGCGCACUUUGGUUAGAGCGAAGGAAACGGAACAGUGGCGUUUUGGUGAUUAUCUCAGAAUCGCAGGGCACUCCUUUCACUUUCACGACACGGGGUCAGCAGGCGAUUCGGUCGUACCGUUCCCCAUUCAAAGCGUUACGUAAGUCCACCAAAGACAGAGACCCGUUUCAUGACUCCACAACGUGGCGCUUGCUUUUGACCCUAAAGCAAACACGGACCCCACACGGAGUUUCCAUCGCAAUCCACACAGUUGUGCCUUUUAGACGACACGUCAUUGCGGGUAACGUUCGAGGUAUGAGAGAUUGCACCCCCCGUUCGCUUCCUUACUUUCUCUCCACUCCCGCCGAUUAAAAGCCGUCACCUUCGCAGAGCUGCCGCUCUUUUCCCCGGCUUUUCUUGUCAUCGGGGGCUGAGAUCGAACCCCUACUGGAUCUUUUUCUCCGAUCGGGUGAUGGACCUUGGCGCCGGGGCUGGUGGCGGCGGCCGAGGCGGAGGUGGAGCUGUCGUCCUGUUGUUCAUCGCCUCCGCCGCUUUCGUUGUUGUCUCCGAGGCGGCGCCGGCCGCGUUUGGAGGAGGGACCGCCGGAGAAUCCAUCCCAGGUCGGUGAGAUUAUUUUUCGUUCUUUGUUGGUUCUUGAAGCUUGGAUCCGAUCCCGUCACCUUCGGUCGAGACUGAAUUCUUCAUUCCAAAGAACGUUUAUUGGGAUUUCGAUCGAUUUGAUAUGUAUUGUUCAUGCAAUAAGAUUCUUUUCCGUCUUUUUUGGCUGUUCCCGUUUGAUGGAUUCCUUGGUUGACGAUGUAAAUUGAAGGGGGAGAGAACUUGCCGACAUGGGAGAAGGGUCUGUUGAAGCUGACGUCGAUCGCGUCGGGGCCUGUCGCCACGGCUCCCGACGCGAGGUUUCCGUUGGUCUUAGCGGCCAAGAGGACGAAGAGGCCGGACGUUCUUAACAAGUUCAGGAUGUAUCGAGGGGGCUGGGACAUUACCAACAAGCAUUACUGGGCGGUGAGUUCAUCAAGUCCUCCUCUUUCAUGCUUUAACAUGGUUGUGUUAUAUUAUGAUAUCUUAAGGGCUAAGAUGGCUUUGAUUUGUGAUAGAGACUAUGCUCUUCAACAAACAUAAAGGGAAUCUAUAUAUUUUCUUCUCAAGUGUAAUUGCACUCAUUUGUAUAUAUCUUAUUGUUAUCCCUGUUAUGCAUGUUAAUCAAUCAGGGUUUGGGGCUUUUCUUGUGGUCUUAGCAGAGAUUGCAUUACUGUUUCUGACAUGAUAUUUUAAAUUUUAUUUGUAUCUGUGUUCUUGGAGUUGUGAAUGGAAUUCUACCGACGCCAGAUAAAUAGAUCCCGGUUAGUGUUUCACCGACGUUGGUUCUGUUUUCAUUUUGCUCAUCAAGUUGCAAGACGAUUGAGGAUGGAUGUGGAAUGUCAAGAGAAAUAUAUUGUUUACCCAAUUUAGUGCUAGACUUGCAUGACUUUGUUUCUGAUGAAUGUUUCGCUACAGAUGGUAUCUGUGUGUACUCAUUCUGGGAUUGUAGAUUGGGCCCCAUGAGACACUGUCCAAGGAUGCACAAAAAAGGAAGGGUGUGGUUCUUGCAGCUGGUUUUGAGCAUCACUUGAAAUCCAUUCCUUUCUCUGAUUGCCCUUUUGUACCAUUCCAUUGUUGUGGUCUGAUGCAUGGAUAGCUUGACAUGAUCUUCUAUUUUGGUGAUAAUGUUUCUUGCUUAGAGGGCGGGCUUCGGUAGCCUCGAUACAAUGGUAAGGUAGCUCUUUUAUGACUUGAGAGACCAAGGGUUCGAGUUACAAAGAUGAUCUUUUUUAUAUUAUUUGGAUGUAAGGCUGUGUACAUUGACCUCUCCCAGAUCUCACAAUGGCUAGAGCCUCACGCACAGGGUAUACCUUUUUUUAAUCUUACGUGUGUCAUAGUAUCCACUAUCCAAUUCUUUCAGAGUUUUCAUGUCCCUCAUAAUGAUGUUAUCCAGUAAUUUCAGUUUUGACUCAUAAUAAGCUGGACCAGAGAAUCACAAUAAAGGGUGGCAUUUCAUGUAGCUGGUCUAGAGCAUCUCCUGGGGUCCAUUUCUUUUUCAGGUUGCGUUUGUAUUCCAUCCUAUAGCUAGGGUCGGAUAAUUGGAAAUCUUGUUAUGAUCUUCUAUUUUGGUUCAUAGUCUUGCUGGUGUCAUAGUAUCCAGUUAUUUUGGAGUAUGCAUGUAUCCCAUAAUGAUGUAUCCGGUAAAUUCAGUUUCGACUCAUAAUAAACUGGACCAUCUUUUGAUGUUGUUAAAAAUGCAAACUGGUUUUCAAACUGAUUGCCCUUUUUUAGUAUCAUGUUCUUCUUUAAAAUACACAGGCAAAUAUUAAGUUAUGUUUGCCGUAGUAUUCUAUUAAUUGGGAUUGUGUAUUGCUGAUGAUCCCACCAAAUAUGAUUGGACUAUUCAAGGAGUGAAGAAUGCCUCUGCUUUGAUUAAAUCCAGUCAAAUAUGCAUCUUUUUCAAAAUGUGAAAUCGAUUUUUUGUUCUUUCUCUUGACCCCUAAAUUAUUAUUAGAUGUCUUUUGCUAUAUAUUAACUGCUGUUUGUGUAGUCUGUUGCUUUUACAGGAGCUGCUGGGUUUCUCCUUGCAUUACUGUGGUUGGUUUCCUUUGGACUGGCUUUAGCUAUACGUCUCUGCUGUGGAUGGGGACCACAAAUCAAAGAUGAAGGCUCUUUCUGCAAACAACGUGUUUGUCUUAUGUUGCUGUUCGUCUUCACUUGUGUUGCAUCGUAAUGUUCCUAAGCUCUUAACUUUUUUCUUUGGGCAAAAUUUAAGCUUUACAAUAUCUCCAUGAGAAAAUUCUCAUUUAUCAUCACGUGGAUUAUCAAACGCUAAAUUGUAUGUUAAAUGGCUAAGUGGCAUUUGUCUAACUAGAUCCUCAAGAGUAUGUCGGGUACUUCUUUAAACUGUUAAGCAUGAUCUACAUUGUUGAGAUGUUUUGGCACAUUCAUAUUGUCUGGAGUGGUAUCAUGUAUGUCAUCAAAUAAGAAGCCUGAAAAUGGAUAUAGUUAAUAUGAUUAGUAUGUCAAAUAAAUUGUAGACCAUUUUAAGAUCUGAACCAUUGAUCUGAUUGAGAUACAAUUCGAAAACAGUUUAGUGUCAUCUGGUUGACAUAGAAGUUUGGAAUCUCUGGAUUACUGCGUUCCAUUCUUCAGAUGCUUCUUUCCUAGUUUAUGCGUCAAAUUUGUUUCCAUGCAGGACUGGAUGCAUUCUGCUUUCUGUGGAACAGGCUGAAUUUCAUGACGAAGUGAUGGAUACCUUGAGUUUUGUAGUCAACCAAUCAGAUUUUACAGUUCAGAUUCUAAGGAAUGUCACCGACUUUCUAUCCUCUGCAAAGACUGUCAAUGUUGAAGAGGUCUAUCUUCCACCAGAUGCUCAGAAUGAAAUUGACAAGUUGAAUACAAAUUUAGAUGAUGCAGCUAAUGCUCUUUCAGAGAAAACAGAUCAAAAUUCUGGCAAAAUUAAAGGAGGCAUUGAUUUUGUGUAUGCAUUUACGACAUUUUUGCUACUUCUUUGGUCUGUGUAUCUCAUCUUAAUAUUCCAUGCUUCAUUUUCUCUUUGUUUAGGCAUUGCACAUUGAUCGGUGUAGCCUGUUUGAUGCUUUUGCUGGCCACACUUGGUUUUGGUAUGUAAUCUCUAAUUCGCUAUAUUGCAUUAUCUUCUGACUUGUCUAUUCAUGUCUGUUGUUUGCUGUGUCUUAGUUUUUUGACUAAUUCUCAUAUUGACUUUGACAUGCAAUUUGCAUUUCCCACUUUUUUCUGCUGCAGUGUUUUCAAUAUGUGGGUACAGACACACGAUUUACAUGUAAGUUGAGAAGUUGCAGGUUUGCAGCGUAGAUAAAUUCUGGACUAUGGUGUAUUUUCAUUUUGAAUAAAGAUUUUAGAAGACUACUUAGGCUUCUUCUUAUGUAUAAUCUUUCAGAUUCAUAAUGAGUGGUUGGCUACUUGUGGCAUUUACCUUUGUUCUCUGUGGAACUUUUGUGAUGCUUCACAAGUAAGAAUAUUAAUUUUCUAGUUCUCCUUUUUUUCAUUUGUCCUGUUGUUUAUCAAUCACAAACUUAUCCAUGAUGUUCCGUAAAACCUAGGGAGCACAACAAAUUUGGUUUUCACUUUGGCAUAUCAGAAGAUUCACAAAUGCUUUCUUCUGCAGUGCUACAGUUGAUACUUGUACAGCUAUGGGUGAAUGGGUUCGUUAUCCUUAUGCCGAGACAGCCCUGAGCAAUGUUCUCCCAUGUGUCGAUGAGCAGACCACAAAUCACACUCUGUACCAAAGCAAAGUAGUAGUCUACCAGCUUGUAAACAUAGUCAACACAGCAAUAUCUUCAUCUGUGAAUUCAGAUACCUCGUCUCGGGAGAAGAAAACUUAUUCGUACAACCAGUCUGGGCCCAUGGUUCCUUAUCUCUGUUCUCCCUAUGAUUUCCACCUGCAAAAUCGACAGUGCAACCCUGACGAGGCGUCGGUUGCUAAUGCAUCACUGGUAUGUAAACAACAGCCCUUAAGAAUAGUCCUUAGUUUGCUUUUCCUUAAGUUCAUAUCUUCACGAAGAAUUGAAAAGUAAACUGUACUAUUUUGACGAACCCUCUUCUGAAUUUUUUUCAACUCAAGAAAUGAAACAAGCAUUUGGUGGCUGGUAUGUGCUGUUCUACAUGCUGAUUCUCUAGUUUAUUUGUCUGUUAUAUCCUAGCCAUCUUUGGUAACCUGUGGUAGAUAUUGCACCUUCUGGUUUGAUGUGACUAUAGUACUUACAGGCUCUGCUUAUUUUCAUUACUGUGACCUGCAUGGUUGAAACUGAAACUAUGGAGACAAAAUUCACUUAUAUGACAAAUAGGCUUUGCAUUUUGGCUCCUCAACUUCAGCAGUCUCCUCAAAGCUCUUCUGUAUAACAUGAUCUCUCCAUUUGUGAUCAGUAGCAGAUAUUUAUUAACUGGCCCUUAGAUCAUUUUUCAGGCAUUUUGUCUCAUUUCCUUCAAAGCUCUCCUCUGACUCCUAGGGUACUCAUUUAAUAUUAACAGGCUUUCACAUGUUGAAACUUCUCAGGUAUGGGAGAAUUACACAUGCAAGGUUGCUGAUUCAGGUUCAUGUGUCAGUCGUGGAAGGCUUACCCCUGGCAUUUACGAUCAGCUGGCCAUGGCUGUAAACGUGAGCUAUGCCCUCUACCACUACACACCAUUCCUACUCAGCCUUCAGGACUGCAAGUUUGUCCGAGAGACCUUCAACACUAUCACCACUCUCUACUGUCCUCGACUGGAAAAUAACCUUCGGAUGGUCAAUGCAGGACUAGCACUCAUCUCAAUCGGAGUCCUUUUGUGCCUUAUCUUGUGGAUCGUCAACGCAAACCGCCCCCACAAGGGAGGAGGUGUUUGUGCUGCUGUCUGAAGUUAAGAAUUUUUUUUUUUUCAGAUAGCAGUAUCUUAAUUAAAUGAUCUAAAUUAUCUCCUAGUAUAUAAGCAAUACAUACAACUCUUCUAGCAUUUAUAUCGAAAUCGCAACCCAAGUGGAGCAAAGCGUCACUUGUGGUGAUAUGUAUCAAAUUCCUAUCUCUAGUGCAGUUGCUGUAACUCUAAAAACUCAUAGGUUUUUGAGCCUUAAGAAAUAUAAUAUUAAGUUUAUUUCUCUUUUCAAGUUUGGUGUUUUUUGUGCAGUCUUUGCCAUCUGUUUUUGCAUUGGUGUGAGUCUUGUUCUGUUGAGGCCAGGUGGAUUGGAAGGCAGGUUUAACAAAAGUACUUCCUCAUCCAGGAUCUCAAGUUGCAUCAUUGCCUCUGUGGUGGUCCUUCCUGUAGUAUCAUCAUGUGGAGCUGCUACUCUCCUGUUACUUAUUUCUAAAGGGACCACCUGCAGAUUGAUGGUUGAAUGGCUUUGUUGUACUGAUCACAACUGCUCCAUCAGAUGUUAUAUAUCCUAGGAUCGAUGUGUACUGACACUGACAUGACCCUGACAUAAAACUUUGCUUGGCUUUUGUGCAUUGCAUCAGAUAUCUGUAAUCACUGCUUCAUUAUACUUUCUACUCAAGUUGUGGAAACACUUUUGACAGUGAUCAGGUCUGAGGAGAGCUCAAAGGUGGCCGACAGAUCAAAACCUCAGAUGGAAUUUGCUUGAGCAGCCGGUACGACACUUGCUCUUUAACCAAAGGUGCAUUCCAUCAACAUAUUUCAAUGUUGUCAUCAUGCUUUUGUUUCCACGGUUGGUCGUAUUCGUCCCUUUCUUCCCGUUUCUCUCUUAUUCUUCUGUAUAUAAUAUUGCUACUCUUCGGUGCCCCCGGGUGUUGAUAUCCUUGAGAGCUCCAAUGGAGUUGAUGAGUUCUGUGUCGGUUGCCUACCAACAGAAUGAUAUGUUUGGCAUUUAGACGAGAAGCUUUGAUGUAGGAUUAGCUCCAUGAUACUACUCUUGGUUGACUUUCGUCGUCCCACCUGAUGACUUGGAUUCACCCUGUUUCGAAAGAGUUCAACUGACAACCUUCUUGUUUGUGAUUGAAUGCCUUUGAAUCAUAUCUUCGACUUACUUUUUCUUAUAGUGGCGUCUUUCAUGAGAUCAUUUUGAUUCAACAGCAAUGGCGCAUGGGACAAGACAAGCCUAAAGUCAACGCUAGUGUCCUAACACACUAAGACACCAAAGGUCAGCUGACAAAUUUACUGGUACCACAUAAAAAUAUUUCACAUCAUAAGCAAAAAAAGCUUUAUGCCCUUAUAUGCAUGUUGCUUUAAUUUUAUAUUGUUUUUGUUCAUGUAGGAUCCUCCUAUAAACCAUCAAAAGAUAGAUAUUAGCGUUUGGAUUUGCUCUGUCCUAAAAAGCGUUCUUAUUUCACUCUGUCAUAAAAAAAGUAAUUGUGACAAAUGACAUUUAUAUUAAUUAUACGACUCGAGACUCACUUUUAUAAUCACAUAACAAAAACAAAACAAAAAAUUUCCCUACCCAUAAACUCAAAUCUGUCUUCACCCGUCUUAAUUCAAAAGCCCAUAAACUCCAAGCAAAGUCAUGACACUGUCAGUGUAGAAUCUGAAAUCGAAUCCUCGGAUGUCGUCGUAAAUGAAAACCGAGAGAUGUGACCAAAGAAUAAAGAGUUGCUUAUUUUUUGCUGAUGCUCGACACCUACUCUAUGGGCUUUGUUCAUGGAACCUCUUCGAUGGUGUCCAGUGCCGGCUUCCAUGACCGCUGCGUCGACAUCCUCUUGACGCUGCUGGUGGUCUCGCUCGCUCGCUUGGCUUCUGCACCGAGGACGGGGAGAAUCCUCCUCCCAAAGUUCUUGGCCACCCCUCUCUUCUUCGUCGCGGUAGAGGCCCUGCGCGAAAGAGCUGCCAUCUCCUCCUCGGUGAGCACCGAGAAGAGCAAGUCCAUCGGGAGCAGGAAGUAGAGCCGGCGUCUCUCGAGCUCCUCGUCGGCCACCAGUCCCGGGAUCCGGCACCCCACGCUGAGGUGGUCGGCGUCGCACACGAACUCUCCCGGGUUCUCCACCAUCAGCUCCUCCGCUCUCACCGAGUGCACGUACUCUUCGAACUUGCCGUCGCUGCUGAUCACCUUUAUGGAUCCACCUGAGCCAGUAGCGUAUGGCGCGCAUGCAGUGUUCCCCAUGAGAUGUCUCCCGGCGACUAAAAGAACACAGCAAGGGGCAUAAGCACUCGUCGAGAUCGAGAGAGAGAGAGAGAGAGAGAGAGCAAGGAAGAAAUUAAGCAGCAAGCCACUGAGGAAUGCCUGUGGAUGCCGGUACUUAAAAAAGGGUUGUGGAUGGGAGGGGGAGAGAUUUGGCAAGCAGUCGCUAUUGAUGUGGGAUUGUUUAGCAAGGAGAGCACAUGGGCUGGGAGUUAGGAAUUAGGUCGUGCAUGGAAGCAGACAAAACGAUGAUGGAAACAACGAGACGGGGAGAAGCAUCAGCGGGAGGCCAAAGUGCCAUUUGCUCGGUCUGUCACCUAACGCCCUCUCUUCGUGUCUUCUUUAUAGGAGUAGAGAGGACACAGAGAAUAACAACACGGGAGGAGUCUGCUCAUCUGUGCCAGUGCAUGCUGAUGGCAAUCGACUCAUCUCAAUCUGAUGGUGUUUUGGCCAGUGACGAAAGUGCCAACUCCAGCUUGCUUUCACCGUGCAUUCUUCUUUAUUUUGAUUUGGCCCCAUUCACCAUCGCUGCCCCAGAAGGACUGCCCGCUGGUGUGCUUUAGCUUGCAAGCUGUCUCUGUCCUUGUCCGAGGGCCCAAAUCUUUCCCCCAUGCUUCCAUGUGAACCAAAGCACAAAGAAAAACUCGAGUUGUGUAGAACAAGCUCCAGCCAACCUUUGUCGAGUGGAUUGGCUGCAGGAUGAAUCAGUGUUGUUCUUGGAGUUACAGUCAACCCUGUUUGUUCUCCACCAAACUCUGCUGGAUUUCUGCGUUUGCAGACUCUGCCACUCUUUUCCCGAUUAACGCAUAUUGUGUCCCAAGAUCUGCAGUUUGAAGAAUCUGCGGUGGUUGUGGGGAACAGUCUAAAGCUCGAUCAUUUGGGGAAUCCUGAAGACAAAAAUCCAGUCACAGCAUAUUUAAUGUAAUCCAAAGAUUUCUUGCAGGAAGGCUGUGCAAGUUGGCACGGAACAAAUGAUCAUCAGAGGACAUGAUGAUGAUCAUGAUCGUGGAUUAGAUGAUCGCGUAAAGCACAUCGAACUCGACAGAUGGCCUCUGCUCGAUUACAUAAAAAGUAAAUCUCAUGAGUCUGUGAAGCAAAGUGCAGAGGCUGAACUGUGAUCUGUUCUUCCAUGUUCACUGCAAAAAUAUACUUUUUAUUUUAUGCUGCAUUCCUUCAUUUAGUUUGUGCAUACUUUUCUCCUCAAUUAAUUUUUCCAUUUAAAAGCUUCUUUACAAUGAUGAACAAAUAUAAAAUCUAUUCGACCACAUCCGAUAAAAUUAGAACGAUACAGAGAUAUGAACAAAUAUACUCAGCACACGAUGAUUUAUGUUGACAACCAAAAGCAGUAAUUGCAGUCACUGAUGCAGGAUACAAGCAGCAGCUGUAAUGUCGAUUGUUUAGGAGUGGGACAUGAGCUCUAACACACUUCCAUGAUAGCUUCACACUUUUAAUCCUCCACUUUUCUUAUCUUGAUUUUAAACAGGUAUGGGCAGUGAGUGGCAUUGUGUGUCAUUAUGGCCUAAGCAUAUACAUGAUAGCAGUCUGCACUUGAGCACAGCACAGAAUUAAAAGAGGUGAUCACUAAAGGUAAGGAAUCAUACACUGGCUAAGAUAACUCAUCAAAAGUAGGUAAUGGUUAAAAAACAAAAAAAGAAUAGGAAUCUUCAUUGUAUAUUCAGACAUGUUACUGUCCAUCGAUCUAAAAACGGAGAGUAUACAUCAAUUAUUCAUUUUACUUGGUACAGAUCUUCAAAAUUCAUUCGGCGCAGAGGCCAUACAUUAAGCGAUCAGAGACUGCCAGUAUCAGAUAAAUUAUUCGCUAUCGUUCUGCUCCAAGCUCAAUCAGAUGAUCACAGCAUCCGAUAACAAAAGAAUCAUGUUGAUGUUCCAUGGGCAAAAGAUUUUGAAAAAAAAUUGAGGGACUUGCCCUCAGUUAGAAAUUCAUUAAGAUCUUCUCUUUUGAUACGCCGUCAGCCACAAGCUCAGAUGUCACUUCCUGCCAUGUAUAAAAAAAAAAGUCGCAGAUAAGCUAUCCACUGUAAGUUAACCAGCAUUAUCGUGCAACCAAAUCUGGAGACUUUACCAAAAAUUGAAACAACAACAAUUGGUUCAUCAAACAAAAUCCUCUGCUUUUCGAGAAUAACGCAUAAAGCUUACUAUCUACAGCAUUCAUGACAUGUGAUUUUAAUUUCAGAACCCACUGAGAUUCAUUACAGCAUAAUGACAUACUGUUGUGACUAGUAAAAUUCACCCGUAAAUGAGCUAAGAAAAAUGAGAUGAUGUUAUCAUAAGAUAAAUAAAUAUCAUAGAAAGUAAUUUUGUCAUAGCUUCAUGGUCUCAAUAGUAGGUGAACACCAAAAAACUAACAAUGAAAUCUGACAAUGGUGGGUCUGGAAAUCAGGUAUAUUAUUUUCUGUUCUCAGUACCGGAUCAUAUUAUGACUUGUACAUUGUUCAAAACUAAUACAUUCUGAAUAAUAGGAAAAAGUUCGUGGAUCCUCUCCUUAUAUUUUGCUUAUGGUCAAUAAUCACGACUUGUUUCCAAACUUUGGUUCUAAAGGAAUGAUACAAGCCAGAUUUAACAUUUUCAAGCAUCAGCUCCAGCAACCUAAAAGGUACAAAAAAGUAGCUACUUAUGUCCUAUCAAAUUCUAGGAUGAAAAUGCAGGAAACUUUAUUAAUAGCUUCGAGAAAAGGAGAAUAUUAUUAAAGAAAAAGGAUACCGAGGUUUUGCAUGCCUUAAAAUUCCCUCAAAUUUUGAUUUAAAUAAACAAAAAAAAUUUACAAAACUCUUGACCUUCCAGAGGAUUGACCAAGACAGACAACUUAAAUCUAGAUGAAGGUUAUCCAACAAACUCAAAGUUUAUUGUCCGUGAAUGCCAGUUUUUUUUUUCUUUUUUUUUUCCUUUGAGAGUGGCAAUCUGCAGAUCAAUCAAAUACAGAAAGCAAUAAGAUAUAUGGUUAUGAGAUACAGAUGACAAUAUCGAACAGGUUCACAAAGCAAUUGUACCAAAACAUACUGAGGCAUCAGCAGAUGAUCACCAGCAGAAUAUGCACCUAAUGUGUCAUAGCAAAACAAGUCGCUGUUUAUUGACAAUCAUGUUCCAUAAAAAAAUGGAAGCUAAGACAACUGUAUCAAUCAAAAUGAGCACUCAAUAGUGGCUAAGUUUUGAGUCCAAACCAAGCAAUUCAUUACGUGUGAAGAAGAUCAUUACAGAAAUAAAAGGGCCUAGAUCAUGCACGGUGAGGAUGAGAUUCUCAAACUACUAGAAGUAAUUAUACGGCAUAAUUUUAGAUGAAUCAUGAAAAGUGAAUUGUCUUAGUGUUAAUUACUAGAGUUAAGGUAUCUGGGAGAUUGUUUCUACCAUCGAACUUGAAUUUGUCUUGGUCCAUCCUUGACAAACUACUGGGAGUUGGUUUACAGGGCUGAACAUGGUGAUCAACAGAGGAGUCCACUGAUACAAGCCAGGCAGGAUACAAGUGACAGCUAUGAAAUAAGGUAUCAAGAAUCAGUACGGAAAUAGCCUCUAUGAUUGUUGGGGUAAGGCGGCAACCGUUGAUGUCCCCAAAUAGUGGGAGCCUUGUGCAUUGGGCCACCCUUUUCUUAGUACCGACAGAACAGGAAACCUAUUAAUGAUGCACUUAGACAGUUGAAGCUACUUCAGAUCAUUUACCGAUGACUAUAAUUAAAAGGCAUCAGAAAAACAUACCUCAGCCAUUUGUUUGUGCCCACAAAGCACAGCACCAGUCAAUAAAGGAUUUAGAAUCUCCUUAGUUCUUGAAAAUGCAGCCUGCAACAUGUUUGCAAGAAUAAAUUUGAUGAGGAUACAGGAAGUGAAGAGUUUCAUAAAACGAUAAUAGAUUCUGAGAGUGACCUGUACAUAGCCUCGUUCACCACUCCAUUUUUCAUCAGGUUGUGAUAAAACAGGUAUGACUCUAACUCCAGUAGAUUCCCAGUCCUUGAACCUAUCCUACAAAGAGGAACAAACCAUUUCACACUUGACCUCUUGAUUCAGAAUGAUGCAGCAUCUUUCUAUGAAAGAUGAUAACCAUAAUGUCGAACAUCAUAUAUCAUAUCUGAGACCUGAUAUGCCAUUCUCUGAAGGUUUCUAGCUCCGUAGUAAAGUCUCACAUCAGAUCUUUCAUUUGCAUUGAAACCUGAUUCAAUUAGCGAACGAAUGGGACUGCCACGAAGAGUUGAUAGAAUAAAGAUAUUUUCAAAAACACAAAUGUGUUAACUAGUGGCAAAAAAAUUUAGCAUACAAGAGAUCAAAAUCUUAUACAGUGUUCUACAAGCAAAGAGAUACAUGAGAUUUAUGUAUUGCAUACUCUAUAACUAUAGCCUAAGCAUGAUAGCAAACAGUCGCUUGCAAGUUUGGUCAAGUCAAACAUUGAAACUUAGCUCAAGUUAUAAAUUUAAUCCAACAACAAAUGAUGUAACAUGAACUUACUAACAAAGACCAAUUCCCCUGACAAAAGAAUGACAAGGAAGAACUUCUGGAAUCUACAUGCCAAAAACAGGAAUCCGAUAUCAAAGAAAACUCAGUUUUAAGGGACUGUCUAAAUCUUUAGCAGCGGCUCAGGCUGUACAUGAAAGAAACAUUCUGCUAAACCAUGUUUAGUGAAGAAUGCUUUUUUUUCAGACAUGGCAUGCAUCUUAUCUGUGAGUAAUUACGAUUUCUUCUUGUCUGUGCCUAUUUUUUUCUGUUUCUGAAGGAAAGAGCCCGUGUAUUUGUUCCUAAGUUGUAUAACCAUGCCUUUAUUUGAACUACAGAACAUAAUCUACCAUGAUUGCAACGGAUUUACUAUCCUUAGGAUGACUUAUAUAGCCCACUGGAAUUGUCCCCUGUGGUUUGAAAAAGGAAUUGCUUGAAGCACCUGAUAGAACAAAUUAAACAAAAGAAGGGAACCCGGGGACUUGGAAAGAGGAAAUGAAAUAAAAUCACAUCAACAAACUCCAAAUAAAAACAGCAGACUGUCACCUGAUACAUCUAGCACGCAUAGAACCACAUGAUCCACAGCAUGGUGACUUCCCAACUACAUCCUUACCAUUCUUUUCUUCUCUUGUGAUUGAUACAACCCUCAAGCGGUAACAAUCUAGUAGAUUCAUCGACCCAGGGCAACGAAACAAAUACUAGUUUUGACCGACUAUCUAUACAUCACACUUACUCUUCCCAUUCCUAUAAAGGCAUCCCCUAUCAAACCAGAAGACAACAAUAAUCAAAAUAUAGGAAGAAAAAUCCAAGAAGAAGGUGUUGCCAGAAACACAAUGGUUUUUCUCUUCAAAAUAUUAAAUGCUAAAUCACCAUGGAUCUGAUGCUUAGAGUAAAUGAGAAAACGCAUGCUUAGAGUAAAUGGGGGUUAUAGAACUCCCAUGUAGAGUACAUCUAAAUUAUAGUUAGGAGAGAUACGACACACUAAUUAGCAGUUAGAAUUAAAGUUGUUCCGUCCACAGAGUUCCUAAUCUAAUUAUCUUUUGCUACUUGUUUGGUUAAAGCUAAUUCCCCACCCAAAUUAACCUAAUUUUGGUCACAUUUACCCGACUUUCUAUUUGUCUUUUCAGUGCUUGUAUAGAGUUCACAUUUGCUGAAGAAUCCACAGAAGAACAAAGAAUUUUUAAUACACAAAAUUGUAUCUAUAAAAGAAGUCCACAAAUAGAGUCAACUAUGAAGAUUCUCCAGAGAUUCAUUGGAAAUACGGAAGGGACCAGAGCCCUACCUGAUUCCGGAUCCGGUGGCGAAGAUAAGGACGGCGGGGAAGGCGUCGGGGGGCGAGAUCCGCUCGACCUGGAAUCCUUUCCCCAUGACUGCACUCAGCUCGACGACAUCCCCCCGUCCGAGCCCACAAAGAAGGUCGGCGGCGGAGCCAGGGACCCUCUUGACGAGGAACUGGAACUCGCCACGGGAGCUGGCGAAGGAGGGCGGCGAGGCGAUGGCGAGGAAGGAGGGCUUGUCGGAGGCGGGGACGCGGAGCUGGAGGUACUGGCCGGGGACGGUGUAGGAGACGGCGAGGUCGGGGGCGUAGGAGACGUCGACGGAGACGUGGAAUAGAGAGGCGUCGGCAGAGGCGGGGGCGACGAGGCUGAGAGGGGCCUGGGUCCAGGUGGCGGCGUCCUGCCGGACGGCGGCGGCGACGGCGGUGAGAGCGCGGCGGCGGAGGGGAAGGGAGAGGCCGACUCGGAGUCGGGGGAGGAGAGACAUGGGGCGGAGUAGAGGGGGCGAGGAACACGAGGCGGCGAGCGUAGUUGCCAUUGGGGAUAUAGAGAGCAAGGGGAGGAGGAGUUGGUCUUCGCCGCCGAGAGAAGGGUGGAAAAUAACGGCAGUUCUUAGAAAAUAUUCUCCCUUUUUAAUUUUUUUGGCCCUUUUUCUACUGAAUUUUUGUGUUAUAUUGAUCGUUAUCUACAUGGAAAACGGGAUGGAGAUGUUUGUGUGGUUCCCUUCAUUUUUCUCUUUAGCUUAUCUAUAGUACGGUAUCAAAUUAAUUUUUUUUAAUGUAAAAAUAAUUCAAGAAUAUACUUUUAAAUUUGUUUGAGAAAAUCUAAACCUUAGAAACUAUGAACUAUUCAAAAUCUUAUGACUUUUAAUAUUUUUACUAAUAUUUAUUAACUAUGUAAAGGAUAAUUUUACAUGCACUCUAUUCCUAGAUAGUCCAAUCACAAGGUCUAUAAAUUUUAUAAUAGCAUAUUAACACAGUUUUAUAACUACAAGUGUUUGUUCAUGUCAUUAAUUUUUUAUAUGUUAUUAUGUUUUGAGAAUUGAAUCUUUGGUGAGGUGGUUGUUCACUCAAGAUGACCUUUUUAAAAUUCUAGAUCAUAAGAGACUUAAUUGAAGGUACUUAGCAAUCUACCUAUGUUGUUAGGUCAUAAGAGAUGCCACAGAAGUCAUAAGUAUGUGUAUAUAUAUAUAUAUAUAUAUACUUCCUCGCACAAUUUCUUAUUUAUUAUUGUUUGAAGAAUUGCUUUUAUUAGAGUGGGUAGGUGAGACGGACAAGACGAAACGAAUAUAUAUACUUCCUCGCACAAUUUCCUAUUUAUUAUUGUUUGAAGAAUUGCUUUUAUUAGAGUGGGUAGGUGAGACGGACAAGACGAAACGACUUGGUGCAGCUCGAUCUCGCAUCCGAAGCGACGACGAACGAUGGCGGCGGGAGCGAUUCCGGCCACGAAGCUCGCAUACUUCGACAACAUGUGGGCCGUCCAAUCCACCGCCACCCUCCUCUCCCACCUCCAGGUAAAGAUUUGAAUUCCCCUCUCUCCCCGAACGUUUUAUGUCCACCGAAUGAAAGAGAAAUCCUGAUUACUUUGGUUCCGUAAUCUUUGUCGGAAAGACCGAGGACGGCCGCCGAGCGCUGAUCUUGGACUCCACCAUAUUCCAUCCCCAGGGCGGGGGCCAGCCGGCUGACACCGGGUUCAUCUCAGGCGCCGCCUCCGGCUUCAAGUUCGUCGUGGAGGACGCGAGAUUGAAGGAUGGCUUGGUGAGUUAAACCCCCUUUCGCCGUCUAAUCGUCUAAUUCUCGUUCUUGAUUCUUCAGAUCAUACAAAAGAAAAAAAAAGGGAAAACAAGAAUUUGGUACAGAAAAACAGCGUUAUGUACUUUCUUGUGAUCGGUUAGCAAUUGAUCCAAUGGUUAAAUUACCGUAUUAUGACCCAAUGCUAUCAUCAUCUGAUUCAGCAAUGCAGGAAUUUGUUCCCACCUCACUUUGCUUCGUCCCAUCAUCUUUCUCAAGCCUCUCGGCUGUUCUCCGCUGGAUCUUGAACCCUUCUUCAUCAUCUCUCUCUCAAUGUGCUCUUCCUCCCCCUCGCAACCUGACUCUGCUGUCUUGGUGCUGAGUGGUGAGAAGUGCGACAGUCAUGUACUGUCGUGUCAUUCUUCAGUUGCAGUUUGACCAAAAACAAUUCGAGAAUUGGACAUCAAAGAGGCGAGCGUCCAUUUUUCUAACAUUCUUUUUUUUUUUUUCAGCUGGGACCUGAAACCCUAUCAAACUUUCCAUAGAGCAUCUCGAAUUUGAUUUAUGUCCCAUAGCCGAACCCAUGUUGGUGCGAGAAGUCUUAGUUUCUUGUCGGUUCUAAUUAUUUAAAACUUAGUCUUGGGGAUGAUUUGAAGUACUAUCAUCCUGGUUACACCCGAUUGAGCUAGAAAUUCACCUAACAUCACAAUUAUCACCAUAUGAGGCAUUCUAGUUAACUCCUGGUGUUAAAAUUGUAGCAUAUCUGGUAGUUGGCACUUUGGGAUAUUGUUAUUCUAUGGUCCUUAUAGCCCUUCCUGUGACUGUUCAUACUGGUUUUCAGGUAUUCAUCACUUUGAAGCCUCCAUAGAAAUUUCCCAUUGAUGGCUUUCACUCUCCAUCUUAGUUAGCUCAUUCUUCAUAGUAGUGUCAGAAAAUGAUCACAUAGCUGACUACCAUUCUAUUAUACAAAAGCCUCCUUCUGCUGCUUCUCCUUGGAUGGCUCAACCCCUUUAACUCCCAAACUAGAGACAUAUAGAGAACGGCUUUAAACCAGAAAUGUUUAGUACCAAAGCAGUCGCCGUACAACAUGUGUCAACACAAUCAAAAUAUAUCUAAGAGACUAAGAUAAUGUUUUUUUUGCUUUAGAGCUUAUAAAUCUGCCUCUAGGCUGUGAUUAGCCAUAAAGAGCGUAACAUUAAUUCUCAGGAUAUGGCUAAUUUAGCAGUUGAUAAAAUGUUUUAACAGAUAGUAGAUCAGGGUAUCUUAGGAGUUGAGUAAACUUUUUGUUUGAGAAUAGAAAUGUAAUAGCCUAUUGCUAUUUGUCAUGUCGCAGGAGCAUGGUUGCUUUGAGUAUCUCUUGGGGUUGCAUGGCCGCAGAUUUCAGUCAUCUCACUGUUCGUUUUACAUGUUUUCUUUUUCCUAUUCUUUGCUAGGUUUAUCAUUAUGGUUCUUUUGAGAACCCUCAAGAUGAUUGUGUAUCCAUAGCGAAAGAGGGAGAAGAAGUUCACUUGUAUAUCAACCCCCAAAGACGUGAUCUUAAUUCAAGGUAUUGAUUUUUUUCAUGACUUACUGUCACAAUAAGCCAACUAUAACCAAGUUACUGCCACACCUCUCCUGAGUAAACAUUUUCCCUGUUGAAGUGAAGACGAACUGUCCAUCCAUAUCUCUUUACUUGCAAAUGCUUUAGAAAAGGAUACAACUGAACAAUUGCUAAAAAUGUUAUGAUACAAAAUAUAUCAGCUUAUGUUAUCCCCAUAUGCCUUCACUUGCAAACACUUGACGGAAGUAUAGAACCAAAAUUAAAUGAAACAUUCUUUAAGAUACAAACUCACAAAGUACAUCAGCUUCAUUAUCCUUAAGAAAUAAGGACAGAACAAGGGUUUUAAAUUGAACAAGUUGUAUCUAAAGUGUACUAUAGUUAAGGCCUUAAGGGUAACCAUACCCUGUAUGAAACCGUACUGUGUGAAAUCACCAGGUCUCUGUACCAUUUCUCGGGUGGACCAUUCUGGCUAGUUUCAAAUCCUUGACUGGGGUGGAUCUCCAAGGAGUAUUAAGUUGGCAAAAGUUUACUAAUCUAAGUCAGUUUGGUUUGGUACUUUUGAAAGCCAACCAUAACCAAGUCAACCUUGCCUCACCAGUACUAUAAAGGCUUAAGUUUGACCUACCUGGAUGAGCGCUAGUCAAUCCUUACCACACCCAUCAUUUGCCCAUUCACUCAAUUGGCUUGGACCACUUAUAGUAGAACCAAUUGCAAAAUUGAUUGAUGUCCCACAUUACUAUUUGGUGCCCAUCUUUGCUGCUGCUAUUUUAUCAGCAAAAGAUGUCACACUAAUCCAUUUGAUUAUAGCUGCUUGUUAUUCUAUAGAGUAGCGCCUAUUAGGUAGUUAUCUGAGUUUCUGAUAUAUUUACAUAAUAAAAACAAUGUAGUUUAUGCAUGCUUCAAUUUUUUUCCUGAGGCAUCAAAUAUGAUUGAAUAACAAACCAUGUAUUAUUGCAACAUCGAACUUUGCCAUUUGUGGCAUGCAAAUGAACUUUUUACAAUCCUAGUUUGGAACUGUUUGUAAAGUCGAAGAAGAGUUGCAUGUAGUUAAGAAAGCUCAAUGAGAAGGUUCUGCUGCUUUAUCUAUGUUGCUUUGCUAUGAAUUUUUCUUAUAGAAAGAAACUUGGGCUCCCUUAUUGUGUGUGCGAGAUUCUUCCUCUGUAAUAAUGCUAAACAAUGUACUUUUAUGCAUCACUAUGGAAACAGAUGUCUUAUGAAUGUCAGGAUCAUUAGUUAGGUUUGCACAUGACUAAUGACGGUUUAUAAGAAUACAAGGAAUUUUCAUUUCAGGCCUUCUGUUUCUUUUUCUGCAGGCUUCAUUCAGCAGGGCAUUUGCUUGAUAUAUGCAUGCGGAAAGUGGGCAUAUCUCAUUUAGAACCUGGAAAAGGUUACCAUUUCUCGGAUGGGUAUGAUGUUGCACUUUUAUAUACGCCUUUUGGAGUAGCAGCUACUAUGUUCUUUGUUAAUGGAUUGUUUUUUUCAUCUGAUGUUUAUGAUGCUAAUAGCUGAGCACUUUUACAUCUUUUGCAUUUUUUUUAUUUCAUAGUAAUUUGGCUGCUUUGGUGGACAUGCAGUUUCCAAUAGUGUUUUUACUUGAGAUUAUAUCUCUGCUAUAAAUUCAGAAUUUUGAAACUUCAAAAAACCCUUCAUUGUCGUUACCAUUAUUAUGUCAUUUUGCUUGCAAUAUGCAUACUUUGUGUUGUUAUGGUCUGCAAAGCAUACUUAGUCAUGCUGUGUGUCAGAUGUCUGAGUGCGUAAUCAUAUUGCUGGGGUUAAAAUAUGUACUGCCAGAAUAUCCAGUUGUUGAUUCUAAUUAAUAGAAUCUUUGCACCUAAAGCAACUUCCUGGGAAUUAGCUGCCACAUAAUAUUUGUUUCAUUCUGUUGUAGUUCAUCAUCCAUCCAUGGCACUUGCCCUUUCUUAUUUGUGUUUAUUUGGUUCUUCCAGAGCAUUAAUUUGUACGGUGUCAUAUUUGAGUUUUUAUAAGAACGUAUCUUAAAAUGUGCUCCAGUGUAUAUUCUGUUGUAGUUCAUCAUACUCUUCAGCAAUCAAGAUUCACAAAGGAGCAUACAUUUAUUUUGUCCUUGUAUUGGAACUCCGUGUACACUGGCACAUGGUGUUAAUUGUGUCCUAGAUUUAGAGAAUAUCUCAGUCAGAAUGCAUUCCAUGUAGUUGUACCAUCUUAUUUGUUCUGUACACACUUCAUAGUUGUCCAUAUUCUUUCUUAUUGUCCUUUUUGCUACAUGGAUGCUACAUCCUUUGUAACUCGACUUGCACUUUCACUUGGAUUGUCAGAUUUACAUGGAUGCAAAUUUUGUAGUCUGGAUGACAAAUUACUUGUUUUUCACAGGCCAUUUGUUGAAUAUAAAGGCAUUAUCCCACCAGAUCUGCUGCAAAUUAAAUCAAAGGAGUUGGAGAAAGAAGCAAAUGCUUUGAUUUUAACUGGAGGAAAGGUGGGUACCACACUAUGUAACUAAUUAGUUGUUUGCAAGUUGUGUUUAUUUUUGGAUCUUCUUUUAGUCAUAAAACAUGAUCUUUUGUGAUUAUUUCUUUAGGUUUCAGCUUCCGUUUUAUCUUAUAAUGAAGCUGCUGAGUGGUGCGGGGGUGUUCUUCCCAGUUACAUUCCAACGGUAUGUAACUGUGAACUUUGAAGAUGACUGCUAAUUAAGACUAUGUGGCAAGCGUGUGUUUUGUUAUACCCUAUGAUGAAUUUUUUCCUAAAAGAUCUGAUAACAAUUGCAUCUCAGACACAUAUUCUUCAUUUCUUUGUAACAUAUCAUCCUCUAUAGUCUACACUGUAACUCAUAGAUGCAGAAAUGCAUUUUUGGUUAGGUACAAUAAUUCUGUUUAAAUGAGUUCUUGUAUUUUCUUCAUAAUAGAUGUGCUGAAGGAAGUUUUGACAAUCCUUAUGCUUAAACUUGGUGUAGGUUACUAAUCAUUCUCAGGUUUUGUUAGUUACAAUUUAUCUACAUAAUUAAUGAUUAAAACUAUCAAGUAGUGAAAUUCUUCCUAAAGUGUCCCACUAAUUUGUCAUUCUUGUUCAGAUUUGACAUAAAUUGUGGUUUUGUUGAUAUUUUGUACUUCUAUGAAUGUAAGUGAUCUUUUAGUGCUUCAUGAAACUAUUCAGGAUAGUGCUCCACGGAUUGUGAAGUUGGGUGACCAUCCUGGCUGUCCUUGUGGUGGGACACAUGUCGCUGAUAUUGCCGAUAUAAGGAACUUGACGGUAAGAUUGACUUGGUUUCUUUUGAUUAAGUCUUUAUCUUCGCAUGUCAAAGGAUAUUAACAUGUACUGAUGAUAAUUGCAUGUUUGCAUAACAAAUCCUUUUCCCAUUUCAUUUCGAAGCUGCUGAAAUGUUUCUUCCAUGUCGAAGGAACAUAGAUACCUAUAUAACUGUGAGUCACCAAGUAACCCGCUAAUUGAGUUUUUCCUGUUAGGCGAUGGACAUUAACACCAAGUAGAUGCUCCAUUGCUCAUGGAGAGACUUCAGUGCAUUUUGUGGUGGUGUUUUAAUGUUUGUUGCAAUAGUAUUCAGGUUUCAGAAUGUACCAAAGAACUUCUUCCCUUAUCAUCCCACUAAUAGGUACAGUAUGGCACGAGAUUAAGAUCGAAAUCUUAUACAAAUGUAUGCUAAUUGGAUGGUGGAUGGAAUUUGAAUCCUAUGGCUUUUGUGAAAUAUGUAGCUUGGACAAUGAAACAUCAUAGUGAAAUAGUAAUUUAUUUUGUUGUGCUUACUUUUAGAGUUUGGAAGAAGCAAUUGCCUUUGCAUAUACACACUACCCAACGGAAGUGAUGAAAUGAGACUUGAUAAGGUCAAAUUUGGUUGUCAAUUUGACUUAGUGAAAUUGAACAACCUGGUUUGUUUUUCGAGUACCAUCACAUCCAAAAGAGAGAAAGUCAUUGAGUUUCAUAACUUCGAUGAGGGAGAAAUUUUUCUGAAGGCAUUUAUAUCUUAUAUCCCUUGUCCCUUGUCAGUUCGAGUGCUGAAAUAUGUUCAUAUCCCAUAUCCCACUUCCUAUAGAAGAAGACUACGUUUGAUUGUCCGAAAAACUCCUUCAACAUCAAAUUAGGUCUGUAGGCAUCUAAAGGUUGUAAGUGUUGGUUUAGUCGGCUUCCAAUGAAAACAUAUAUAAGAAGGCCACUUUAUAUAGUGUUAUUUUUUUGUUUUUGCAAAGGGUAAGUGGCGAAUGUGGGAUUCGAACCUAGGAUCCUAUGAUAAUCUACUAAAGUCUUUACUAGCUAAAUUAGACAACACUUUCGAUAUGGAUGCUUUGGGAUGCAUCAGACACUUUAGAUGUUCUUUUUCUUGGGCGAAUGUAUCACGCUCAAAGGAGACGCUUUGGGAUGCAUCAACGACUUCAAAUGCUUCUUUGUAUUGGGAGGAUGCAUCACGUGCAAAGGAGGCCUUAUGGGAUACGUUGGGCGCUUCAAAUGCUUUUCUGUUCUGUUCGAACAUAUUACGCGCAAAGGAGACGGUAUGGGAUAUGUUGAGUGCUUUGAAUGUUUUUUUGUCUUGGGUAGAUGCACCAUGCACAAAGGGGAUGCUUUGGGUUAUGAUGGGUGCUUUGGUGAGGGGAAGGUAGAGGCCUCUUCUCCAAGACCAAUUGUUGUAGUGAAAGUCGAGUGAGAGGUAUCUUCACUGAUAAGUUCUUUUGGGACUUUUUGUAUUCGGUUUUCUUGUGACAUUGUCUCAAGAGUAAUCUUAUAACGGUCAGUUUAAUGAGAGAUUGUAUCUUUCAUGUUAUGUCCGGUAGGCACUUACUGUAUUCCAUGUGUUGUCCAUCCCAAUUGAUCAAAAAAUGAGAAAAAGUAAGUGGUUGGAUAGAUGAGAAAGUGUUGGAGUUAAAAUCACUAAAACUAGAAGUUGACAAAACAGCUUUUGUUGUAUGUCAGCUAUUUCUCUUAUUAUCUGGAAUUUCCCGCUUCUUCCUUCUGACUUGCAUUGUGAAGUCAUAAUGUGGAACAACCAGAUCUAACCUUGAAGAAUUUAGGUAAUAAAAUUGGUUGCUAGGUUUAAGCUGUAUCUUACUCUGGCACAAGAAUAAGUUUCUGUCAGUUUGCUUGCUCGGUCUUGAAAGGUGUCUUUCUUGCUGUACAGAAUCAGUUUUUUCUGUUUGCUGUAUAAUGCUCAUAUAUUUACUCUUUUUUUCAUUUUUUAGAUUAAAAGUUUGUCUUCUUUGAUUUUUUUUAUAAAAAAAAAGUAUGGAUGCAUUUGUUAGUCUCCUUUUUGGUUUCAGGUCACACAGAUCCGAACAAAGAAAGGUCUUACCAAAGUUUUCUAUAGCAUCAGCCCUUGAUAGAAUCUGUGUUCCUUGUUUCUGCAUAGAUUGGAAUUAUGCUUCCUUCAUGCAAUAUGUAAUUACAAUACCGUCGUAUAAAGUGAUUUUUUUGUAAACAGAUGGCUCAACUGAAUUUGAUUUUCCUUCUCAAGCACGCUCAAAGAGUAGUCAUUAGUCCAUGAUACUCAAUGUACCAGGGAGAAUCUACUCUGUAUCCCCAAUUAAGUUGCUUGAUUUAUACUUUAUGAACUUUCAGUCGUAAGCACUUUGAAGAAGGCCUGGAGUGACAAGGUUUCAGAAAUUUAUUGAUAAUGUUGGAGAAAUACUUCCAUGAUCUUUGUUUGGGCAGGGUGUUUCCUUGAGAAAAUAUUAUUUUGGUUGAUUUUUAGUGGCAUGAAAAAUAGGGAGAAUUGCUUGGGAUGAACAUUCUGAGUCGGUUGUGGAUGGGUAGCUCUCAUCCCAGUUAUUUAACCAAAUGAAUGGACUUUGGAUUGACUCGGGAUGGUUUGUGGUUUUGAUCGAAGCUAGCAGAAUUAAUACUUACAACCAGCUUUUUUGUGUAAAUUUGAAGCCUGACCUCUUUUGUUUCCAAUAUUGUCUAAUUCCUUGGUCUUUUUCAAUUAUUCUGAGCUAGACAACAGAAAAGCAUUAUGCUAGUUAUACGUUUGAUUUCACCCUACAUUCUCAAGGGAGCCUUGAGGACAUUUCUCUUAUGGAAGCUGGUGAUUGAGCAUUUUGUUUUAGAGAAAAUAUUAUUUGGAUUGUUUUCCCAUGUGUGUAUAGAUAUUUUCAUCUGCUACUCCAAAUCCAUAAUGUGUACCUUUUUCUUGGGUAACUACAGGUCCAUUGUAUGUGAAUGUAUGUAUGUCGUUAUCAAUGUUAAUCCUUCUUCACAUGGAUAGGCCCGUUGUAUGUGGUUAUCCCUGUUUCAUGACCAGAGAAAGUUGAGUGUGUGCUGGGUGAAUAUGCAUUUGCAGAAUUUUAUUUCUUGUUUGGGCUUUAUGAAAUAUGAGGUGUUAAGAGUCAAAGUGUGCUCAUUUGAUUUGACACCUCAUAUCUUUCACACACUUUUAAUCUUGCAGAGUUUUUUUUUUUUUCGAUGAUUGAUCUAUGAUAAUUUCCUUAUCCAAUUUAGGAGAAGCGACAUCAGUGUUGCUGUGUUACGAUCUUAUCUAUUUAGAUAAGAUGCCUCUACGUACUUGUUGGGUUUAUCCUUCUUUUCUUAUUUGGUUUAGUUUAUACCUCCAAAAUACGAAUGCCUUCACUUGCAGAUGGGGACAAAAUUGGUGCGGUCCAAAUAAGACCGAGUCAGAAAUUGUGACUUGGAUGUGUGGUAUCGGAAAGAAGAUGCUAAGCCACAAAUAAUGGAUUCCUAGAGAUUCCAGCGUGGUUUGUGAUGGCGGAUGACCAUGCCGCCCGCCCGCCCGCCCACAACAAUGCUCGUGGCCUAGGUUGGUGUGCGUGGAUCAACAGACAUCAGAGAAGUCAGCAUGUUUGAUCGAGAUGGGAAAUCAAGGGGAGCCAUGCGACUCCAUGGCUGCCUCUCUACUGCCAUUCGACCACAAUAUUAACUGCCCAAGAAAAAUUGUUCCGGUUUGAUGCCACAAUUCAAUAUGUUUGUUAAGCUUUAAUUUCCUUUUUCGUUGUGAAAUGCAUACAUAGGGUGCAAAAUUAAAUGAAGAUCUCAUUCAGAUUGGAGUUCGGAGGACACGGUUGCCGAACAUUCUUUUAGGAGCAGAACAAUGCCUUUUCUCGUGAUGUGAAUCUUUCACCAUUAAAGAAAGGUUGAAGGCAUCGAUUCCGAUCAUUUUGUGGACUGGCAGCAUCGCAUCACAUAAAAAGAUUGAGACCAAAAAAAAAAGGGCGGUCAUGGUUUAUUCCCGCACAAGUCAUAAUCUCUUCCCUUUUAUUGUUUAUUCUAAUAUGAUAUAUUUUUCUCAUUGCUAUAACAAAAACUAUAUCGUUACGAAUUUAUUAUAAUGGACCGAAACCACCUAAAUUCCAUGUAUAAAGGGGGACGCCGCUCGUGGCACCGACCCGUCCUCGGUCGCGUUUUCGUUUCGUUCCUUAUCUUUCUUCUCCCCUCGUUACGGGUUAAGUUCAGAGGCAUCUUCGGAACUGAAGGUAGGUUUCGAUGUUGUUUCUUCUGUUGCUCCUUUCUUCAUAUCCUACUUCUUUUAGGCAUUGGUGUGUGUGGAGUUUGCCCUCGGUGUUUUGUUGCUUGUGCAGUGUUGUUCCUUAGGUUUGAUGGGCUGCAUCUCUGCCCUCAUUCCCAAACUCUUCUUCUUGAAGCGGUACCUUGAUCUUGAUUAUCUUUUCUGUCCUCGUUCCUCUUUGAGGGCAUUAGGCAAAUCCAUGUCAAUUUUUGGUUGUACAGAGCUUAAUGACACGUUAAAAUUCUCGAUUUGAUGGUUUCUCCCUCUUUUCCAGACAGUUCGAUCGGCAAAAAAAAAAAGAACAUAAUUAUGGUAUUGAAUUUUUACAACAUCGCUUGAUGUCAAGGGAAUCGUCCUUUUGCUAAAACCGUGGCCUUAUUGCUAAGUAUGGAAUCAAGUUAUUGGUUUCUUUGAUAAGGAUACCAUAUCUGCGAAAAAGUAACAGAGCGGCCAUAGUCGUUUACUGGGAUGUUGGCAUGAUGAAGCUUUGUGGGAUAUAAUAGACAGAUCUUGUCUACCUUGGAAGAACCAUGAAGCUGAAAUGAAUAUCAAGUUGAGGUUUCUGAAUGUUGUAUACGAGUGAUGGGGCAUAUACUAGGGUGAAGCCUAGGUGUCAUAUGAGAUUGCUCCUUUGCGAUCCAGGUGACCAAAGUUCGAGUCAUGCACACAACCUCUUUCCUUGGACGGGUACCGUUGAGUAAUUCAUUGCAUGGCUUACUGAAAGUAUCAUAUCAUCCCUUCGCGUGCUAGGCUAACUGCAACUUGUACACAAAAUGUCCUAAGCCUUGAUAUAUUAGCAUUCAUGUUGCUCUGGAUAUAUGAAAUCGAUCCGGAAUUAGUUAUAUUGCAAUCUCAUAAUAGGUUUUCUUUUUCUUUUUUGGGGGGUUUCUGAACUUGCUAACUAUGCAUUUAUGUGCAAAUGCAUGGGUUUCAAGUGAACAUUUAGCUUGUUUGUUUAGUGUAUGGCACUAACGUGAUUGUUUAGUACUCAAAUCUUGUGCAUGAUAAUAUGUAACAAUUUGUCUGAAUUACUUUAGCAUAUCAUGCUCUUAGAGAAAGUUUUUUGUUUGUAUACCCAUUUGUAUGUAGAAGAAUGAGCAUGUACUUGCUUUAUGUGGAUAGGAUUCGAGCUCAAAGCAACGGAUACAAAAUUUUGUAUCAUAUAUAUGUAUAUUUUUUGUAAUGACUAAAUGUACAAAACUUUAUGUUUUUGUAUGAUACCACAAUGUUGUAAUAUUUUGGAUGUGCAUGAUUAUGAUACCUACUAAAUUUCUCACAUAAGUAUGCAUAUGGCUUUUUAUAUGCUUGUUUGAAUUAUAACUUUUCUUUUGACUACUUGUGUGAUUUUGGUGUUAUACAGAGAACAAGUGUUCUUUAGAAGGAGACUUUCUCAGGCUCAACAGUAAAUCAUGCUAAGCAGAAUAUUUGCUGAAUCGGAUCAACAACUUAAUAUUAAUUUUGGUUAUCAAUGCUCUGUUAAACAAGAAUGUUCAAGCAAAGAGUUUCCUGCAAGCAGAAGUUCAUUUGCUUUCUUAUCAGGGGCUGCUAUAAGUGCAAAUGCAACUUUAGCUAACACCAAUAUUGGCAAUGGUUUACUUGGGAUGGGAAUUUUGCCUAAUUUGGAUUCUCCAAAAACAUUUCAUAAGGUCGCUUCUUUGACAUCAUUAUCGAGUUUGGAUGUUUUAUCAUCUUCUUCAAAGACCAACAUAACAAGUUCAAUUGGAAGCAUGUCUUCACAUGGUGAUUUCUUAGAUUCAGAUGUGGGUAUGUUCAAAUCGAUGAGUGCUCCCAUAAGUGGAGGCUUCCUGAAUGUCAUGGAAGUGCAAAUGGCAGGUGGAGCUGCUGGUGAAGACAGAGUACAAGCUGUAUGUUCGGAAGAAAAUGGAUGGCUGUUUUGUGCAAUUUUUGAUGGCUUCAAUGGGCGCGAUGCAGCUGACUUUCUAGCUGGAACUUUAUAUGAGAAUAUUGUGUUAUAUCUAAAUCUAUCGGACUCGAGAAUAAACGAUAAUGAUGUUAAGAAUUUAGGUAGUGUUUAUUCAAAUGAUUUCAUCCAGCACUUUAUAGAGGAUGAUAAUUUCCAUAAACAAACACAUCUGUUGGCUAAUGGUUUCAAUGAUCUAGGAGUUGUUCAUGACCAAGAGGAUGAAUCCUUGUCUGAUUCGUUUAGAUGUGGCAUAGUUAAUUGCCUUCAACUAGCUCUUGCACAAGCUGAAAGUGAUUUCCUGCAUAUGGUUGAACGAGAAAUGGAUGACCGACCGGAUUUAGUGUCCAUUGGAUCUUGUGUUCUGGUUGUGUUUCUUCAUGGAUCAGAUUUAUAUACACUCAGCCUAGGUGAUAGUCGAGCUAUACUGGCAACAUCUGAACAAAAGAACAUUGAUACCAAGGAUUUGGAAGCAAUUCAGCUUAUGGAAUGUCACUCAGUUGAUAACGAGAUGGAACGUAUGCGACUUCUGUCUGAGCACCCUGAUGACCCUAAGACGAUUGUACAUGGCAAGGUGAAGGGAAAACUGAGACUAACUCGUGCAUUUGGAGUAGGAUAUCUAAAAGAGGUAGCAUCAAUUGAAACUAUGUGUUUCAUGCUUGUAAACUGUAAUUUUUAUCCACUUUCAAAAAUUUGUCAUUUAGCUUUUUUUUAAUUAUGCAGAGAAAGAUGAAUGAUGCUUUGAUGGGUAUACUUCAAGUUCCAAAUCUGUGCAGCCCACCGUAUAUCUCCACAGAACCAUCUGUUAGUGUCCACAGACUGUCAGAAGGUGAUCGUUUUGUGAUAUUAGCUAGUGAUGGUCUGUUUGACUUCUUGAGCAACGACGAAGUUGUGAAGCUAGUAUCUUCUUACAUUUUAAGCUCCCCAGCUGGUGACCCAGCCAAGUUCCUAGUGGAGCAGCUUCUCUCAAAAGCCGCCAAAAUGGCAGGUAUGGUCACGCAUCAGUGAAAUUGUUUCCAUGUUCAUUGAAGUUCGAUUUUUUGGUAACUGACAAAAUUCUUCACUCUAUGGUGUAUCAAGCUACACAUGAGAUUAUACCUAUGAUGAUACUUCUACAAGAUAAACCAACUAUAUUCGACCCUUUUUUAUUAUAGAAAUUAACCUGUUCCUUUGUGGCAAGAUUGAAUUUUAUUUUCCAGAGAACAUCCCCAGAAGUCACUAAAGUAGGCUGAAAAUGAGUACUUCUAUUAUAAAUAAAUUAUUCCAUGUGUGGUUUAUAUGUAGAGGUUAUUUCAGUGAGUAUAUCAGUGGACUUGAGUUCAGUAGGUUUGUUAUGUAAAAGAUGCAACACCUAGUAGCCAUUAGAUGUAUUGCAAUGCCUUCAGAAUAUUAUCUAAGAAGGAUCUUUUCAGUAUUUACAAAGAUGAAAACUACUGGUAGGCUCAAUAGAUGUAUAUAUGAUAAUCUCUUUGGGAAUCAAUUGUUUGAUCUUGGAUGUUAGUGCGAGUUUAAUGCUUGAGUUGCAGCCUCGAACUCUCAGAAAACUUGAAGAACAUUGAACUACAAAUUAUUGAAAUUGGAAAACCCGUGAGGUUCCCCUGUUUUAGGGCAAUUCCUCUGCAUGAUAUCCCCAUCUUCCAUUUGGUACUUGACAAAGUAAAUGAAGGUUCUUGACCAAAGUAUACCAAAUGGUAUGCUUUUCAAGUCACACUUUUUAACUCGAUGAUGGUGCAUCGUGUAACCUGAGAUAUCAGAACGCAACAAUUCUAUGGAAGCUCUUCUUUAUUACUCUGAAUAUUUAAUGGAAUUAUAAGAAUAAAGAAUAUAUCUCUAAGAUUAAUAGCCAUGUAAUAUAAUUGGUGUUUGCCAUGCAUUUAACAUUCCACUCUUUGAAUAGCUAGUCUAGUCUGUCUGGAUACAUCACGUUCCACAGAAGAAUUUGCUUUAUUGUAAUUUUGGGCAAGUUAUUUACAUAAAUAUUUUUUAAAAUAUUUUAUUACUUAUUUGAACAUUUAAAAUGCUAGAAACCAGUGUGAUGGGUUAAGGGAGCGAAAUUGUUAGACAUAAUCAUGAUACAGAUAAUAUGGAAGUUAUAUUUGAAUCAAAGAAAGAGACACAUGCCUGGAAUCCUUAGCAUUCGACUUCCAAUUUCAAACCCUUUGAGACAUAACUAUUAUAGAGAUCAUAUUAGGAUGAUUGAGGUCUCUUCUUAGUGUAUAUCUAGAUCCACUGAACCCAAAUUGAGGUCUGUGCAGCUUUUCGGUGGGUUUUUUUUUUUUUGCAGUCUCCUAGGGUCAUUAAAAUUGCAUCUGCUUCUUUAAUCCUAUACGUGGAGCCUCUCUAUCUGCAUUUACUGAAUUUAUUGGCAUUUGGUUUCCUUUGCUAUUCUAUAAUCACAUUUUGUCAAACAAAAUGCAGUACUAAAUGAAUAUACAGAUCAGCCAUUCUUGGUCAGGGAGAAGUGACGAAGAGAGUUCCUGGUCAUAAUUCACUGCAUAGGUUGAAGCAAUUUAACUUCCAUGUGCUAGAACUGAUUUGCAACUACUGUUAAUGCAUGACUUCGUUUGAACUGCCUCGAUGAUCUUUUGCAUUUACUUGAAUCAUUGCGUCUGGAACUUCAGUUGUUUCCUGUAUAGUUCAUGUAACACAUCACAUUUUCGGGGUCGCAGGGUUGAGUCUAGAUGACUUGCUGAGCAUCCCUGCUGGCAUGAGAAGAAAGUACCAUGACGACGUCACAGUAAUGGUAAUUCUUCUUGGGACUGACAGUCGAACAUCAACUGCCUCUACAUAUUUAUGAAUGUCAAAAGGUUCAUGUUGCCAGAAUUAUGGAUAAGUACUCAUCUUGUUAAAUGUGGUUAAUAUUUAUUACCUUUCUUCACUUUGUAUAUAUAUCCUAUUUGUACAAAGUAAAGUUUUCCAACUUCAAAAUGAAAUUUUGGUGGCACAGUUUUCUUUAAUUCUGCUGCACUUGGAUUGUGGUCUUCGUCUUAUUACAAAUAUUGCUUUUCAUAGAUUAUGGCCUCAGUCUUGGUGUUACAUAGAUUAUGGUCUUUUAAUAAAGGUCGAUAGAACCUUUUUUUUUUCUUUAAAACGUGGUCUGGUUUAUUGGCGCAUCUUUAAAUGCUUUUUAAGCUAUGGCUCUGCCCGGUCCCCUCCUUAAAGGGUCUACACUUAUUCAAAAGCGUUGGUGAAACUUCCAUUUCUUAUCGUCCCAAUAUCAACAGUCCCUACGACAACACACGGAGAUGAUGCAGCCCGAUGCAGCGGUGGGUCUGCUGCUAUCUUUACAGGUGAAGAAAGCUAUCCAGAAAUAACUCGAGCGUUGGUGAUACUUCGGUUUCUUAUCGUCCCAAUACCAACGGUCCUUAUGACAAUACAGGGAUGAGAACACGGCCAGCAGAGACGCCUUCGUCUCGUACUCCCACCGACACUCUGAUAGAGAAUCUCAACUUGCCUCGGAGAGCCACAGUAUUAAAUUCCUGUCCGCCCCAGUCAAUGCACGAUGCAAUUUCCUAGCCAAUGGUCCUCAUCACGCUUUGCUUUAAUUGCCUUAUCCCUCGUCCCAACCCGAACAGAACAAUAAAUUAUACACGUACGUAUAUACCUUAUGUAGAAAUAAAGGAAGAGGGAGACAUUGUGGUUUUUGAUGUAGAGGUCUCCUCCACCUCUUCUAAGAAGUGAAAACAAACGAGUAAAACGGCACAUUCCUAAGUCGAAGCAUAUCGAGUAAUAGAAAGCGUGUCGAGUGCUUUGUAUCGCCAAUACUAAGCCACCCAGCCCUGAAGAAGUGAGAGCAUUCAACUCACCUUCCUCACCAAACACCACCUAAAAGCAUUCGUUUCAGACCAUCCUCUCCACAAAGAAAGCUGUCAUGUGGUGGUGGAAGCAGUAGCAGUAGCAGUAGCACCCGCCUUCUGGUGCUUGUUUUACUUGACAGGUUACGAGGUCCUUAUCACGGCCAAUUUAUUUGGACUCUUUCCCAACCCGACUCAUCACCGUUCAAUCACUGUUUGGAGAGAAGAGAGAGGAUAAAGUAGCUCCAUCUUUUGCAUGCUAAUCAUCAAAAUCGCCUCUCAGUCUUUCUCCAAGACAAGAAUUGCACACUUUUGGAGGUUCCACUGAAGUAGGAGGCGGCCGGAACCGGAGAGGUUAAGUCACAAGAUGAAGCCCAGGAACACCAGCCGUGGAAAGCCGCAAAGUUGCUGUUUUGGAUUGCUGGCCGUAAUCUUUCUGAUCUCGCUGAGCUACCUUACCAUGUCCAAAACCAGCAUGUUGCGCUUCUCCGUUGGUAUCUUCCUGCUGCUGAGCCACAUAAAGGUGAGAAACGGCAGCUCACUCCGGUUCUCACAACUUGCUUUUUCUGCAGUGAACUCUCAGCUACCGCCGAUGACGAACGGGAAUACCUCCGACAUGGCAUCUGAUGUCUAUCCUGUGACGGAAGAUUCUUCGAUCCGUUCUCAAGGACUAGGUAUGCAAACUCAUCAUAUUUCUCUGUCUUUUUCCUUCUUCUUUUUUUCUCCUUUUAAACCAAUGAUUUCGAAAUCAAGUUUAGUUUCUGCAAAGCUGAACUCCAUACUUUUCACUGCAAAGCCCAUCUUUCACCAGCUGAAGGGUUCCUUGUACUAUUUGUUUCUCAAGUAUGACACAGGGAGAGAUUCCCCUCUCUCCCUAAGGAACCAGUUUGGUUGAGCACAUAUCUUCCUUACCUCAUGGCUAGAAAAAAACAAGCACUGGGCAAGGCCUUGUUUGUUAGUUGAAGGAUCUAAUCUAGUUGAUUCAUUCAUCUAUCAGAAACAGAGGAGGCGGAAUUGGGAAGAAGCCUGGCUUGUGAGCUGAAAGAUGGUCAGUGUGAGACGGGUCACGGUAGGAUGGUGGUUAAGAAUUCUUCAACCGUUGUUGAUCAAGAUCCGACAAGAGUGAUGGCUAGCUCAGAUGAAUUAGGUAGCGUGUCAACCUUUCAAAUUUGACUAAAUCGAACCAUCCACACUCUUUAGGCAUUCCUCUAAAAGAGGGGAGCUAAAUUGAGCUCUGUUUGACACCAUUUUUUUUCCUGAUUAAAAACUUCAGUUUUUAAUGAAGAAGAAAGACGUGAUAAUGUAAAGCCUGGGAGGAAACCAAUAUGUGAUCUUUCAAACACAAAAUCAGAUAUCUGUGAAGCAGAUGGAGAUGUUAGAAUUAUCGGCAAGGAUACCCGCAUGAUAUAUGUUGCAAACUCUGAAUUCAGCAACAGAGAAACAGGUGAAUCUUGGACCAUCAAACCUUAUGCUCGUAAGUGGGACAAAGGCUCAGGUGCUAAAGUUCGGGAGGUAACGAUGAAACUAGUGAAGAGUCAUGGAGAAGAUAAACACUGUGAUGUUAAUCAUACUGUCCCAGCUUUGGUCUUUGCAAUUGGUGGAUGGACUGGAAAUUUCUUUCAUGACUUUGCUGAUGUGUUGGUUCCUCUCUUCGAGACUUCGUACCAUUUUGAAGGCGAGGUCCAAUUUCUCAUAGCGAACAUCAAACCGUUGUGGAUCAACAAGUACCACAAAUACUUUGAGAAGCUCUCACGGUACAAAAUCAUCGACUAUGACAAUGAUGAUAGAGUGCAUUGCUUCAAGCAAGUGACUCUUGGACUCCGGUGCGACCAAGGUGACUUUACAAUCAACCCCUCGAAAGAUCCUUAUGGUUAUACCAUGGCCGACUUCACCAAGUUCACAAGAAGUGCUUACUCACUGAAGAGAGAUCAUCCAGUGCGGCCAGGUGAACAAGCUGGUAAGAAGCCAAGGAUAUUGAUCGUAACAAGGAAGGCAACCCGAAAAUUCACAAAUGUAAAGGAGAUAGUUCGUAUGGCUAAGAAGGUGGGCUUCAAUGCAGUGGUCACUGAGGCAGAGGCCAACAUUACUAGAUUUUCGCAGGUGGUGAACUCAUGCGAUGUGAUGAUGGGUGUUCACGGAUCAGGACUUACUAAUAUCGUCUUCCUUCCAACACACUCUGUGGUGAUCCAAGUAGUCCCUUGGGGCAAUCUAGAUUGGAUAGCUGGGAAUUACUUCAGAGAUCCUUCCAGGCAAAUGAAACUGCACUAUUUGGAAUACAGUAUCAAUGAGGAAGAGACUACUCUGUCGGAGUUGUAUCCAAGAGACCAUGCUGUGUUCAAAGACCCAAUGUCGCUUCACCAUCAAGGAUGGGAUACAUUUUCCAGGAUUUUCCUGGUUGAGCAGAAUGUGAAGCUUGAUGUGAGGAAGUUUAGGUCUGUCCUGGAACAUGCUCUUCAACUUCUCCGUGAGCAGCAGUACAGAUGAAUUUAUCUGCUUAUCAUCAGUGAGCAGGUUUCAUUACCAUGCAUUCAGUUCUUAGCGAAAGGUGACAAGUUGCUGGUUGAUUUCUUCAUUUAUACUAGCUGUUUCGAAGUGAGAUAGGAGAUACUAUAAUGUUGAUAUGGCUCACAUUGCUUUCUUGUUGAAACAUUGUCAGGUAUGUAAGUAUCAAAAUACAUAUUCGGUUCUGCAUUCUUUUCCAGAAAUAAUUAAAUGUUACAUUCCAUGGAAGUGUUUUGUGACAUCUCUGACUUAUGCCCUGGCUACUGACAAUUUGCAUUCUAAACUGUGGCAAGCUUGGUUCUAAGCUACUAGUUUUGUUGGGAUUUCUCCUACCUUUUCCUAAAAAGAGUAUAUUAACUGCACAAUAAACGUUUCAUAUCUUAAGAGCCUUUUUUCACUAUUUGGUUACUUCAUAAAGGAAAAUUUUUUAGAGGUCAAGUUUUAAAUGUGGAGUUUAUUCAUUGCUCACCUAGUAAAAAUUGAGUUCCAUGGAACUAUUAACAGUCUUGAGGGGAAGAAAAAGAGUUAAACAUCAUCCCUGAAUAAGAAUUCAAUAAAAAUAUAUGAGAUUUCCCUUCCUUUUCUGCCCAUGCUAACUUAAAGAAACCCACAUGUACAACAAGCAUAUUAUCACAAGAAAACAGCAGCCAUCCUAAAGAUAGUGUUUGCAUGAUUUUUGGUUUGUCAGUAUGAAACUGUACAAGAUUUUAAAGCGUAAAUUACCUGAUUUCACUGAUUUUUCACUUGGUAGGCCCUAGCUUUAAGUGACCUUUUGCCAUUACUUUGUUACUUUUUGUGAAUGAGUAAUGCACUGAACGACAAAGAGCCCUUUUGUUGGUUGUAUCAUGGCACUUGGUUUCUGAUUUCUGUCAUUGGUAUGCAACUGAUGUAAAUGAUUAAAGUAUGCAUGGAUCAAGGACCCUUUGAGAUCCACCACCUACAUUUAGGGCUGCACGAUUGUGGUGAAUUUGGCAGUCCCCAGCCUGAAAUGCUAAUCAUGUGGCAUUGAUUUGUAGCUGCAACUUGAGGACAAGGGUAGAUGAUCAUUAUUUGUGUCUCAUGGUGGGACUCCUAAACCAAUGUUGUUAGCCUGUCUUAUGUAGUACAAAUUAUCAAUCAUGGUUUUUUUGAAGAUAGCCUUUGAACCCCAUGGAAGGCAGGUUUUUAAGUCAUGGACUCAAAGGGGUUCUUACUUGUUUUCACCCCUUCUUUAAUCUUGUUAGAUAAACCAAGGCGAUGAUCUUAAUUAGAUAAAGUUUUAGCACUUUGUCUGAAGUUUUGACUGUUCUAAUGAGGCUGAGUCAGGUCAAACUUGGGUAAUUGGCAAAUGAUGUCACCUGGCCAAACAGCUGAAUAUUUUGUCCAGCAGCUGAGAACUCAACGCUUUAGUAGGUUGUUGAUUGAUUAGGGACGCCGAAGCAAGAAACAUAUCCAACCUGACCUCUUUUUACCACGUAUCAAAGUGCAUAUAAUUCUAUUUUACAUGAACCCGGCAGAUCCAUUUGAUUUCAAAUUGGUGCACAACCCGAGUAUGGCACACCACGGAAGCCUGAUCAUUUCCACUGGCUGCCUAAACCUAGCCUGAACAUAUCUUUUACAACUCUUUGUUUUUGCGAAGGCCAUAGCAACUCAAAUACUUGAUGUUUAAUGAUUGUGUGGCUUUUGUUUGUAUCAUUCUAAAUGACUUGGCACUCGGCAAGGUUUUCUUUUUCUUUUUUUUUGUUUUCUCAUUUAAUAUGUACAUGAGUGAGCAUAUGGAAAAAAGAUCAACAUUUUUGACACGCAUGACCUGAUUUGGUAGGUCCAAUGAAAUCAAUAGUUUCAUAUCCAUAUUUUUUUUAAUUAGAUGGUUCAUGAAAAAAAAAACCAGGUGUCAUGUUGAUGAUGACUUGGUCUAAUCUACAGCUAAUCGAUAUGACAGACAAGCUCAUGCUCCAAAGAAUUAGCUAGAUGGUUUAAAUUGAUUGAGAAAAAACAUGUAAUCCAAGAUGCUGGGCAGGCAAUUCAACAAGGAUGGUGCAAAAGUUAGAAUUCUGAAGCCCCCAUGGGAAAUCAUGUGGGCCAAUUCACUGCUUCGAUGCCAACGUCAGGAUUGGUGGGUGCAGGUCAGUUAUGGUUAUGGUGAAAGCAUUAAAUAAACUUAUCUACUAUGUUUCCUUGUGAUGAUAGCAUGCACGUCUCAUAUUAAUAUUUCACAUGACUCUCUUGGGGAAACCCCAGGCAGUAGGCAAAGCCUUGAGGAAAACAACACAAGCACUUCACUGCAUGUGCUUUACUGGGUAUUGAUAAUAACAGAGCUGGCAACUACAUGGUGAGAGGUGGGGUUUGGUUCAUGACAUUUGAUAUUUUGUGUUGAACAGCCAUGGAUGAUGCAUGGAUCUCCCACCUGCCCACACUGCUGUCACAGGAAAAGAAGGUUGAAUUUUAUGAGUUCUUGUGAUUCAGGUGACAGGAUCAGCUCAAGAUUUACUUUCCUCACAAAUGCUUUUCGACCACCCGCUUUUCCUCAACAAUAAGAUUUUCAUGUCUUUAACUAUUUACCUAUUGGUUUUCGGUCGGUUCGUCAGUCGGUUUCUGCUUUGGAAAAUAUCAUUUUCGCUUUUGAGAUGAAUGAUUGGGUUCAUAAAAUUUGCUUUCAAUUCGAUAUCGGUCCAAUGCCUUUGCUUCGCUCAGAAUUAAUCAGUGAUGUAUAAAUUGCAGCUACCAGUGACAAUGAUUUGCUCACAGAAAAGGAAAUAGAAAGUCCUGCAAAUUUUCUACAAUUUAUACUUGGUUGUCAAAGAAGUUCCCUUCAGCAUGGUAGUUGAGGAGCUGUUGCACAUGUUCUUGAACACGAAGGCUUGUUCUUGGUGGGUUGGUGCUCAAUUGUUGUCGAGUCACAACCAACUUUGCUUCUACCGAAAAGAAAGGAAAAGUAAAUAAGACCUGUUCAUGAUAAGGACAAACAAAUAUUAAGAAGCAUAAAUAGGAGAAUACUCUCAUACACUCCAUGUUAAGAAGUACAAAGUUUUUGGAUCAUGAAACUUUUUGAAGUAUGUACGAUGCGCUAACUAUCUGAUGAUGAAAUAACAAAGACCUGUGGAUCAAACUGAGUAUGGGAGUUUGGCACACAAAUUUGUGUGUGUUCAGAGGCUCCAAGACACAGACAGAGGUUGACUAUCUCAACAUGAGAUGCACCCCAAAAUUCACCAUCUUCCAACUUUACUUUUGAUGUUAAUUGCCACCCUUCAAAGUACCAUCCUGCAUCUAAAAAGCUCAGUAAGUACCCUUCCUAAUGCAACACUUGGUCAACCUGCUCUGAUGACAAACAAAUAUAACACCACCAUUAAGAAGAGAAGGAAAAAGGCACAUAACACCACAUUUUAGAAACUUAAAGCUCAUAAUAAUGUAUGGAACUUAUAAAAUACACAAGAAAUAUUAAGAAGUUGAUUUUGUUUGGGUUGAUUGAGCCAUCCAAGAGAAGCUUCAGUGGUGAUUUGGUUUCCCAAAGACCUAAUAUGAUGGACCUACAUGUGUUCAACCAGCUUCAACGGCGGUGUCCUUGCUGUGGUUUGUGGUGGUGCAGUCUGCACAUUGCCCCGUACAAAAUAAUGGUCUUAAAGCACUCCCAAAAGCAGAGAGAUAACCUCUAAAAGUUGCCGGUGAAAGAGCAUGUCCCAAGUUGUUCUAAAAGCAUGGACUGCAACCUCCCAAGGCGUCUCUUUUGCUUUGGUUGUUCAUCUCAGCAUUAUUCUAUGCCUUUGCCUUCGGCAGGAGCGUUGUGGCUGCCUUUAUGUUGUGGGAGGACACAAAUGGCAGCGACAUCAAAGCAAGACAGAAGUAAGUUCAAACUUUUCGUGUGUGUGCAAUCUACGUUUUACUGAGGCCUCUUCCUCAUGUCUCCAACAGUGCAAUCCGAUUCCUAUUGACAAAUCCUUCUGGAUGAUUACAAGUUUCUGGUGGAAAACAAUGAAGUGUUCCUUCGGAUGUGCCACAUUAAAUAUCAUUGGCAUCGGAGUGGGAGAAACGGAUAGGCACUAACCAUAAAGGAGAAAUACUUGAAUGAUAGUGGGGAAAGGAAGAAGGAACCAAUCCACUACUAGAGCACUGUUGGCUUGUUCUGCUAAAUACGCUUCCAUGGCAUUUGAGAUAAGAAUUUUGUUAUCAGAAAAAAAGAUAAAGAGGAAUAAGAAAUAAACAUUCAAUCUGUAUAACAAAUCACAAACCAAAACAUCCCACAAAUUUUCUGCUUUCUUUUUCGCUUCAUCUUUUGUUUUCCCAAGAAUUAUUCAUUCAUCCAUGCAGAAUCUUUGAUAGCUUGCUAGUCAAAAUGAUGGCCUUCCAAGUAGAGGAUUAGAUGCUACAGUGGAUCAUGGAGAUUUGUUUUGAUAUUAAACAGGGUGCAGAGCUCCAGACCAAGUCAAGGCAGCCGGUGGGAGGCCAUCUUCCCUAUCACGUAUUCCCAUUUUUAUGCUUUUCUUGCCGAGAUGAAAAGCUCGGUUAUGCCCCCAACUGCUUUAGCGGACCCAACUUGCUUCAGUCGAACUUUGGACCAAUUCCAUGUCUCGGGAAGAAGGCAAGAAGGUGAGAUUGCCAAGUUCGUCAACCGCAGCCACGGCCAAGUUUUACCAACUACUGCAGACAUGACAUAAACAACACAUGUAAAAUAGUUAGAUGGUUUCUUGUAAUCUACUCAUGUCAUUGAGGCUGGCAGGAAGCGGCUUUCAGGCUCCAUGUGAGUGGAUAGAGAUUGGCCUGUCUGCACAAAGAAAACUCUGCCAUAUAUCAUCUUGAAGAGUGGAGGAUCGAGGCCGGUACCGCCUGUGAGGAUGGCGGCCAAGUUGAAGAUGUUCCGGAACGCCGGCCAGUCCCAAAGAUUCCGGUUCGUGGUGCUCGUCAUAGGGUGCUUUCUGGUCUCCAUGACCUUCAUAGUGGUGUCGAGGCCUCUCGUUUUUCCUUCCCGUGAGUUCCUUCGAUCUUGUUUUUGUUCUCUGUCCACUGGUUUUUUUUGGGUUCAUCGGCUUGGAUUCCUGCAAAUUCUGAUGCUAAAAAUGAUAUGUUUGACCGGGGUUGCAGUCAGUUCAAGGUUGCGUCCGAAGAAAUCAGGUGCACCCCCCGGGCUUGAAUCUGUAAUUCAUGGAUGUUUUUGGUGUUCGAUCCGAACAGCUAUGAUUGUAGCCAGAGAUUUUAUGCUUGUGAGAUCAUCUUUUAAGAGUCGUAAUCUUUCGCUUCCCAGAUGUGGAGCCAAAGAAAGCAGCGGACUCUUCACCUUAUUCGGCCCCCUUCAUGAGAGAAGAUGAGCAAACUACUCAGCAAUCAGGUGAGCAUCUGUUUCAGUUUGCAUCUUUCGCCAGAUCGAUAGAUCUGGCUCAGCUCAGCUCCUUUUUUGGGUUGGACUCCACAGAACACCGGAAGAAAGAGGAAAAUAGAGGUUUAGUUGGUGAAGCAUCCUGAGUUUCUCUGAUGUCUAGGACUGUCUGGUUUCUAUUUGAGAUUGAGUUUAGAACAGUGUAGUUUGAUUUUUGAGCUUUUAUGCAAUCUAGUGAAGAUUUGCUUCGUCUUUCAGAAAAGAAUGCAGAGGAGAAUCUCCAGGUCAAAAAUAACGGCGCCGUUGCUGAUCCAAUCGAGGAAGACAAGACGGACAUCGAUGAAGUACUGGGUAUGUCCAUCAUCACCGAGAGCUGAGAACCGACAUGGGGAAGGUCUAGAUUUGGUUUGACGGAUCUGAGGCAGCUAAAGCUUUUGCUCAACUUGUUGCAGAGAGCACAAGUGAGACGGAGGAGGACAGGACCAAGAACGAUGGGAGUUCCGACCGAGACGAACCGCACAAUCGAAUGACGCUGCCGACGGUUUCCAAUUACACCAUCAACGAUAAUGUUCAGGUGGAAAACAAGACCGCUCCCGACCAACCGGGUAUGUCGAUCGUCGAUCACCACUGACAUCAAAUCCGAAGCAGAACACAGCGUUUUCUCGACAUUACAACACCGUGUUGCCUGAUGCAGUCCAGGAAAUCAAGGAUGUGGAGAAGAAGCUGUCGUGUGAGUUUUCGGACCCUCGAGUGGAUAUCUGCGAGAUGUCCGGCGACAUCAGAAUCCCUGGGAAUUCUUCGGAUGUCAUCUUCGUGGAAUCUCCGGGGAGAAAUGAGGUGUUCCGUUUUCGUCCAUACGCUCGCAAGGGGGACGAAGCCGCAUCCAGUCGCGUCCGGGAGUUGGCCGUGAAAUAUAGCACUGCAGCACCUGAAUGCACCGUCAACCACGACGUCCCUGCGAUCGUUUUCUCGGCCGGCGGCUACACCGGCAACCUCUUCCACGAUUUCACCGACGUGCUCAUCCCGCUCUUCCUAACCUCGCGUCCGUUCGACGGCGAGGUUCAGUUCGUCGUAAGCGACAUGAAUCCCUGGUGGAUCUACAAGUACCUCCUCGUGUUUAAGCAGCUCUCCAAGUACCCGGUGAUCGAUUUCGACAAGGACAAGGGCGUGCAUUGUUUCAGCAGGGUGAUCGUGGGACUUCGAGCUCACAAGGAGCUAAGCAUCGAUCCCGCUAGAGCUCCCAAUGGCUAUUCCAUGGUUGACUUCGGCAAGUUCAUCAGGAACACCUUCUCGUUGGAGAGGGAAACGAUGUCCAACAUCGAGGAUCUCGCCGGAAAGCGGCCGCGGAUACUGAUCAUUGCAAGGAAGCAAUCGCGGGCGUUCGUGAAUCUCUCCGAGAUAACUCGGCUGGCGGAGCAGUUGGGCUUCGAAGCGGUCAUCAAUGAUGGAGAGGCGGGAGGCGACGUAGCUCAGCUUGCAAGGCUGGUGAACUCGGUGGACGUGAUGGUCGGAGUGCAUGGAUCCGGGCUCACCAGUUUGGUGUUCCUGCCGCCCAAUGCAACCAUCAUACAGGUCGUGCCAUGGGGAGGCUUGGAAUGGAUAUCUACGCUGGAUUUUGGAGAUCCAGCCAAGGAUAUGGGGCUGAACUAUGUGCAGUACAGUAUAAGCAUCAAGGAGAGCACUCUGAGAAAGCAGUACCCGAAGAACCACCCCGUGUUCAAGGAUCCCCUCUCCUUCCACAAGCAAGGAGCUGAUGUCGUGAGGUCUACAUUCAUGGAUAAACAGAACGUGAAGCUUGAUACCAAAAAGUUCAAGAAUGUCCUGUGGAAAGCACUCGAGCAUAUCAUCCAAUAGCAGAAUUGGAGGGGAACUCCAUGUUCUAAUUCUUUUCUUUCAUCAACUCGUCUUCUUUGCCAUGAUCCAGAGUGGUUUUUCAGAAACUUUUUGUAACUAAAAUCGAGUUGCUCUGCUCACACAGAUUCAAACAUUUUACAGAGAUUACGUUGUGUUGUUGUCGAGAUGAGGUAUCAGAUCACUUUGCUGGCUUUUUAGCGAAAAAUGGCAACUUCAACCUUGAUCUCGAGACAAACAUGAAACCUUAGCGGUCACAGGCAUUCUUGAAGAAUGUAAAUGCAGAGAUGAUUUAUGCCUGGAUGAUCGAGGAGCAAGCAAUUUUUUUAUCAAUCAUACUCAAGAUUUGAGCAAGCUUUGUUGAGACAUCGAGUAUGAUGGAUCAUCUGGCUGAGAAACCUUUUGCUUGAGCAAUUAUUUUGGAGAAUAUUUAAUUCAAACCGACAGCCGGACGGAAAGUAGGUGUUGCUGUCAGACCGAUGAGCAUCAUCAUCACUGAUCACUGACCUUUUGUUCUUCCGAGCCACUUUUACCGCCGCACACAGUGUUUACCAGUGUCAUUUACUUGUGUGGCUCAUGAAAAGGAUAAAAACGUGAGAAUCACCAUCUAUCCUCGCUCAUUCUCUUCUCUGCUUUAGGAUCAAUCUCUUCUCUGCUUUCCGGCCAAAUCCAUGAGAGGACACUCGCUUCUGUGCCACAUGAAUGGCACAGCAACCAGGGAAUCUUCCUGCGGCCACAACAGUGAUAUUGAUAUGGCAGUCGUGUGGUGUUCUCCUUACCAAAACGAAGAUAACUUCUACUUUAAACUACAGUUAAGUCCAAUCGGAACACUCCGGUUAUGAUCUCUGAAACUAACUACAAUCUGCAAAGCUAAUCUUAACCCAAGCUAGAGAAACCCUUUUCUUAUCUGAAGUAAAAAAAGUAUGGAACGGAUCCAAUCUGUAUCUGUUUGUUUUGUCCAUCUCUCAGUGGCACUGCAUCAAGCAUUAGCGGAGGAGCACAAGAGAGUGGUGGCAGAGGAAGGACAAUUAUUGAUGUACAACAACAAUUUGCAUCGAGCUCCAUGCCGAUCUGAGUCAGUGGGGGCUUCCCUCGAAGUUCGAGAUAAAGAGAUAAAAAGUGUUGCAGAAAGAUGCUCCACCAACAUGAUGGGGCAAUAACAUAUUCUGUGGCAUGUGAUGUCUGGCCAGACCACGCACGGAAUUGCUUCAUCAUAUGGCAAGCAGCUGGUAGUCCCAACAGUCACUGCACCACCAUUUUUAGUUUUUUGCUUUUAGCUGGCCAGCCACAGCCACGGUCAUGAUCGAAACAUGAGAACACUGCUUUCAAAAUCAGAUUUUGGUGGCCCUUUGGAUGCCCCAGGCGAUGGUUGGCCUUGCUUUUUCUUCAGCUGUUGGAUGAAAAUUCAGAUGCAGGUGAGAGAGAGAGAGAGAGAGAGAGAGAGAGAGAGAGAGAGAGGUAGGUUCGUUACGUACGUUCGUUUGUUAGUAGUACGUACCUAAACCGAAAACCGAAAACCAAAAAACGUAAAAGGUUAAACGUUACGNNNNNNNNNNNNNNNNNNNNNNNNNNNNNNNGAGAGAGAGAGAGGUGUUUCCAGCCUUGUUUGAUAGCUCCAAAACGCCAAAACAAAAGUAAGUUCAUGGAUGAGAUUCGAGUUGUGUCAAUGGAGAAGAAGAGAUGUUAGACGAUGAAGUGGAGUUCCGCACCUUUGUAUCACGGGCGUUUAAUUCUCGUUUGCCGGAGAGAUGAAGAAUCCAAGGAAACAAGCAACGAGUGCUGUCUCCUACAGAUAAGGAUGACGAACCUUGUCAUGUCAAAAGCAAAUCGUAAGAGUGAGUGGUCCCUCUCAGUGACCAAACUCCCAUAUCAUCAACACAGUAAAAGAAUAGGCGAACAUUGACUCUUCAGCUCUCUGUUGUUAUUGGCGAGAGAUUUUUUCUAUCCACCCCCCUCCUCAUGCGAGCACACUCUUCUUUUCCGGUGAACAGGGAACCAAAGUAAGGGCUAUCAGGUGCAGAUUUUUACAUGUGUUUUCCUGCUAAUAUUACCAAUUAAUUUUCAAGCUGGAAGCAGUUGAUAUCAUAAAGUUCAGACAGUACAUGAAAUUUUCCAUCAAAGGAUAUUUAACUAGCCAAAUAUAUAUAUAUAUAUACAAAUGACUCGAGAACUGAACGAUGACAAACAUGUCAACUGCUGUGCUCCAAUUUCCCAGCACGAGUGAUUACAUUGUGUAAGAUUCAUAUGUUAUAGCCCAAUCUAGAGAUACACUUGUGUGAGAUUACAUUUUCUUACAGCAGAAGGGAAAUAAAUGAAUGCAAAAAUUAGCACACAAGGAUAAAAAAUUAUAUAUAUGGGAGAUCUCUUCCAGCUACAAGCCAUGACUCUAAGCCUCUUUACGGCCGUGAGGCAGGUGCCGGAGAGCCUCCAACAGAGUGUUCCUAAGCCUCCUCAGGUGAGGCUUCACGUUCUGGUUCUCCAAGUAGAUCUUGCUGGUCGUGUACCAGCCUUGCUUUUGGAUGGAAUCGGGAUCCUUUAGCACCGGGUGAUUCUUGGGGUAUUGAUCGCUGAGCGAGCUCUCGUCCGCCUUGAUGUGGUAGUCCAUGUAUUUGAGCUGCAUGUCCGAAGAAGGCUUCUUGAAGGUGUCCCUCGCCACCCAAUCCAGCCCGCCCAUGGGCACCACCUGGAUGAGCACGGCGCCUGCCGGGAGGAACACCAUGUUGGUCAGCCCGGCGCCGUGCACGCCGAUCAUCACGUCGGCGGAGUUCACCAGCCGCGCGAACUUGGCCAGGUCGGUCGUGUUGUCGGGCUCGGAGACGCGCACGUCGAACCCCAGGCUCAUGGCCAUGUCCGCCAUCCCCCUCUCGUUCAGGAACGCCCUCGUCUUCCUGCGGGAUAUGAUCAGCAGUCUGGGCUUCCUCUUUGCAUCCCGCUGGUCGGCCCACGGCGCCGCCGUCGGCCUCUCCAGCCCAUACGCCUUCCUCAGCAUCGCCUUGAACUCCACCAUGCAGUACCCCGUUGCAGUCUUGGAGGGGUCGACGCCCAGCUCCUUGUGGAAGCUCAACCCGACGAUGACGCGCGGGAAGCAGCGGACGGCGUCCGGGUCGUCGUCGUCGGCGUCGAUGAUGUCGUAGUUGGAGAGCUGAUUCAGGAUCGAGAUGAAUUUGCUGACCCACCAAGGCUUGUUUUCGGAUACCACGAACUGGACCUCGCCAUGGAACUGGUAGGAUGAUAUGAAGAGGGGAACAAUGACGUCAGUGAAGUCAUGGAAGAGGUUGCCGGUGAAUCCUCCGAUGGAGAAGACCAGCGCCGGGACCUUGUGGUGCACGGUGCAUCGCGGGGGCGGCUCAUUGCUGGCCAAAGGCUUUAGAGUCCACUCCUCGAUGUUCUUCAUGGCUGGCCCGUCAUGCUUUCUGCAAUAAGGUUUGAUCUUCCAUUCUCGAUCUGUCAAAGAAGGGUGGAGGAAGAUGGUUCGCGAGCUUCCUCGCAAUCUUGCAUCGCCUUCCGCUCGGCAGACGUUGGAUCUCUUGCUUGUUUCGGAGCAUAUCGGUUUGCUGAUGACGGUCACAGUUUCUUCUGCAACAAUUUUUGGAGGAGUUGCAACAUCACCUUCAUCAUCUUCAUCCUCUGCACGUAACGCAACACACGAACGAUGGAUCAACAGAAGUUGCUGCUUGUGCUUCUCCAAAUGAUCGACAGAACACAUGCAAAUUUUGCCAAAGAUCUUGUAGAUUUAGAGUCCUAAUCUUCGUCGCUGCUUGUGCCUCCCCAAACGACCAUGUUUUCCUCGAAAACAAGCAGAGGAAAAAGGACAUGCAGUCGAUAUUACCUGGUAGAGCGGCUCCCCAACUCUUCGCCGCAGCCGACUCUGGGACCUCAAUGGAUUCUAUUUCUGCCAAUGAUCGUAGCUUUGCUGCAAGAAGAACAAACAACAGCAGGCGUUUCUUGAGAACACAAGCUCUAGAUGUCGUCAAGAACAGAAAAGCUCAAACAAGAACAAGAGAGAGAGAGAGAGACCAUAUGGAGCAGAGCAAUAGCGAGCCUUGAUGAGAGAGAGGAUGCAGAGGGAAAGAAGCAUGGCGGCGACGAUGAGCGCGUUGCCC
rnacentral:lncRNA from 1 species